rnacentral:lncRNA from 1 species
CAAUUGUAACUUUAUAUUGUAUAAAUAUAUUCUGCAGUAUAUGUCUCAAAUUGAUGAGGCUUUUCCCACAUUUAACAAAAGGAAAACUAAAUUAACACCAAAUUGCCCAAAAUUAAACCAUAUAUUAUACUAAAUUAAUUCACAACAGUUCGACAUCAAUCAAAUAUUAUCUCGCACUCGAAUUCACAAAACUCACUUUCCGGGUACAAAGUUUGUAGCAUAUGACCAUGCAUUGUUUGCAACAGGGUCAGCAAGGUGGUCAGCGAGGUUCUCCAAUGGUCCCUUUCCGGUAACAAUGGCUUGAACAAAGAAUCCAAACAUAGAGAACAUGGCUAGUCUACCGUUCUUGAGCUCCUUCACUUUCAGCUCAGCAAAUGCCUCUGGGUCAUCAGCCAGACCCAAUGGGUCGAAGCUACCACCAGGGUAAAGUGGGUCAACUACCUCACCAAGAGGUCCACCAGCAAUUCUGUAACCUUCAACUGCACCCAUCAAGAUCACUUGGGUAGCCCAGAUGGCUAAAAUGCUUUGUGCAUGGAUCAAACUUGGGUUCCCCAAGUAGUCAAGACCACCCUCACUAAAGAUCUGGGAUCCAGCCUUGAACCAUACAGCCUCACCAAACUUGACACCAUUACGCGCCAAGAGUUCGGGGAAGACGCACCCAAGAGCUCCGAGCAUGGCCCAUCUGCUGUGGAUGACCUCAAGCUCACGGUUCUUGGCGAAUGUUUCAGGAUCAGCAGAGAGCCCAGCAGUGUCCCAACCGUAGUCACCGGGGAACUCACCGGUCAGGUAAGAUGGGGCUUCGCCGGAGAAUGGGCCAAGGUACUUAACACGGUCGGGGCCGUACCAUGGACUUCCUGAUGGUGCGACUUUCUUGACUGCUGUCUUCCUCAUGGAAACCCUUCCAUUUCCGGUGAUUUCUGAACCAGAUGGUGCUACUUUCACCGCCUGUCCGACGAAAGAAGAGGAUAGUGCCAUGGUGGAAGCUGCCAUUUUUGUGAGAUUUGUUUUGAAGAUGUUUUGAUGAUAUGAUAGUAUUAUGAGUGAUGAAGAUGUGUGGAUCUGGAACAUAGAUUUAUAGGGUGGUUUUUGGGCCAAGUAGUUGAUAAAUGUUUAUCUUGAUGCAAUUUUUAACUUCAUUUUGAUUGGCUACCAAGAUUUUAGUUCUAUCAGUGGGUCCAUAAUCUGCGUGGUUCCACUAUUCGAGUUCUCUGGCCCACAUGAGAUAUUUGAAGGGGCAGCGAUAUUCAUGGCUCUGUCUUAUUAAGCGAAUAUAAUGGCUAGAAAUCUCAGCCACUAGCUACCAUGCACAAACCGGUUUUUUUUUUGAACCGGACCGCUUCAAAAAUCCGGUUCGGUUCUAGUCAAUUUAGUCAAAACCAGUUUGGUUCCAAACCGGUCCAGCUUCAAAAUAAUUCAAACGUAUGUAAACUCGUUAAAGAAAAAACCGGUUCAAAAAGGGUUCAAAACCAGUUUGACGGAAAAAAGGUUUUUUUCAAUUUUUAUUUUGUUUUUAGGCUAAUAACUGAAAAAUAGGAAUUUUUUUUUAUAAUAUUGCUUUUAUUGUGUUUAAAAAAAAAGUUUCACACUAGGUUUUUUGAAAAUGGAAGUGGAAUGAAUUGGGAAUUCAUAAGCCUUUUUUUUGGUAAUACACACGUACACACGUCCAUAUGCCAAAAGGUUUUUAUUAUUAUUUUUUUUAUUUCUUGUUUAAUCUUUUGAUGUAUUAAAUUUUUUUUUUGUUUCAGAUUUGAUGUUUUAUCUUUUUUUUUUUCAUUUUUUUUGUUUUUUAUAUUGGAAAUACAUAAUACAACUUCAAACAUAAAAACACAAAACAUCCAAAUUGUCAAACUAAUACAUCUUCAAAUAUAAAACAUUGAUGUCGUCGUAGUCUUCAUUCCAAGUCCGUAGUCAUUGUAUUUAUUCGUCAUCCGCCAUGUCGUUGCGUAAUUCUCUCUCAUACUCGAUCUCUUCUAGGGUGAGUGACACCGACAUUCCCAUCGCUACUUCUUCCUCAUGUACUCGUGCUUCGACAUGCAACGAUGUGCCUUCUAGUGCUUCGAUGUCUUGUAUCCUUUCCACGCCAUCAAGGUAGUAUUUCAAGCAAAUGCACACUUCCACCGACAAAUGGGUUAGUUUUGUUCUUCUUGGUGAUAUUACCCUGCCACUAACAGAAAAACCGAUUCCGANUUACCCUGCCACUAACAGAAAAAGCCGAUUCCGAAGCUACCAUAGAAGCUUGGGAGCUUAGUAGAUCACGGGCCAUAGCGGCUAGAAUUGGAAAUUAGGUUUCCUUUCCUUUCCACCAAACCAAAAUAUCAAAAUUUUCAAACUCUUGAAUACUCAUUUCACUACUAGAAAAAUAGCCUUUUACGACGCGCGAACAACGACACGCGCUGUUUUAUGAUACACAAUAGUGUGUGCCCUAAAAAUAAUGUCGGCUCUCCAAAAAUUAGAAGGAUUUAGGGUACGCAUUUUUGCGCGCCCUAAAAUAAGUGUUACAUUAAAAAAAAACACGGAGGGCACAUAACAUAAAACGCGCGUCCACUAAGUAUGUCGCUUUAUAUUUUUUAAAUGAAAUGCGGGUCACAUUUUUUAGGGAAAACGAAAUUCCAAAAAGUUUGAAAGGCCCGCCAUGUUCCUACCUUCUUUCCACCGUUCUUCUCUCCCUUACUCAAAAUACCCAAAAAAAACCCUAAUAUACUCAUCGCUCCUCUUUUCUCCCAUAACAAACUCGCACCAUCACCAAAUCUCUGAUCUCCCACCAGCAAAAGGUCUCCUACCGAUGUCUCCACCUACUCUCUGCCCUCUCACUAUUUCUCUCAAUUAAAAACGCUAGAUCUCUCAAUCAGAGAACCAUGGCUACUUCUCCUUUCUCCCACACCAGUUGGCAAAAAGUGAGGAGUCUCGAGCCUAGCAGUUGAUAUUCACAUGCCCUCUUAAAUUGAAGGAAUCAGAACAUUGUCGACAUCAAUUCGUUAAUCAUCACUAGAGAAAUCAGAUACGCCAUCUGGUUGAUGAGUCAAGAGAAAUCACAUAUGUCAUCGCUUCAGCAAUCAUCCCUCCUUUUAACCGUAAGUUUUCAAUCUUACACUUUACAAAUAUCAUAUAAACAUCUCUCUCUCUCUCUCUCUCUCUCUUUCUCUCUCCUGCUAUACCUUGAUGAAUUAUCGCAUACAUAUGGAGGAACUGCUUUCUAAAAGCCAGCUAUCGGGAGAGUCAACAGGGUCAAUUGGGUGUUCAAAAGGUGCUUCGAUAUCAUCUUCCCGCCAGCAAAUCUCUGUUAAAGUUGUCACAGAGUAAUCCAUUUGAGUUUGGGCAUAUAUUUUUUGUUAUUAAUUUAGGGGGAGACUGUGUUCCAUGAUUUUGGUCAUGCAUUUCUUCAGCACACGCUAACAAGACAAGAUGAAGGGCUUGUUGUUGGUAUUCGUGGCAUAGAGUGGAUGCUGUUGAGUUACCUUUCCAGUUCAUGGAAAAUUGGUGCUACCGUAGGUAGGUAUAUAUAUCUCCAAUUUCAAGAUGUUGUUCAACUGCUGCAGGAACGAGGUGAGGGUGGCUGAUGAGAAUUUGUGACAGGAACUAUCCGAUUGGGGAUUCCAGCUCAAGUGGGGCAGUUGGCGCAUCAGAUCCAGCAGAAUCAGAAGAUAAUGAGGCCUUUAUUGCAAUUCUCUUCUUUUGAAUAUGAAAAGAUGCACUUUUCAGUCCUAAUCUGGGAUGUGAAAAUGAAAGGAACCCCUGUUUAGCCAACAAAACAAAGUAAAAUUCAGUUACAACACUUACCCAAAUAUAGCAUUCUACCUUUAAUUUUUCUCAUCAAGACAAAAUUGAAUCAGUUAUGAAACCGACCACAUAAAAGGCUGUUUUUCUAGAGUUGCAAUGUUAGGAAUAAAAGUCACAAUGGUAUGUGGUCGGUUUCAUAACUGAUUCAAUUUUGAUGAGUAAACAGGUUAGAUUUCAUAUGGUUGUUUGUUCAGAUUGGUAUUCAUCCUGAUUUUCCUUCAAUUAUGCAACAACUAUGCUGGAAUUUGCUAUGUUCCAUACUCGGAUUUUGAAUUUAUCGGAAAAUUGAAUAAUUAAUCUGGAAAAAUACCAUCUUUGAAUGAUUUUUUUGUCAUCUGUAGAUAAGGAAUACCAUCUUUGGGUAAUUAGUUUAUCUAGUCUACAUGAUUAAAUUAAUGGACAUAUAAUUCUCUAUUGAUAGAACAAAAAACAUUGCUUUGUAGUGAAGAUAAGGAAUACCAUAUUUGGGUAAUUAGUUUAUCCAUACUCGGAUUAUGAAUUUAGCCCACCAUCAGCAGGGGAUUGCUGAGUUUUAUGUGACCAUAAUGCCCUUUCGGUUUGUAGUGAAGAUCCAAGCAUGUAAUUAAUAACACCUCUAAUUAAUUAAUUAAUUAAUCCCCUAAAACUAACUAUGGUUAAAUUAAACUGGUGGUAGGUGCCAGUGUACAUAGGGGCACAUAUGGUCAAAUAUGUUUUAAUUAUUAGUCUAAUAUCUUUUGAUACUUAUCAAUAACAACAAAAUAAUGUAAAAUCGUGUGAAUACAAUUCAAGGGUAUAAUGGUCUAGACAGAGAUUAUUUUUAUUAAAGAUAUUUAUUUAUUAAUCAUCAGAGAAGAAGGAAUUAAUAUGAAAGAAUCACUUACUGCAAAAUAAUCUUCAAAUGUAAAAUCAACAUAGCCUAAGCCCUGAUUUUUAUUUCACCACAGGUUGGCGAGCUGGCGGGAAUAGCUUUGGGAGCAACUGUCAUGCUUAAUAUUCUUAUAGUUGUGUACGUUAUGGUCAAAAUAGUUCAGCAAGAACCUCUGUUGAAAUGAUAUAGGCCACUAAUUAUUUAAAACUAUCACUGGCUCCUCAUUAUGGUCAAAAUAGUUGGUCUGUUAAAAAUUGUGACUAUGAGCAAUUUGCCACUUCUAAAUGGGUUCUUUGUAGUUUUCCUUUCUAUAAUUCAGGAAAUAGGAUCAUAUUUUACUCUUGCAGAAAUAGUUAUGGUCUGUGAGCAUUCUUCCAGAUUGUAAGAACGUAAUUUUCAACACAACAAAGGUGAAAUUAUAUCUAUGUUUUCUUGUGUAUUUAACUUCACAGGAGCUGAAACAUGAUCUAAUUUUUUUUAUCUAUUGGUUAUGUUGAAUAUGGAUAAAAGGUUGUGGCUCAGAAAAGUGUUGGUGAUGCUUCUACAUUUGUUGAGAGUGAAUUUUCACUGUCAAAUUCAAGUUGGAUUUGGUAUGUAGAAAAAGUGUGUGUUUAGAGUAAGGACUUUUUCCUUGUUGGACUGUAAUAGUAGACCAAUAUGAUUCGUUUUAUAAAACCCUUAGACAGAUCACAGUUGGUUCUGCAAUUGCAUGGUCAGGUAAACAUUCUAAACACAUUUUCAAUUUAUUUUGUGAUAUUUAAUUUCUCCCAUAUUCUUUUAAAUUAUAUUAUAAUAUGCUUAUAAACACUACUUUCCUUUCAUGUAGCCAAAAAAUUGUCCCAAAGUUGACUGAGGUACUUUGGACAAAAAUACAAUGUUAGCUUACAUCUUUAUUAGUUAAUAUAAUCAAAUUUCUAAUUUUAGGUGCUAACUGAUACGCGUCCGCAAGUUCAGUCUGCAUGGCAGACAACACUCCAGCAGGUUUGACUAUAUUCUUAUGGGUUGUGGCAUUCACAUUCCCAUAGUGAUCUUGAUAAAGUUGCUUCUAUUUCCAUGCUAAGUUGGCUUUUAUUUGUAAUAUAGGAGGUCCAAAAUCUUGCAAAGAAGGCUGCAGAAACUGUGGUGUUGGUAAUUGAUGAUGAAGGGACUGAGUAUUUGAUAUCAGAACUUCUCAAGUUGCUUCUAUUUCCAUGCUAAGUUGGAUUUUAUUUAUCUUACUGUUUAUUAUCAUUUUUUAUAUAAAAUUUCAUCAUUUAUAUUAUAUAUAUAGUACAUUAUAGACUUUGCAUCAUAAUUUGUUGAAUGUUACAAGAUAUAAUUCAAAAUUCAAUUUCCUCAUGUUGUUGCUGAAAUGACAGCAAUUGGUUUUGGCCUACCAAAGAAUGCAUUCACCGCUUUAAUGAAGAAUGUAAGUGUUUAUUUUUCUUUUCUGUUUGGUGAAAAUCAUCAAAUGACAAUCUCAUUAUAUAUCUUAGGAUCUUAUCAGUUAAUAAACUUGAUCGUGGGUAUGAUCAAGCAUAGGUUUACAUUUAUACCCCUGCUUUUAUCUUUUAUCUUUUAUGUUAUAUAAUUAUAUUCCCCCUUUUUUUAUCAGGUUAAUUUGGUGGUUAAUUAUGAUCUUCCUAUAAGACAUGAUCAUCAAUCUCACUACAAGAAAAAUACCCUUUUACGACGCGCAAAACACGACGCUCUUUGAUUUAUGUUACGCAUUAGAGAGCGACAUUAAAAAAGUGUCAUCUCUUAAAAAAUUUUAAGGAUUUAGGUCGCGCAUUACUGAGUGCCCUUAAAUUAGUGUCUCAUGUAAAAAUAUUAAAAACACGGAAGGCACUUGUGCGUCGUCUGUGAAUGUCGUUUUAUAUUUUUUUUUAAGAAACACGCGUCUCGGAGGGAAAAUGAAAUCCCCAAAUUUUUUAAACCCCCACCUUUUUCUCCCUCGUCUCCACCCCUCAUCCACAUCCACUACCUCCGAUCCUCAUUUCCUCUUCUAGCCUCAAACUACGGCGAUGCACCUUCCUUCUCGAAGAAUGCUUCAUUUACCACCAUCGUCCGAUUAUGUGAGCCCAAGGAAUUGACCAAGACGAAGAAGAUAAUGGAUCAAUUGCUUCACAUCAUGUUUAAGGUUAAGGGUUUGAGUUAGUCCGCAACAGGUAAUCGAAUUUUGCCUAAUAUAUAUUUCUACUCUCAAACUGUUUAUUCGUCCGAUUGGAUGCAUAUUUACUAUUAAAUUUGGGGAUUUUCUUUUAAAACCCCCGCGCCUCUUCUUGUUUGUAGCUAAACAACCGUGAAUUUGUUAGAGUGAUUGGAAGAGGAAAAAUAGAAGAUAGAAGAAAAAGAAGAAGAAGAAAAGCGAACAAACGGGAUUUCUUGACCUGAUGUGUUAAUCCGUGAUCAGGUCUUCUGAGCGAAGAGAAGAUCUGAGGCUCAAUUGAAGAAAUAUGAGCGCUUCUAGAUUUAUAAAGUGCAUCACAGUCGGUGAUGGCGCUGUCGGGAAGACUUGUCUCUUGAUUUCCUACACCCGUAACACCUUCCCCACGGUAAUCAUCUCUUCAUCAACCGCCUUCAGUUUCUGCCCAACUAAAGCACGGUUACACACUUAUUUCUCUUCGGACGUUUCUGUGGCUUCCAUGGGAACGGAGGAGGAUGAUAUAAAUGAGGCAACAACUUCAUUCGCUACAUGUUUGAACCUUAAAUUGAAGGGAUUAUAUAUUGAAAUUUGAAUCUACAACUUCGAAUUUCAGUCAUCUCUCUUCUCUUCUACAUCUCACCUGAUUCUCUAUUGAAAUUUCUAGGGUUUUUAAUUGAACCUACAUCUUCAUCUUAAUCUUCUUUUCUGAAGUUAGGGCUUUUUUCUUAAGAACAACUAAUUUUUUGCAGUAAGUAAACCUCUAAUUUUUUCAUUUCUCAUUUCCUUAGACCUCUCCCCUUUCCAUCUCAUAUCGAGGCAAAAUCAAUUUCACUUUGGUGGCUUCGAUUUCCUAGCACAUAUUAUGUUAUUAUAUGGAUUUGUAGGAAAUUAGAAAUCAUGUUAGAAUGUUUGAUGUUCUGUAUGUUCAUAAAAGUACAUCUAAAACAAAAAUCUUAGAUUAAACAAAACUGAAGCAUUUAAUGAGAUGUAAUUACUAACUUUUGUUGGAGAUGCAAAUGCUAAAUAAAGAAAACUGAAGCAUUAAAUGAGAACCUUUAUAAUUCGAUUUCAUUCAGAUCUUCGGUGGAUAUUUAGGGCUAACAAAGAAAACUGAAGCAUUUAAUGAGAUGUAAUUACUAACUUUCGUUCAAGGUAACCCCUGUUAUGAAUACAUGUAAGAAUUUAUUUAUCUUUUUCUCUCACCACUUGCUAUCCAUGUGCUGCUCUCUCAUAGUUGAUAUCUAACAACAAAGACCUGAUCAGUCUAGUUUGCUUGUUUUUUUUCUUUUUCUUAUAAUUCUUGAAUACGUGCAGAUUUUUUAAGACUUCUAGUUUUGUUUUUUGUUCAGUGAUAUUGAUGAUGAGGCAAGUUUAUCAACACUAUGGGAGAGAUAUCAAAGUGUCUCUGAAAAGGUAUUGCGAUAUCAAAGCAUAAAUUAUUUAUGGAUUAAAAUGGGAAAAUGACUUAUAUGGGUAAGAAAGUUUUAAAAACUUUUAAAAAUGACUAUCAAAGUAUUGUUUGUAUAAAAAACACCAACCAAGUUUACCAUUUUGUCAAAUCUAACAGGUUGGUAACCUGCAUCUGCCGGUCAAAAAAAAUUACCUGAUCAUUUUAAAAACUGAAAUUAUAAAUGACAUGGCAUCCUUUUUUAGUCUUACGUGGAUUAAUUGCAAGGGAAGAUCCAUUUUCUCAGCGUUCUUUCUCAAAAUCAGGAGGGAGUCAACACAGAACCCUCUCUAGGGUUAGUUUCUGCCCCUGUAUACAGUUAUUUUUGUUUAAAUUGACUGAUUUUAACAGUUGACGAAUAUGCUCCUGCUUUGGGCUAAUCACACAUAUGUCUUUUUUAUGACCAAAUUGCCCCUGUAUAUAGUUUUUUUUUGUUACAAUUGACUGAUUUUACCAGUCAAUUAAGGUGUUGUUUAGAAACUGUUAGUAUCCAAGACCAUUUACAUGCUCGUGCACAAAGACGAAUUUGCCCUUGAUUGUGACCAAACUGCCCCUGUAUACAUAUUUUUUAUUACUAAAAACACCCCCUGUCCUAGAAAAAUAUGACACUUCUAUACAAAAGCUAAUACCAAUUUCUCACUACAAAUCAACUAAUAAGAAAAGAAGUGGGCAACUCUCUAAAAUGACCAAAAUUUGAAUUGCAGUGUCACAAAUUGACAAUUUUUUAAAGCUAUAAUGAAAUAAUGCUUUGUUUUGUAAAAUAUACAAAAUCCGUUUGUUGUUGUGUGCAACUAAUCCACAAACAUUUACAUAAUUCUCGUUAGUGUACUUUGCAAAGUGGUGCUGAAGUAAUUUGGGCAACAAAAGUACAUAUAACUAUAUUAAUAUUCUCUAAAUAAUCAUAUAUAAUGAAAUAAUGGUUUGUUUUGUAAAAUAUACAACCCAUACUGUAUUUUUGAUAAAAAAAAAUAAUGAUUUUAAGAGAUUUUGUCCGAAAUACCCUUAUAUACUCUUUUUUUUGGUAAAAAAUUAAUGAUGUAAUAGUUUUUGACUAAAAUGCCCGUAUAUACUAUUUAACAGGUUUGACCCCAUCUGAAUUAUGAUUCAGCUUAAAAUUGAAUGCCAUUUUGACAAUUUUAUUGCUUUUAAGACUAUUUACUGCUGAAAAUAUGUCAAAUUUGUUACAUUUUGCUGCUAUAAAUAGUCAAAAAAUAACUAAAAGUCUACAAAGAUUCAAGGUAACAGUAAAUAAUACUGGCAUUUCCAGCAGCAAAUCUUCAAUUGCAGGGACUAAACUUUGUCAUUUUUAGCAGAAAACUUUAUCAACCAACAAAAAGAGGUUAAUAAAGAAUCUAAAUGGCAUUCCAUUGUAACAGCAUCAAAACACGACCUGCACUCAAAACCCUCCAAAAUAGCCCCUACACUCAAUUGUAACAGCCCCUCUGUUGUGAUUCCUUUAACUGUGACCAAAUUGCCCCUCUAUUGUGAUUCCUUUAGAUUCAAGGUAACAUUGUUUUAAGUGAAAAGAUCAUUUCAUAACUUGUUUACAUAAAUUCUUUCUUAGCUUGUUUACAUAAAUUCUUUUUCUGUCAAUUCCUUUCAAGACAAAAAGAAAGAAAGCAGGAACUUAUAGCCAUGCAAGUAAUUUCAUUAUUUUUCUCAUUAACGAUUGUACUUCCUUUGCUCUUUCUUGCAUAAUAAUAAACAGAUUUAAAGAGGAGUGGAGCCAUAUGACCACCUGAUGCCCCCAAAUCAAUUUAUUUGAGCUAGAUUUGAACGAUUUACAAGGAGAAGAAGAAAAUCAAUUGUCAAGAGGAGAGGAGAUGUAUGACCACCCACCUGAUGCCCUAAAUCGAUUUAUAAUAUGUAUUUUUCAUUUAAUGCUGAGUAGAUGUGCAACACACUACCUAAAUAUGCCAACUAAUCAUUACUUUUGCCAACUCAGCCGUUCACCUGGAGAUCCGGUUACCACCGGGUCAUAUUUGAACAAAAGAUAAACUUCGUUGGUAUUUUUUGUACGACGCCUAUAGUUAAAUGGUAUUUUUGAACAACUAAAACUUCAAUGGUUUUUUUUGAAUGUUUUUGAAACUUUCUUACCCUUAUAAGUCAUUUUCUCGAUUAAAAUUGAACUUUUUUCAUACAUUACCUAACAUUGACUUGUCUUAAUUUGCAGGCAGAAAUACAAAAGGCUUUUCAUAUAUUUCUUAAACAAUUUUUUGUAAUAUACAAGAAUUGGGAGCCAUUAGAUUUAGAUAAUUCCAUAGAACCUUUCAUUGAUUCAAGGGAUCCUCUUUCUGAAAAAAAGAUUGCAGUGGCAUCAGAAGGCAGUCAUAUCAGUGAUGGAAGCUGGUGGUCUUAAUUGGUUAGUAGGUAAGGUAUGCAUCUUCAGAUUUAAUUUCUAUUGAGAACUAAACACAUUUGAAUAUCUGAGAACUAAACACACUUGAAUAUUUAUAAAUGAUGCACACAUCCAAAGGGAUAAUAGCAAUGUUUCUAAUGGCGUCAAAUAGACCUGAUUGUGACCACUAAUGGUUCAUCAGGUUUGUUGAUUUUUAUUUUAUUUUAUUUGAAGUGCAUUAUCUGGUUUAAUAUGAAAUGAUUCAUGUUGAAAUUGGUUUCUUUUGUUACUCCAUAAUACUUGAUAUCUUAUUUUUUGCAUGCAGGUGCUAACAAAUAUGGUGUCAUUAUCAUUGUUGUUGUUGUUGUUGGAUACGGAUAUGUUUGGUGGAAGGUAAAUAUAAGCUCAUAUAUUAAUAUUAUUACUUUUUACAGUUAACUUGUACAUAGUUUUUCUUCAACUAACAGAAAUGGUAUCAUUAACAGGGUUGGAAACUUCCUGAUAUGAUGUUUGCUACAAAAUGAAGUUUAUCUGAUGCCACAUAUGCUUUAGCUAAAUAGAUUGACACUGUUUACUCAUCACUUGCAGUAAGUUAUUUAAAAACUUUGUUAUUUUUUUGUUAUUAAUUUGGGUUGUUUAUUAUGUUGUUUAGGCUACCAAGAGACAUUUAUCUACAAGGAUUGACCGUGUUGAUAGUAGUUUAGAUGAGGUUGCAGAAAUUACUGCUGCUAAAAAAGAGGAGGUAUGACAAGAUAAAGGUUGUUCUAGAUGUUUAAUCUAUACAUAAUGCGGUUUACACCCUGGUGUGGUUCUUUUCCAUUUUGUCUUGUGACUUUGAUAUUGUUUUCUGAGUUGGAUAUGUGGUAUGAUAAAUUAUUUUUACAUGAGAGUAGGCUGAGUAGGGUUGAAUUGAAAUAGGUACUGAAUAUUACCGUUUGACAUGCGAUUUUUUCUAGCUUAAUGAGAUAUUUAUAACAAAUAAUUUUGAAUUUUUGUUGUCUUUUGUAGGGAAAUCCAUCAAGUUCAUCAAGGCCAGCUCUUGAAUUACCAUAGAGAGUAAACUUCUAAUCUUAUACAAAUACAAUGAUUUGCUAAAUUCAAGAAAUAACAAUGCACUUUUAUUUAUUACUUUUAUUAAAACAUCCUAGUUUAAUUUCUAGCUUAAUGAGACAUUUAUUACUUUUAGCAGAGAUCGAUAUAUAUAUGAGCUUUUUGCUUUCAAACAUUGUUGGGGAAGAAUGUUGAAACUUGCUCUUUGUGAAGGUAAUUUUUUUUCUUAAUGCAUUAUCCUCUAUAUUCUUGAUAUUUUUCCCACUUUUUAAAUCUUUUAUCAAAUUCUCACUUUUGGAUACAGUGCUUGAUGAGAGAAUGUGUGACCUAAAUCUUUUAUCAAAUUCUCACUUUUGGAGUUGGCCAUAAGAAAAUGUAGGCAAAGGGUAAUUUGUUAUAGUUCAGGUUGACAAGGUGCUGUAUUUUUCACAUAAUUGACAAGGAGCUGUUGUAUCUAUUCAGACUAGACUUAGAGCAAUGGUUGCAAGAGAUGAGUUCAGCAGAAAAAGAAACAAGGCUGCAACUAUAGUUAAGGUACUAUGGAUGAAUUAUGUUUGUAAAGUAUUUAAGAAAAUGAUUAUAAACAAGGGUGAAUUUGUACAAAUUAGUUAGCUACUUGCANUGAGUAUUUGAUAUCAAAACUUCUCAAGUUGCUUCUAUUUCCAUGCUAAGUUGGCUUUUAUUUAUCUUACUGUUUAUUAUCAUUUUUUAUAUAAAACUUCAUCAUUUAUAUUAUAUAUAAUACAUUAUAGACUUUGCAUCAUAAUUUGUUCAAUGUUACAGGAUACAAUUCAAAAUUCAAUUUCCUCAUGUUGUUGCUGAAAUGACAGCAAUUGGUUUUGGCCUACCAAAGAAUGCAUUCACCGCUCUAAUGAAGAAUGUAAGUGUUUAUUUUUCUUUUCUGUUUGGUGAAAAUCAUCAAAUGAAAAUCUCAUUAUAUAUCUUAGGAUCUUAUCAGUUAAUGAACUUGAUCGUGGGUAUGAUCAAGCAUAGAUUUACAUUUCUACCCCUGUUUUUAUCUUUUAUCUUUUGUGUCAUAUAAUUAUAUUUCCCUUUUUUUAUCAGGUUAAUUUGGUGGUUAAUUAUGAUCUUCCUAUAAGACAUGAUCAUCAAUCUCAACCUGACCAUGAAGUGUAGUUGCACUGAAUCGGAAGAGCAGGGUGAUUAUGGGAGAUGUUAAGUAGUUAUAGGGCUUUAGAUGCUUUCCCUUUGGGUAGGAAAUGUUUUUAAGACAUGAUCAUCAUUCUCUACCCCUGCUUUCCCUCUGGUGUUUAUCUCCCAUAAAACCCUAAAAUGUGGAUGUGCUAAAACUGAAGAAAUUAGAAGACACAUACUGGAUUUUAGCAAGUCGGGUAAGUUUAAAAAUAUCUUAAUACGAUAUUGAUUAGAUUACACAACAUGUAAUGUAGAAAAUAUCAUGAAUAUUUAUGAUCAAUAUUCAACUUUUGAAAAUGUAUCCAGUUUGAUGUUUAUCUAUUUGACAUUUUUUUGAUAGAAAAUGAGAAUACCGGAGAAGAUGAACCACAAAUUUACAUUGAAAUGAUCAAUGGAAUUAUCAAAUCCCUUCAGGUAUCAUCUCAUAUCACUUGCUUAUGAAAUUUAUUCAUCUAUACUUGAAAAGAUAUAUUUAUUUUUGUGUUGUUUCCAGGCUAUCCUUGAUGCAGUUCUCAGCACAACAAUUAUGAUUUUAUGAUGUUAGGCUAAACUAUAAAGCAAUCAUUCUUUGUUUUAGGAAACGUUUCAGAGCUUCUUUAGGCAGCUUAAUGAUGAGUUAUUGAAACAAAAUGGUGCCCCUUUAUAGCAAUGUAGUAUUAGGUUAUAUAGAUAGGAAAAACCUCUUAAUAACAACGUACAAUUAGAUCCCCUUAAUAUCAAUGUAUUACAAUUUUAUGACAUGAUGUUAUUGAAUGAAAUUGAUUGUGUAAUGGAUUGUAUUUUUUGUAUAUGGUAUUUUAUUUUCUAUUAUGAGACAUGAAAUGCAAAUUUAAUUUGAAAAUUAGUAAAUCUAUAAAUAAUUUUUAAAAAAAAUAAAAUAAAAAUUAUGAUACGCAAAAAUGUGUGUCAUCUUCAUUUAUGACAUGGCCUUUCUUGACAGUGGCUUUAAUGAUACGCAUUGCGUGUCAUAAAUACGUGUCGUCUAUAGACGACGCGCAAAAGCGCGUCGUCUCUCGUUAUGACAGGGCCUUCCUUGACGCGCAUGCGCGUCGUCUGACCGUUUUACGACUCGCAAUGAGCGUCGUAAAAGGCAUUUUUUCUAGUAGUGUUUGAGACAAGAAAUCAGAACCAAUGUACCUUCCGAGCUCGCUACUUGGCGCGUUAGACCGAGCUCGUUUGGAAUUUUCAUUCCUCAAAGUAUUAUAAAGCCUAAUUGUUUCGUUAUUUUAGUGAAAAGUGGAUCCGGGUGCCCCCAUAUUUUGCAUCACGUCAUGAAUGUUUGUUGAACCAUAUUUUGUUAAAUAAACUUCAAAUAAAUUUUGAAAAACUUUGUUAAAUUUUGAAACUUCCUUUGAUGCAUAAUCAAUGUCAUCAUCCAAUAAACCCAAAUCGUAACAAAUAUUUUCAAUUAAAGUCUCAACCCCCCCAACAUUUAGAGUUGGAUUCAAAGUGGCGGAACAAGUAAUAAUGGGAGCCAUUUCUUGAAAAUAUUUUUUUAACUUUGCUUUCAUCGGUUUCAUCAUAUUAGCAAACAUUGUGCUCCUCAUUUCAAACUCAUUUAUUUUCGCACACAUUAAAAAAAUUUGGUUUAAAACUAAACAACUUGUAGGAUAAUAAACCCCCGAUAAAAAAGUGGUUGUUUUUUUUUUAAAAAAACAUCAAGCAUGUCUGUAACAAGUUUGAUAGUAUCCCAACUUGAUUCCGGAUAAGCCGUAACCUUAUUACGGUCCGAAGGUUGUCAUGUAACAUUUUUAAAGUAUGUUUUUGACGUAAGGCACAUUCAAAAAUUUUGCAAGUGGAGUCCCAUCGGGUAUUAUUUUCCCAAUUCAGACCUAAAAAGAGGGCAUUCGCAUCGACACAAAAUUGCAUAUAAUUAUGAUAUCGAGCGUUACUAGAACUAAAAAUAUCUUUUAGCAUGUCUUUGAAACCAUCUUUUAUAGUUUCAAUGUGAGUUAGUCCAUCUUGCACAACCAAAUUAAUCAUAUGUGCAACACAUCGACUAUGAAAAAUAAACACCAUCACAAAUUGGUUUAUAUUUUAGUUUUAGUUGUCCAACCGCGACGGUGUUGUUUGAAGCAUUAUCAAAAGAUAUAGAAAAAAUCUUUCCUUCAAGUUUAUAAGUUUUGAUCACACAAUCUAAAAUUUUAAAUAAAUUUCUAUCGGUGUGCGGGUACUCAAACAAUUCAAACGUAAUCGUAUGCUUUAUCAUUACCCAAUUAGUUGGAUUAAUCCAAUGAGCGGUAACACAAAGGUACGCAUCCGGUGAACCGUCAGGAGCCGUCCAAACAUCACAAGUUAAAUUCACACCGGUUUCUAAAGAUUGAAAUCCUAAAAUCAAUUCAUUUUUUGCAAGUUUCCACAUUUCAAUACAAUCGCGUCUAAUAGAAGUACGACUCACAUGGCAAUAUCGUGGUUGGAGAGUAUCUUGGAUGAGUGAAGUCAAUCGUUUGUUGUCGAAGUGGUCAAAAGGCAAGCAUUCUUGAAUCACGAACUUCGUCAUCCUAUCCCGAACUUUAGCCAUAUCGUAACUCCACAAUGUUGCAUCAUUCGUCAUUCUUGUUUGAAUAUGUCCCGACCCAAAUUUCACCGUGGGGCAUCUUUUGGUCAUAUGAUUUUUCAAUGUCGAAUUCUCAUCUUCAUUAAAAAAAGCACCACAUUUCUUGCAUUGCGCUUUUUUAUACCGUUCGACAUUACACACAAAUCGUAGUUGCACAAAAUAGCCGGAUUUCUAUUUGUUUCUUUGAUGCUAACAACGGUAAGAGUGUUUGAUGAAUCUCGAACACCAACGGAAGCCGAAUCCAUUGUUUGAAUUAAGAGUGGUUUUUGAACUAAGAGAGGUUUGCGGUUUUUGAACUAAGAGAGGUUUUUUGAGGUUUGGUUAAGGUAAAGUUGAGACCUAAAAAUGUAAUACAUAUAUAUAUACUAUAAGGAAUAGUUAAUAUGGUAAAAAAGAAGCAAAAAUCGAGUCUUGAACAGCCUCAAACGACUAUAUAGCCGUUAGGAAAAGACAAAAAAACGGUAACAUUACAAAAACCGGUUCACCAACGGCACUUUCGAAAUCUGGUUCAAAACUGGUUCAUCACACCUGUUCAGAAUAAACCAGUUCCAAACCGGUCUCCAGGGUAAAACAUGCGAACUGGUAACAUCCGAUGGUUCGGUUCACUAUGGGUUCGGUUCUUAUGUGAACCGGUUCAAGGCUAAACCGGUUUCCGGUUCACCAACCGGUUCGGUUCCUAAACCAGUUUUUUUGCCCACGCCUACCACUAGCUAGUCUAGGUGGGCUUUUAGUACGGGGGUUUUCAUGAGGAAUAGGUUGAAAGGAGUGUUGGCAUCUCACUGCCGUCAUCUGUUACCAUUUCAUAAGGAGUGGUAGCAUUCCUAGCACAUUAGAUUUUUUUUUUUUGAUUUUUUUUUUUGAACUUAAAUAAAUUAUAUUUUUAUAAAACACAAACAAUUCAAUAUUAAUCAAGAAACUAACUACAUUUUAUAGAUAAAUUUACCUUAUUUAAACAAGGAUUAAUAGAAAGGUCAAAUAAAAUUUAAAUGGUUAACGACAUGCUUAAAAUUUUACAAAUAUAUUGAUUUUGUAACGACACAAUUUUCUACUCUAUCAAGGUAAAGAAACAUUUAUGUUAAUAAUAAAGUGACACUUUAAUAUAUAUCUUCAAAUAAUUAUUAAAAAUAAAUAAUACUAUAAAAAAUUACCAAUACUAUCUAGAAACAAAAACCACUCACAGCACGGAAUUUACAAAACAACCAUCCAACUUCCUUAUUUUUUUGAAAGAGCUUUUACGAUCUCCAUUUCCAUUUCCUUUUUUUCUUAAAAUUACAUCUUACAUCUUCCAAUUUGCUAUUAUCAUUUCUUAAGUUUGUGAAAGUAGACUAUUCCACAAAACUACUCCUCCAAUUGUGUGAAACACGAAGCAAAAGCGAGACCUUUGAGCUUUUUCUUAAAAAAUAAUCCUUGUUUGAGAUGGAGACCACACCAUUGAUGGGAGAAAUGAAGGUUCUAGAGAACGAUUGUAAGAGGAAGAUUAUUGUAUCCACAGGCCAAUAUCCAACAAAUCUCUUUCUCUUUCUUCUCGCUAUGGUGUUGACGAGCCAUGGCUGGCGACUUCCUUGGCGCAAGCCAGGGGGCGGCCUUCAGCGCCCUUGGCGACCGGUGGCGACCUCCAUAGCGAGGCCCACUCCCUAAAGCCUUAUAACACACCAUUUAUUGACCAAGUUUACCCAACAAUGCAUCCCAAUUCAUUAGAUUUGUCUUAUCAUUAUACUUUUUAUACAAUUUCAUCAUUUUUCUAUAAUAUAUUAAAACUCUAUGAAAAUUCAAAAGAAUAUACUUUUGAAUUUUCAUAGAAUUUUAUUAUAUUAUAGAAAUAUGGUGAGAAUCCUAGAUGCUUUUAUCUCUCUUUCAGACUUAAAAGCCAGUAUGCGUUCAAUAAGUACGUGGCCAACUCCGGACCUAGCUUUUGCGAACGUGGGACGUUCACUUCGGAUAGCCUCGAAAUGAGUACCUCUUACUUUAAAAAUUUAUAACUUUGGCAUACGAGCUCCGUUUUCGACAUUCACUUUCAUUUAGACUCUGUUUGCUAAUUUUGAUUUUUAUUUUUAAAUUUAUAUUUUUUAACAGGCCGGGACUGGAAAAGCCCGUUAAAAAUUCAUAACUUCUUCAUCCGACGUUCGUUUUCGUAUGACUUUUUACCAUUAAACUACUAUCGACGAGAUUUUUGAUUCUCAUUUACAUUGUGUUGGAUAAAAAUCGCUCGAUCUAUACUUCGAACUACGGGCUGCACAAUGUUAUGCCAAAUCUUAGAAAAUUCAUAACUUCCUCAUACGAAGCUAGAUUUGGAUUUCUUUUUUAUGCACGCUCUUGGUUUAACGUAUACUACGAUUUUCAUUUAGAUUGCUAAGGCUAAAAAACACUUUAUCGUAAACUCACUUUUCACGUCACACAAUGUCAUGUCAGUUUUGUCGCGAAACUUCGAUAUGUCAUAAAUUCUUCGUGAUCAGGGCCGAUCUUGAAAAAUGAAAUAUUCUUGGAGCCCCAGGACGAGCAAGAAAAAAAUGGCCCUUAUCUUUAUUAUAAUUUUGUAAUUUUAAAUAAAAAUAUAUAAUGAAAAAAAUUAGGCCAUGUGCAGCUGCCCACUUUGCCUCCUUCUAAGCCCCCAUUGUUCAUGAUAACUCGGAUUUCAGCGUUCUUUAUAUUUCUGGAGUCCUUGUCACGACCACUACAACUUUCUUCAUAGAUAUCGGGUUUAUAUAACAUUUUAUUUUUGACGCUUAUUUUUAUUCUUAAUUAAUUAUAUCAUUAUAAACAAGUAUAUAAUCACAUAAAAUCACGUAAUUCACAUAAUACUCAAGUAAUUCAUCUUUAUUACAUUAAAAUAGGUUACAAUGGUUGACCUUGACUAUUACAUCAUCAUACUAAUGUGAAACAACCUAAAAUACGACCCAAUUUUUUUUUUGUUAAAAUAAUACUAAAGAUAUCAACCAUCAUAAUAUAUCAUGAAAUCGUACGUCAUAAAUCCCCAAAAAGUUAUAAUAGAUAUGUCAUGACAAAAGAGUUGUAUCAACAUACCAUAGUAUCUAAAAUAAACUCCCAGGACAAAAGUUGAAACUGUGGUGUGUGCAAUGUCAUCAUCCUGAGCUCUUUCCUUUGCUUGCGGAAAUACCUGAAACCAAAACUGAAACUGUAAGCACAAAGCUUAAUGAGCUCCCCCAAACUACCACAUACCAUACAAUAGCAUAUACAACACAUACUAGGCCUUGCCCACUGCAUCGGACCGAAGUCCGGAAAUUGCAUCGGACCGAAGUCCAGAACUAACCAAGGCCUUGCCCUCUGCAUCGGACCGAAGUCCGGAACUACAUCAGACCGAAGUCCGGAAACUAACCAGGGCCUUGCCCUCUGCAUCGGACCGAAGUCCGGAACUAACUGCAUCGGACUGAAGUCCGGAACUGACUGCAUCGGACCGAAGUCCGAAAUUGUCUGAACAUAACAUAUCAUAAACAUCUCAACCAGUAUGAACACAUAAACUGCAUAUCGCAUCAGACCGAAGUACGAAACACAUAACACAAAUACAUGCUUGAAUCACAAAGACAUCAAGCAUUCUAAGUACUGCAACGGACGGAGGUCCGAAACUUCUGCUAACUAAACCGACCGGCAUUGUAGCCGUAGACCCGUUCCUACUGGAAGGAAAACUCACCUCGUAAUGCUGGCUGCUGAGAUGCUAACUCUAAAAGUGACUGACCGCUGCUUCGGAACUGUCCGACUACAAAUCCCAGAAACACUAGAUUAGUUACUUGCAUAUACCCUCAGGGUAAGAUGACUAUUUUGCCCCUGGUCAAAGUCAACUUCUAGUUGACCGGACUCGCCGACUAUGGGCGCAGAACCGCCGAGUCCCUCCUUUACUAACUCUGACUUUAACUCACCGAGUCCCUUUCCCACUCACUGACUCUCUCUGAACUCGUAGGUCGAAGAAAAAAGGGGACUCACGACUCGACUCGUCGAGUCUGAAGAACAACUCGCCGAGUCCUGCCGUGCAUAUUCCAAACAAACGAAUUCAAAACUAUUCCAGAGCAUCUGACUUGAAGAUCUGAGCCCUUGGAACUAUCUAAACACGUGAAGUUUCUAACUUUACGUGCAACUAAGAAGGAAUGAAGCUAUUUCACUCAAACACUACUUUUCUUGGGAAAACUCAUCCGACUCGCCGAGUUGUAUGAACAACUCGUCGAGUCUAAGGUGAUCUUCAUCGGACUCGCAGAGUUGCUCAUCAAACUCGUCGAGUCUACGACUAUCUUCAUAUGACUCGCCAAGUCACACAUGCGACUCGCCAAGUCCAUUCAGUCCCUUUUUCCAUACAGACCUGAUUUGGGCCAUGCAGUGGCUCCAAAUCACAGAUCCAAGAUUCUAGGGCAUGCUUAUCACGUAAAUUUGCAAACUUUACGUGCAUGCAUGGCUUUAAAGGCUUCAAAUGCCAACCCUAAGCUCUUAAUGGGGUUCCAAGCUCAAGAGGGACCUCAAUCACGACCAUAACCGAAACUUUACUCUUCUAGAAUGCAAUGAGAGUCUAGAUCUGAUGUUUCCAUAAAAGGGGAAGUCCAUCUCUCAAGUUUGAACCAUAAGAGGCUCCAAAGAGGGCAUAACAAGCAUAUAUGAGGUUAUAAUGGGGGAAUGCACAAGGUCAUAACUUCAUUACCUGAAUGAAAAACAGAUGUAAGCUAACUCCUAGAUUUUCCUUCCCUUCUAUGGACCUUCCUUCCUUCCCAAAGCUUCCAAGCUAUCACAAAUACCCUCAAACUCAACAAUGGGGCUAGGGUUUACAAGGGAAAUGUUAUGAGAGUGAUAGAGGCGAGGUUGGGGGCGCAUAAGUGUGUUUAAAUAGGGUGAAAACCCUUAAAAUUAGGGCUUCAUCCAGACAGGCGGACUCGCCGAGUCCAACGUAUGGACUAGUCGAGUAGCCAUCUCAAAACGCGUGAUCGUCCCGUCUCUACUUGACGAGUCAGGCUACAGACUCGUCGAGUACCCCUUCAGAAAUGAAAAUACUUUAUUUGAAUUACAUACCAGAAAUGGGGCGUUACAACUCUCCCCCACUUAUCUUAGACUUUGUCCUCGUAGUCUGCUGCUGCUGCUGAAAAUAACUCUGGGUAAUGCUCCCUCAUCUCCUACUCGGACUCCCACGUCCACUCUGAACCCUUUCGGUGCUGCCACAACACCUUCACUAGCUGAACCACCUUGUUCCUCAAGGUCUUCGUCUUCCAAUCUAUGAUCGCAACUGGUCUCUCGAUAUAAUUCAGGCUGCUAUCAACCUGAAUAUCCUCCAAGGGUACAACUGCUGACUUGUCCACCAAACACUUUCGCAACUGGGAAACAUAGAAAGUGUUGUGGAUCUGGCUAAGCUCUACCGGAAGAUCCAACCGAUAAGCAACCCGACCCACCCGGACCAAAACCCUAAAAGGGCCAAUGAACCUGGGACCCAGCUUGCCUCUCUUCCGAAACUUGAUAACACCCUUCCAAGGUGAUACCUUCAGGAGGACCAUAUCGCCCACCUGAAACUCCAAGUCCGAACGCCUCUUGUCGGUGUAACUCUUCUGCCUACUCUGUGCAGUCUGCAGUCUACUACGAACCUGCUGGAUCAACUCUGUGGUCUUGAGCACCAUUUCAGUGCUCCCAAUGACUCACUGACCAACCUCGCCCCAACAAAUCGGAGUCCUGCACUUCCUUCCGUAUAGCAUCUCGAAAGGAGGACGUUUAAUACUAGUGUGGUAACUAUUGUUAUACGGAAAUUCCGCUAGUGGGAGAUACGUAUCCCAACUACCACCGAAGUCUAGAACACAUGCCCGGAGUAUGUCCUCGAGAGUCUGAAUUGUCCUCUCACUCUGCCCGUCCGUCUGGGGGUGGAAGGCGGUGCUAAAAUGAAGACGAGUCCCCAUCUCGUCAUGAAACUGCUUCCAAAAUCUGGAAGUAAAACGGACGUCUCGGUCUGACACUACCGAAACAGGCACUCCGUGCUGUGCUACUACCUCGCGUACAUAGAUGUGGGCUAGCUUCUUAGCCGAUAUGCUCUCCUAGAUCGGUAUAAAAUGUGCGCUCUUGGUCAGCCGAUCCAUUAUGACCCAAAUCGAAUCCACUCCCCGUGCGGUCCUGGGAAGCUUGGUGACAAAAUCCAUGGUAAUGUCCUCCCAUUUCCAUAUGGGAAUAUCUAACGGCAGCAUCUUGCCGUGGGGUCUCUGGUGCUCUGCCUUGACCUUCCUGCAGGUCAGGCAUCUCCCCACAUUCCAGGCGACAUCCUGCUUCAUGCAGGGCCACCAAUAGUCGGGUCGAAGAUCUCUGUAGAUCUUCGUUGCCCCUGGGUGGAUGGAAAAUCAAGAAUUAUGAGCCUCGUCCAUCAAUACCUGCCAUACUCCGCCCCAGUACAGUACCCAAACCCUCCCAUGGAGGGUCAACAAUCGUUAACUGUCAUAAUCAAAGGAAGCUACUCGGUCCACGAUUCUCUCACACUUCUGCCUCUCCUCCUUGAGGCCCUCGACGUGUGCCUCCCUGAUCUGCUCCAACAAGGGAGUAAUCACUGUCAUCCUCAAGCAUACAUCCCUGAUCGGGGCCGCUGCCGUCUUGUGGCUCAGGGCGUCGGCCACUACGUUGGCCUUCCCCGGGUGAUAAAGGAUCUCACAGUCGUAAUCCUUCACCACAUCUAACCACCGACGCUGCCGCAUGUUAAGAUUCGGCUGGUCCAUGAGGUACUUCAGACUCUUGUGAUCCGUGUAGAUGGUGCAACGGACCCCAUAGAGGUAGUGUCUCCAAAUCUUGAGGGCGAACACCACUGCCCCCAACUCCAAAUCAUGCAUCGGAUAGUUAGCCUCGUGAGACUUCAACUGUCUGGAGGCAUAAGCUAUCACAUGCCCCCGUUGCAUCAACACUGCCCCCAUAUCUGCGAUCGAGGCAUCACAGUAGACUACAAAAUCAUCCACUCUCUCCGGCAAGGUCAGAAUCGGUGCCUCGCACAAUCGCUGUCUGAGAGUCUCGAAAGUCGCCUGCUGCUCAGGCCCCUAACGAAACACCACCGACUUCUUGGUUAGUCGGGUGAGUGGAACUGCUAUCUUGGAGAAAUACUGAAUGAAUCUCCUGUAGUACCCUGCCAAACCUAGGAAGCUCUGAAUCUAUGAUGGAGACUUUGGGACCUCCCACUGCAUCAUGGCCUCUAUCUUGGCCGGAUCUACCAGUAUACCCUUCUGGUUGAUGAGGUGCCUAAGGAAUUGCACCUCGCGCAACUAGAACUCGCACUUGGAGAACUUUGCUAAAAGUUUCUCCCUCCUCAAGACCUCUAGCACCUCCCUUAGGUGCUCCUCGUGCUGCUCCUGAGUCUUGGAAUAAACCAAGAUGUCAUCGAUGAAUACAAUCACAGACCGGUCCAACAUCGGCAUGCACACGCGGUUCAUGAGUUCCAUGAACGCGGAUGGAGCGUUGGUGAGCCCAAACGACAUCACCACAAACUCAUAAUGACCAUAACGGGUCCUAAAAGUUGUCUUCUGAACAUCCUCACCCCUGACCCGCAUCUGAUGAUAACCGGAGCGCAAAUCAAUCUUGGAAAACCAAGACGCUCCUUGAAGCUAAUCGAACAAGGCAUCUAUCCUCGGAAGUGGGUAACGGUUAUUCACCGUUACCUUGUUCAACUCCCAGUAGUCUAUGCACAUACGGUGCGACCCAUCCUUCUUCUUCACAAACAAGAUUGGGGCUCCCCAUGGAGAACUAAUUAGUCUAAUGAAACCCUUGUCUAGCAGCUCCUGCAGCUGCGUAUACAACUCCUGCAUUUCUGGAGGAGCCAACCGAUACGGCGCCUUGGCUAUCGGAGCCGCACCAGGAACCAAGUCAAUCUUGAACUCAACCUGUCUCUCUGAAGGUAUCCCAGGUAAUUCCUCUGGGAAUGAGUCCGGGUACUCUCGCACCACUGCUACAUCAUCUACUGUCAUCGUACUCUUAUCCCGGGUAUCCAUCACAUAUGUGACAUAACCUGCUUAACCCUGUUGGAAGUAGCGCCUCACUCUCACUGCUGAACAAAGAAUCGGUCCGCGUUGUGGGCUCUCGCCCUGAAUCACUAACUCUCCCCCGUUGGGAGUGCGAACCCUCACUAGCUGCAAUUCGCAAUCAAUCAUCGCCCCAUUGGGGCUCAACCAAUCCAUGCUUACUAUGGCCUUGUUCCCUCGCAAAGGAAUAGGGACCAUGUCCACCGAAAACUGCUCAUCGAAUAACUGCAGUGAGCAUGCCUUAUGCACCCUCGUGACCCUGACGGUCCUAUCAUCGGCUAUCUCCACCUCGAGUGGACAAUCCAGCUCCCUAGGAUCUCUGCUAAACCUCUUGCUAAGUGCAAGAGAGACAAACGAUCGGGUAGCCCCUGAAUCAAAUGACACUGUAGCUGAAAUGUCGUUCACUAAGAACGACCCUAUACAUAAACAUAUAACAUUAGAAACAAUCAAUAAUCAAUGCAUAGAUAAAAGGAAAAUACAUACCCGUCACCACGUCAGGAGUCGCUCGCGCCUCCUCUGCUGUUAUCUGAAAAGCUCUACUCUUCGCCACUGGCACCUCGGCCCGCCCCUGACGACCGUUCGUAAUCCUCAAUGUAGCAGGGGCAGGUGCCGACACCUUCCCUGCUGCUGCUAAGCUUGGGCACUGGGACUUUUUAUGUCCCCUCUGAUUGCAAUGGAAGCAAAUCAGAUCUGAUGCUGCGGUAGCUGUGGUAGAAACUGUACAAUCUCUGCUCAUAUGCCUAGUCCAACCGUACUUGUAGCAGCCGGAACUCCCUGCCUUGCACGCCCCAUCGUGUAAUCUCCCACACUUGCCACACCGACUGUGGCUCUGCUGACCUCUGGACCUAUGAUCCGAAACCUUGGGCUUCUUGCCCAAACUCCCUGUACCCGAAGCCGCCUCCGCCUUCCUCUUAUUCUCCAUCUCAAGAUCAAUCUCUCUCUCUCUCUCUCUCUCUCUCGCCCUUGCAAUCAUAUCAUCCAGCAUCUUACAGCUGGAUCGGCUCACAAACUGGCGGAUAUCACUCCGCAGCGUCUCAUGAUAACGGGCCUUCUUCAUUUCCUCGUCAGCUGCGUACUGAGGAACAAGAAGAGCCCUCUCCCUGAACUUGGCGGUAAUCUCCGCCACUGUCUCUAUAGUCUGAGUAAGGUCUUGAAACUCUCUAGCUAACUGUUGCACCUCAAUAGUCGGUGCGAACUCGGCUCUGAACCUGGUGGUAAAAUCAGCCUAAGUCAUAGUAUCAAGUGCUAUGUCAUCCCUGAUACCAUGCCCAACCUCCUCCCACCAGUCACAUGCCCUAUCCUUCAGGAGACAGGAUGCUAAUCUGACCUUGUCCCCUUCGGGACAUCUGCUAGUGCGGAACACGUUGGCAACAUCUGCCAACCACCUAGUGCUCGCAAUGAGGUCCCGCACCCCAUGAUAGCCUGGAGCUCCACAAGCCCGAAACUCCCUGAAGGUGAGUGUGCGCGACCCCAUCAUGGCCGCCAUCUCAGCACGAAAUGUGCUCAACUUCUCAUCCAUCAACUCCAAGAUACCCUCCUUGAUCGAACCGAAGAUCACAGGACUCUGCUCAAGUAUGAUACGGGUAACCUCUGAAGUGAAAAACUCCCUAGUUUGCUCAUCCAACUGCUCGGCCCCCCAGCCUGAUCCUGAUCCUUCCUCGGCACCUGAGCUGCCGACUGCUGGCCUAGGGCGUAAAACCACCAUUCUGAAAACACAUCAUGAUAAACGUCAAAAACACUGAUAUAUCUCUAGGGAUCGCUACUACUAUAGGUUUCCUGGUCUCGCCUCUGCCUUCCUUGAUUCAAGUACAAAUCCUCAACAAAAACCAGUCCUCAACUGCUGAAGGCCUCCUUGUAAUGCCAAUUAGUCAUCACCUGAAUAUCAUCACAUGUGACGAGACUCAGAUAAUCCUUCGAGUAAAAGACUCAUUCCUACAACGGAUGGACUCAAACAAGAGCUGCGCAGUAGAGCCAAAUCCAGCACUCUGAGAUUAUUCAACCCUGAUCUCAGGCGAUGUGUCGUAUUCACCUAAUGGUUAACUCUCAUUACCCGGAGUCUCAUAAAGCACAAAGCAAGCAGCAUUCGGACACAGGAAACUAAUCAAGCCACUCUAUUCUCAUAACAAGAAAUUGUACUAGCAUACAAUGUUAAGCUCGUACUGUCAGGCAUAACCUAAACAGGCUAUCCUACUGCUGUCUACUCAAUACUAGCAUGCAGUUCUCAUAAAGCUGAAGCACAUAUAGCAUGCACAUAAGGCAUCCUGCUAGAUCCUUAGUCCUAUUCUAGCAUGCUGUUCUACUGAAACUAAAACUGAUAAUCAUAACAUAAACUUGUAUGGGUAAUUUAGGGGUACUUACUUGAGCUCGACUGAUCGCAUGCACCACACCCUUUUCUCGUUUUCAAAACUCUUUUCUUUUUAAGUCUCUUUCUCAAAAGUUCUUUUGAACACAUUUUUCUUUCGAAAAUCUUUUUUCUAUUUCCUCAGUUUGAGUUCAGUUACACCCGUAAGUGUGUCUGAAUCCCUCAAACCAAGGCUCAGAUACCAACUUGAAAUAACCCAAAAUACAACCCAAUUUUUUUUUGUUAAAAAAAUACUAAAGAUAUCAACCAUCAUAAUAUAUCAUGAAAUCGUACGUCAUAAAUCCCCAAAAAGUUAUAAUAGAUGUGUCAUGACAAAAGAGUUGUAUCAACAUAACAUAGUAUCUAAAAUAAACUCCCAUGACAAAAGCUGAAACUGUGGUGUGUGCAAUGCCGUCAUCCCGAGCUCUUCCCUUUGCUUGCGGAAGUACCUGAAACCAAAACUGAAACUGUAAGCACAAAGCUUAGUGAGCUCCCCCAAACUACCACAUACCAUACAAUCAUAUAAAACACAUAUUGGGCCUUGCCCACUGCAUCGGACCGAAGUCUAGAAAAUGCAUCGGACCGAAGUCCGGAACUAACCAGGGCCUUGCCCUCUGCAUCGGACCAAAGUCCAGAACUGCAUCGGACCGAAGUCUGGAAACUAACCAGGGCCUCGCCCUCUGCAUCGGACCGAAGUUCGGAACUAACUGCAUCCAACCGAAGUCCGGAAUUGUCUGAACAUAACAUAUCAUAAACAUCUCAACUAGCAUGAACACAUAAACUGCAUACCGCAUCGGACCGAAGUCCGAAACACAUAACACAAAUACAUGCUUGAAUCACAAAGACAUCAAGCAUUCUAACUACUGCAACGGACAGAGGUCCGGAACUUCUGCUAACUAAACGGGCCGGCAUUGUGGCCGUAGACCCGUUCCUACUGGAAGGAAAACUCACCUCGUAAUGUUGGCUGCUGAGAUGCAAACUCUAAAAGUGGCUGACCGCUGCUCCGGAACUGUCCGACUACAAAUCCCAGAAACACUAGAUUAGUUACUUGCAUAUACCCUCAGGGUAAGAUGACUAUUUUGCCCCCGGUCAAAGUCAACUUCUAGUUGACCGGACUCACCGAGUCAGGGCGCAGACUCGCCGAGUCCCUCCUUUACUAACUCUGACUUUAAUUCACAGAGUCCCUUUCCCACUCACUGACUCUCUCUGAACUCGUAGGUCGAAGAAAAAAGGGGACUCACGACUCGACUCGUCGAGUCUGAAGAACAACUCGCCGAGUCCUGCCGUGCAUAUUCCAAACAAACGAAUUCAAAACUAUUCCAGAGCAUCUGACUUGAAGAUCUGAGCCCUUGGAACUAUCUAAACACGUGAAGUUUCUAACUUUACGUGCAACUAAGAAGGAAUGAAGCUAUUUCACUCAAACACUACUUUUCUUGGGAAAACUCAUCCGACUCGCCGAGUUGUAUGAACAACUCGUCGAGUCUAAGGCGAUCUUCAUCAGACUCGCCGAGUUGCUCAUCCAACUCGUCAAGUCUACGGCUAUCUUCAUAUGACUCUCUGAGUCACGCAUGCGACUCGCCGAGUCCAUUUAGUCCCUUUUUCCAUACAGACCUGAUUUGGGCCAUGCAUUGGCUCCAAAUCACAGAUCUAAGCUUCUAGGGCAUUCUUAUCACGUAAAUUUGCAAACUUUACGUGCAUGCAUGGCUUUAAAGGCUUCAAAUGCUAACCCUAAGCUCUUAAUGGGGCUCCAAGCUCAAGAGAGACCUCAAUCAUGACCAUAACAGAAACUUUACUCUUCUAGAAUGCAAUAAGAGUCCAGAUCUAAUGUUUCCAUAAAAAGGGGAAGUCCAUCUCUCAAGUUUGAACCAUAAGAGGCUCCAAAGAGGGCAUAACAAGCAUAAAGGAGGUUAUAAUGGGGGAAUGCACAAGUUCAUAACUUCAUUACCUGAAUGAAAAAUAGAUGUAAGCUAACUCCUGGAUCUUCCUUCCCUUUUAUGGACCUUCCUUCCUUCCCAAUGCUUCCAUGCUAUCACAAAUACCCUCAAACUCAACAAUGGGGCUAGGGUUUACAGGGGAAAUGUUCUGAGAGUGAUAGAGGCGAGGUUGGGGGCGCAUAAGUGUGUUUAAAUAGGGUGCAAACCCUUAAAAUUAGGGCUUCAUCCAGACAGGCGGACUUGCCGAGUCCAGCGUAUGGACUCGUCGAGUAGCCAGCUCAAAACGUGUGAUUGUCUCGUCUCUACUCGACGAUUCGGGCUACAGACUCAUCGAGUACCCCUUAAUAAAUGAAAAUACUUUAUUUGAAUUACAUACCAAAAAUGGGGCAUUACAUAAUGCUUAGCCCAGAAACACGGACGUUACACUUCUCUCCUCCUUAGGAUGAUGCCAUCCCCAGAAUCAUACAUCAACAAACUAAUGCGGAUAGCGACUCAUCAUGUCACUCUCCAUUUCCUAGGUGAGAUUUGACUCAUUCGUAUGUUUCCGUCGCACAAGUAGUAAGUCAACCAUCUUGUGACGCAACUUCUUCGUCUUAUGGUCAACAAUCGCCUCCGGUUCUUCAACUAGCCUCUUAUUUUCAUCCAUCCUUAGCUCAUAAAUUAGAAUUAUGUCAGGAACUUCUCCCAUGAAUUUCCUCAAAUAACUCACAUGGAAAGUGUUAUGAAUAAUGUCUAGUUCUUCUGGUAGUUCUAGCUUGUAGGCUUGGUUCCCAAUCCUCUGAAGAACUUUGAACGGUCCAAUGAAUCUUGGACUUAACUUCCCUUUUUCCCGAAUCUUAUAAGUUCCUUGUAGCACCUGGUUCCUGGUAUGUAAUUUAUUUAAAUAUUUUGCAUUUUUGGCCUUGGACUCGGCAAGUUGAAGGACCAACUUGCCGAGUAGAAGCGGGAUGGGACGUGGGAUUUAAGUGAUGGACACGUCGAGUCGGGUCCCGGACUCGACGAGUAGGCUCUGACUGAAAAACCCUAAUCCGAGGGUUUGCACCCUAUUUAAUCAUCUCAUUUUCCCCUAAUGCUCCCAGAAACCCUCCCUAGUAAACCCUAAGUGUUUUGGUGCAAGAUCUAAGGCUUUUGAGUGAUUUUUGUGGGUUUUGACCUCAAGGAAUAAGGAAGAGCAUAGAAGGAUCAAGAGGAGACUGAAGGAUUAGAGUUUGGUGCAUCAUUUUCAGUCCUUGAAAGGUAUAAAUUAUGUACCUUGCUUGUUCAUUUGUUAGAUCCUUUUUUGGGGAAGAUUUAGGGCUUCUUAAGUCAUAUGAGGUGGCCAAACAUGGUUGGGGGUCAAGACUUCGGAUCUAAGUCUUGGAAGGAGUCCCAAAGCAGAUUUGGGUUGCUUUUGCACCCAAGGAAGGUCCCAUGCAACAUAAGAGCCAUUUUAGAGCCUUUUUGGGUCAAAAGUCCCAUGCAUGCACGUAAAGUUCGAAACUUUACGUUCUAGAUCGAGCUUAGGGCUUGGAUCUAUCUUUUUGUCAAAGGUUGUACAUCAGAAAUCGAGGAUUUAGGGUGUGGAUGUUAUCGAAUCGGCGAGUCAGUUCUUGGGACACGACGAGUCCAAAGCAUAGGGUCUGUUAUCUGUUGAGGGUCAAAAGAACCCAGUUGGGUGUUAGAAGGGUUGUAGAAGGUCCGAGAGAGUGACCCAACGUGUUGGACUUAGCCUUAGACUUGGAAUUCAUGGGACUCGUCGAGUGCUAGAACAGACUCGGCGAGUCCAAGGCAAUCUCCUUAUCGAUGAAGAUGAACUCGACGAGUUGUUCAUACAACUCGGCGAGUCGGGGUCAGGACUUGUUCAUCAGAUGAAGGUGAACUCGACAAGUGUUCAUCCGACUCGGCGAGUCGGAUGAAGGUUCAUUGAUGUUCGUAAAGAAAGGGAACUCGUCGACUUGUUGCCAAACUCGACGAGACGAGUCGUGGAUAAGGACGAGUAAAGGAAAGGGACUCGACGAGUUNAACUCGGGGAGUCGGGUCAACUGGAAGUUGACUUUGACUUGGACUUGGUUGGGGGUAAAAUAGUCAUUUUACCCCAAGAGUAGAUAUUAGUUUUCUGACUGAGUAUUUUGUGGGGAUUAUAGCCGGAGGAUUUCCGAAGCAACAGCAGGCAGAGGUUUCCUGCACAUAUUAUCAGCAGCUACUUGUUCGAGGUGGGUUGCCUACCAGUAGCGGUGGGUCUACGACCACAAUGUCGGCCCACCAAUAGGAGUUGUAUAAUUAUAUGAUUGUCUUUGUGAUAUCAUCUAGGUUGCUUCUACCUGAUAUGUUAUAUGCUGGCAUGAUAUGUUAUAUGUGAUAGUAGUAGAGUUCGGUUGUUAGGACCGAAGGGUAGGUCAAACACCCCAGAUAUGUAUGACAGUAUGUGAUGAUAUGUUUAUAUGCCGACAUGACAUGUUAUAUGGGAUAGUGGUAGUAGGAGGGGAACAGUCCCCAAGUUCGGUUGUUAGAACCGAAGGGUAGUUCAGACACCCCAGAUAUGUCUGAUAGUAUGUUUAUGUUAUGAUAUAUGUGAUAGUAGUGGUACGUGUGGAAUAGUCCCCGAGGGUCGGUCUUUAGGACUGACGGGUAGGUCAGCACCCCAAAAAGACUUGACAGGGGUAGGACGACACCCCAGAAUGGCCGCACGGGUAGGUCGGCACCCCAGAAUGGCCGUACCGGGUAGGCCGGGCACCCUAGAAUUGCCUGGCAGUAUGUAUGCUAUGUGAUUGUAUGGUAUGUGGUACGAUGGGGGAACUUACUAAGCUUCCUGCUUACAGUUUACAGUUUUGGUUUCAGGUACCUCUUCAACAAAGGGGAAGGAGCUGGCGCGGUAGCGGCACAUCAUACACACAUGUUGGUUUCCGCACUAGUGUUUCUUGGGUCGUUACAAGUUGGUAUCAAAGCCCUGAUCUGAGGGAUUCGGACACACCUUGGGGGUGUCUGGACUCAAAUCGAGGGAUUAAAAGACUUUUACAAGAAAAAUGGUUUCUUAAAAGCUAAGAUAAAAGAGUUUUGGGAAAGAACAAAGUGUGUGAUGUGCGCGACCGGCCGAGCUCAAGUAAGUAUUCCCCAAAGUACCCAUACAAGUUUAUGUUAUGUUUAUCAGUUUCAGUAGAAUAGCAUGCUAGAAUAGGACUGAAGAUCUAGGAAUGAUGGCUUAUGUGUCUGCUUUAUGUGCUCCAGCUUAUGAGAAUUGCAUGCUAGUAUUAAGUAGAAAAUAAUAGGAUAGUCUGUUUAGGUUAUGCCUGGUAUUAUGAGCUCAGCAUUGUAUGAUGGUACAACUUCUCGUUAGGAGAAUAGAGUUGUUUGAGUAGUUUCCUGUGUCCGAAUGAUGCUUGCUCAGUGCUUGUAGGACUCUGAAUGAUGGCCGUUAGCCAUUAGGUGAGUACGUCGCGUCGCAUGUCAUUAGGAUUGAAUAAUCUCAGAGUGCUGGAUUUGGCCCUAUUGCGCGGCUCUCGUUUGAGUCUAACCGUUGUAGGGACGAGUCUUUUACUUGAAGGAUUAUCUGAGCCUUGUUACAUGUGAUGGUAUUUAGGUGAUGGCUAAUUGAUAUCACAAGGAGGCCUUCAACAGCCGAGGACCGGUUUGGGUAGAGUCAGAGAUUUUCCCUAGGGUAAGCCUACGAUGAGAGUAGCAGAGAUCAGCAGUGGAAAAAGGGACUUGGUGGAGUCGAGGCCGUCCUUGAGGAAAGUACGGAUAGAUAUGGAAGGUAGUAUGGGCCCGUACUACAGAAAGCAGAGGAUCCGUACUCGAAUUAAGGAAGGCUAAGGCAAGACCAAGGAACUUGUGAUGGGUGUGAUCCCUAUAGAUGUACUAGUAUCACUGACGGAUGUCAUGAUGUAUUGCGGAAUGGUGGUACUAAGGCCAAGGCCAGCAGUGGGUAGCUCAGGAGAGGGAUCGGGUUCGGGUUCAGGCUCCGAACCAGUGGACGAGAGGCUACGCGAGUUCAUCGCGUCUAAGAUCACUAUAGGCAUCCUUGAUGCGACCCCGAUCAUCUUUGGGUCGAUCAAGGAAGGGAUUGUUGAGCUGAUGGAGGAUCGCCUUAGGGCGCUCAGGAGUGACAUGGCGACCAGCCAGUCAGGAUCCCGCAUACUAUCCUUUAAGGACUUCAGGGGCAGUGGCGCGCCGGACUUCCACGGGGAAAAGGACCCCAUUUCUGCUAGACGAUGGAUUGCGGACAUGGAGUCUGCACAGCUGACAAGCUUCUGCCCCGAGGGGCCGAAGGUGAGAUAUGCAGCAGGGUGUUUGAGAGACAGAGCUAGAGAUUAGUGGGAGUCUGUUGUUGACUCCUUGGGAGCCUCGGCUGUUGAGGCUAUGACCUGGUUAGACUUUGUGACCAGAUUCAGGGCGGAGUUUGCGCCAGCUGUAGAGCUUCAGCAGCUGGCCAGAGAGUUUUUGGAUAUGAGACAGACUACGGAGACUGUGGCGGAGAUCACCGCCAACUUCUGGGAGAGGGCAUUGCUUGUGCCCCAGUAUGCGGGAGAUGAGGACAUGAGGAUGACCCGCUAUCAUGACAUGCAGCGAGCCGAAAUUCGGGAGCAUGUUAGUUUUUCAGCUUGCCCUACCCUAGAUUCCAUGAUUUCCAGAUCAAGGGAGAGGGAGAUCGAUCUAGAACAUGUCCAGAAGAGGAAGGUAGAGGAGGGGCAGACGAUUGGGGCUUCGGAGAAGAAGCCUAAGGGAUCAGAUGGUAGGCCGAAAGGCCAGUCAGGACCAGGCCACUGCAGGAAAUGCGGCAGGCCACAUGAGGGGGCGUGUAGAUUGGGAUUGUCGGGCUGCUACAAGUUCGACAAGACGGGGCAAUUCAGCAGAGAUUGUACCGCCCCUACACCAGUUAUUCAGACGUCUGAGUUGCUGUGUUUUCAAUGCAACCAGAGGGGCCACAAGAAAGACAACUGCCCCCAGUUAACAGCAGCAACAGUGCCAGUGAAGGCGCCAGGUCUAGCGACCCUGCGAAUUACUGAUGACUGGAAGGCCAAGGCUGAGGCUCCAGUGGUGAGGAGUCGGGCCUUCCAGUUGACUACCGAGGAGGCACGCGCUGCACCCGAUGUGGUAACAGGUAUGACUUCUUGUUUAUGCUUUUAUGAUAUGCUGCUGUGAUUUUGAUAUGUUAUGUAUGUGCUCUGUUUAGGAUCGUUCCAUGUGAACGGUAUCCCAGUUCAAGUAUUGUUUGAUUCGGGUGCUACCCGAUCAUUUGUCUCUCUUGCGCUUAGCAAGAAGUUUCCUGAGUCUUCGGGCAUGUUGGAUUGCCCUUUAGAGGUUGAGAUUGUAGACGACAGGUCGGUACGAGCAUUAGAGGUCUUCCGAGAUUGUGUUUUGAGGUUGUUCGAGGAGCGUUACAUGGUAGACUUGAUUCCCAUACCCUUGCGGGGGAACAAGGUUAUUAUCGACAUGGAUUGGUGGAGCCCCAAUAGGGCGGUGAUAGAUUGCGCACAAUAGUUGGUGCGAGUCAGGACCCCAGGAGGGGGAGAUUUAGUGAUUUAGGGUGAGAGCCACAGCGAGGGCCAACCUUAUGUUCGGCAACGAGGACAAGGCGUUACCUUCAGCAGGGUUGCGCCGGAUAUGUCGCUUAUGUCAUGGACACCCGGGAGGAGGGAAAGGCGACAGUGGGCAAUGUGCCUGUGGUACGAGAGUUUGCGGACGUAUUCCCCGAGGAGUUGCCUGGGAUACCUCUGGAACGAUAGGUGGAGUUUAGGAUCGACCUAGUCCUUGGUGCGGCUCCGAUAGCCAAGGCACCGUAUCGGUUGGCUCCUCUUGAGAUGCAGGAGUUGUCUACACAGCCGCAGAAAGUAUUAGACAAGUGAUUCAUUAGACCUAGUAGUUCUCCCUGGGGAGCCCCGAUUCUGUUUGUGAAGAAGAAGGACGGGUCGCAUCGGAUGUGUAUAGAUUAUCGGGAGCUGAAUAAGUUAACGGUGAAGAACCGUUACCCACUCCCGAGGAUUGAUGACCUCUUUGACCAGCUACAGGGAGCAUCUUGGUUCUCCAAGAUUGAUCUGCGUUCAGGGUAUCAUAAGAUGAGGGUCAGAGAGGGGGAUGUACAGAAGAUAGCGUUCCGGACGCGCUAUGGCCAAUAUGAGUUCGUGGUGAUGCCUUUCGGGCUCACCAAUGCUCUUGCCGCAUUCAUGGAUCUCAUGAACCACGUGUGCAGACCAAUGUUGGAUCGGUCCGUGAUAGUUUUCAUCGAUGAUAUCUUGGUUUACUCCAAGACACAGGAGGAGCACGAGGAGUAUCUGCAAGAGGUUCUAGAGACUUUGAGAAGGGAGAACUUGUAUGUUAAGUUCUCCAAGUGUGAGUUCUGGUUGCGCGAGGUGCAAUUUCUCAGACACCUUGUCAACCAGAACGGGAUAUCGGUGGACUCGGCCAAAGUGGAGGCCGUGAUGAGAUGGGAGGUUCCAAGGUCUCCAUCCGAGAUUCAGAGUUUCCUAGGAUUAGUCGGCUACUAUCGGAGAUUCAUCCAUGAUUUCUCCAAGAUAGUCAUACCCCUGACCAGGCUAACGAGGAAAGUCGUGGUUUUUCGUUGGGGGCCUGAGCAGCAGGCCGCAUUCGAGACAUUGAGACAGAGAUUGUGUGAGGCACCAAUCUUAGCCCUAUCGGAGGGCAUAGAGAAUUUUGUUGUGUACUAUGACACGCCCAUUUCAGGUUUGGGCGCGGUACUGAUGCAGAGAGGGCAUGUCAUUGCCUACGCUUCGAGGCAGCUGAAGCUUCACGAGGCGAACUACCCGACGCAUGAUUUGGAGCUGGGGGCUGUUGUGUUCGCCCUUAAGAUUUGGCGUCAUUACCUCAAUAGGGUUCGCUAUACUAUCUACAUAAACCACAAGAGUUUGAUGUACCUCAUGGAUCAGCCGAAUCUAAACAUGAGGCAGCGUCGGUGGUUAGACGUGGUGAAGGAUUACGAUUACGAAAUCCUUUACCACCCGGGGAAGGCCAAUGUGGUGGCCGACGCACUUAGCCGCAAGGCAGCGCCGAUCAGGGAUAUUUGUCUGAGGAUGAUAGUGGUGACCCCGCUGUUGGAGCGGAUUCGGGAGGCCCAACGGGAGGCCAUGAAGGAGGAACAUCGGAAGAGCGAGCGGAUUGUGGGGCAAGUUUCCUCCUUCGAUUAUGAUAGCCGAGAGCUGUUGACACUACACCGUAGGGUGUGGGUGCCGUACCACGGGGGUGUACGCCAGGUUCUGAUGAAGGAGGCGCACAAAUCUCGAUUCUCCAUUCAUCCCGGGGCGACGAAGAUGUACAAGGACCUUCUUUUGGACUAUUGGUGGCCCUGCAUGAAGCUGGAUGUAGCAUGGUAUGUGGAGUGGUGCUUGACCUGUAGGAAGGUCAAGGCCAAGCACCAGAGGCCACAUGGAAAGAUGCAGCCGUUGGAUAUCCUGCUGUGGAAAUGGGAAGACAUUACGAUGGAUUUUAUCAUAAAGCUUCCUAGGAUCGCUCGGGGAGUGGAUUCGAUAUGGGUCAUCGUCGAUCGAUUAACCAAAGAGCGCCCAUUUUAUUCCGAUCCAGGAGGGAAUUUUGGCCGAAAAGUUGGCCAACAUCUAUAUCAGGGAGGUGGUGGUGCGGCACAGGGUGCCGGUAUCGGUGAUUUCAGACAGGGACGUGCGGUUCACUUCCAGGUUUUGGAGGAAGUUUCAUGACGAGCUGGGUACUCGUCUGUAUUUUAGCACCGCCUUUCACCCACAGACGGAUGGUCAGAGCGAUCGGACCAUCUAGACAUUAGAGGAUAUGCUGCGAGCAUGUGUUUUAGACUUCGGAGGUAGCUGGGAUACCUACCUUCUGUUGGCGGAAUUCUCGUAUAAUAAUAGCUAUCAUACGAGUAUUAACCGUCCUCCCUUCAAGAUGUUAUACGGGAGGAAGUGCAGAACCCCAAUAUGUUCGGGUGAGGUUGGCCAGAGGGUCAUGAGGAGCAUCGAGGUGGUGCUCAAGAUGACAGAGAGGAUUCAGCAGGUCCGGAGCAGACUUCAGACUGCUCAGAGUCGGCAUAAAAGUAAUCUUGAUAAGCGCCGAUCAGACCUGGAGUUCCAGCUCAAGGAUAUGGUUCUCCUAAAGCUGUCGCCAUGGAAGGGCGUCAUCCGAUUUAGGAAACAGGACAAGUUGGGCGCCACGUACAUUGGACCGUUCAGAUUCUUAGCCCGGGUGGGCAAGGUAGCAUACAGGUUGGAUCUGCCAGCCGAACUCAGCCAGAUCCACAACACUUUCCACGUCUCCCAGCUGCAGAAGUUUCUGGUGGACGACUCAGCAGCGGUACCCUUAAAAGAUAUUCAGGUCGAUGACAGCUUGAAUUACAUUGAGCGGCCAGUAGCGAUCCUCAACCGGAAGUCGAAGGAACUGAGGAACAAGAGGGUUGAACUAGUGAAGGUGCAAUGGCAACAUCGGAAGGGCUCAGAAUGGACUUGGGAGCCAGGGGAGGAGAUGAUCGAGCAUUACCCAGAGUUGUUCCAGGAACGAACAGCAGACUUCGAGGACGAAGUCUAAAAUAAGUGGGGGAGAUUUGUAGCACCUGGUUCCUGGUAUGUAAUUUAUUUAAAUAUUUUGCAUUUUUGGCCUUGGACUCGGCGAGUUCAAGGACCAACUCACCAAGUAGAAGCGGGAUGGGACGCGAGAUUUAAGUUAUGGACUCAUCGAGUCAGGUCCUGGACUCGACGAGUAGGCUCUGACUGGACAAAAACCCUAAUCUGAGGGUUUGCACCCUAUUUAAUCAUCUCAUUCAGCCACCACUCUACCCUAAUGCUCCCAGAAACCCUCCCUAGUAAACCCUAAGUGUUUUGGUGCAAGAUCUAAGGCUUUUUGAGUGAUUUUUGUGGGUUUUGACCUCAAGGAAGAAGGAAGAGCAUAGAAGGAUCAAGAGGAGACUGAACAAUUCGAGUUUGGUGCAUCAUUUUCUGUCCUUGAAAGGUAUAAAGUCUGUACCUUGCUUGUUCAUUUGUUAGAUCCCUUUUUGGGGAAGAUUUAGGGUUUUUUAAGUCAUAUGAGGUGGCCAACCAUGAUUGCAAACAUGGUUGGGGGUCAAGACUUCGGAUCUAAGUCUUGGAAGGAGUCCCAAAGCAUAUUUGGGUUGCUUUUGCACCCAAGGAAGGUCCCAUGCAACAUAAGAGCCAUUUAGAGCCUUUUUGGGUCAAAAGUCCCAUGCAUGCACAUAAAGUUCGAAACUUUAUGUGCUAGAUCGAGCUUAGGGCUUGGAUCUAUCUUUUUGUCAAUGGUUGUACAUCAGAAAUCAAGGAUUUAGGGUGUGGACGUUAUCGACUCGGCGAUUCCGUUCUUGGGACUCGACAAUUCCAAGGCAUAGAGUCCGUUAUCUGUUGAGGGUCAAAAGAACCCAGUUGGGUGUUAGAAGGGUUGUAGAAGGUCCGAGGGAGUAACCCAACGUGUUGGACUUAGCCUUAGACUCGGAAUUCAUGGGACUCGUCGAGUGCUAGAAUAGACUCGGCGAGUCCAAUGCAAUCUCCUUAUGGAUGAAGAUGAACUCGACGAGUUGUUUAUACAACUCGACGAGUCGGGGUCAGGACUUGUUCAUCAGAUGAAGGUGAACUCGACAAGUGUUCAUCCAACUUGGCAAGUCGGAUGAAAGUUCAUUGAUGUUCGUAAAGAAGGGGAACUCGUCGACUCGUUGCCAAACUCGACGAGUCGAGUCGUGGAUAAGGACGAGUAAAGGAAAGGGACUCGACAAGUAGAUGACCCAACUCGGUGAGUUGGGUCAACUGGAAGUUGACUUUGACUUGGACUUGGUUGGGGGUAAAAUAGUCAUUUUACCUCAAGAGUAGAUAUCAGUUUCUGACUGAGUGUUUUGUGGGGAUUAUAGCCGGAGGAUUUCCGGUGCAGCAGCAGGCAGAGGUUUUCCAAACAGAUUAUUAGCAACUACUUGUUCGAGGUGAGUUACCUACCAAUAGCGGUGGGUCUACGGCCACAAUGUCGGCCCACCAAUAGGCACUACUAGAAAAAAGGCGUUUUACGAUGCUCAUUGCGCGUCGUAAAACGCUCAGACAACGCGAAAAUGCGUGUCAAGGAAGGCCCUGUCAUAACGAGAGACGACACGCAUUUACGACACGCAUUUACGACGCUCAUUUACGACACGCAAUGCGUAUCAAGGAAGGCCAUGUCAUAAAGGAUGACGACACGCAUUUGAGUGUCGUAACCUUACGACACGCGUUUAGGACAUGCAUUGUGUAUCAUUAAAGCCCCUGUCAUAAAUGAAGAUGACACGCAUUUGCGUGUCAUAAUCUUCAGCAACCAUUUACGAUAUGCAUUUACGACACGUCUUUACGAUACACAUUUACGCAAAAUACAAAAAUAUGGAAAUAAAUAUAUAACAAAACAAUCAAUUUCAUUCAUUAACAUCAUGUCAAAAAAUUGUAAUACAUAGCGGAAGUAUUUGUUGAGAGCCCAAAAAGUUACAUAAAUCAAUGAAAGUAAAAUUCAUAACUUUUCUAGUUUUCAUAAUCCUAACAAUAGCUGCAUCAACCUGCGAUAUAUUUAUAAAAAAAAUGUGAUUAUAAAUUUAUAAUUACAAAAAAAAAUAAAGCAAAAAAAAAUUGGACCUGAUAUUGACGAUCUUGGGAAACUCUCUCUGUGGUGCUUGCGUUUUCUUCCACAGUUUCCUUCAGCUGGAUAUCAUUCACAUGUACAUGGAAUGGAAUGGAAUAAUGAAAUAAGCAAAGGAAUGGAAUGAGUCAUUCCAUUCCAAUUUCAUAUGAACUUCACAUUAUAAAAAAUUAAUUGAUCUCACCUUUAUACGAUAAAGAGGAGCAGUAAAUACAUCAUUAAACAUGAAGGAAUCAUUGUCAUCCACAUCAGUUUGAACCUAUUCUUUUGUCUCCUUUUCUUCUUUCUCUUUCCCUUGUUCUUUUUUGUCUUGUAUCUUUUCAAGUGGUUGGUACAACAAUAGAGGUAACGGGACAUGUGCCAGUAUUGGGUCCUGAAGAUCUUGUUGCUUUUGUGCUAAGUGUUUUGUGAUUGAGAAGCAAAUGGUCACAAAUUGCAUAUGGGUUCUGGACAUGCAAAUAAACUUAACUAUCGAUCACAUAACAAAAGCAAAUGAAAGUAUGAUGUUAUAAUAAACAAUUCAAAUGCUAAUACCUUUGACAUGUUUGUAUCUACAACAUUUUGGGAGCUUUCGAUGCUUCGAAGAAUUAAAAGUAUUGAAAUAACCUCUUCCUUCUUUAGACUAUUAUGAGGCUUCCCAUCUUCACAAUCACCACCAAUUGCCAACAUAGAAAGAAAUAAAUACAAUUUUCCGGAAAAUAAUAAAAAUUCAUAUAUAUUUUUUUCAUUCAAAGAAUCAAAAUCAACAGGUAUAGUAUGCAUUCAAUUUAUAUUUCAGGAAAAAAAAACUAAUAGUAUACCUACCUGUAUGUGGGUUCAUAGCAAGUUUUCUCUCUUGGAUAAAACAUUAUUUUUUUAUUUUAUUUAUACUAAAUGUUUUUUUUUAUAUUUUGAUAUAAUACAAAUUAAUUUAUGUUUUAGAUAAGCUCUCUUUUACUUNCCUGUCUUUUACUUAUUUACAUUGAAAAUUGACAAAUAGUUCUUUUUCCACAAAAACAGACAAACUAUCUACAAUGAGUUUUUUGCCCUUUGCCACUAUUUAAUCACCUUACCUUAGUUUUACACACAAAAUCCAAUAAUGGAAUAAUGCAUUGAACAUUACACAUUUGCAAAUAAGAUACACAUUAGCAAAAAAUGGUCUUAGCACUAACUUUCACCACCCACCCACCCGAUAACAAAAGAAAAUAUAAUCCGCCCACUCAGUUUCACUUUAUUUGCAAGUAAGUAUAAACAAUAAUAUUGCAGGGUUUUUUUUUCAGUAUGAAUGAGUAUUCAGUCACUAUUCAUCCAUACCUCUUUAAGUAGUUGAUACCAAAUGCUACCAUUAUUCAAUCUCCAUCUAGGGGUAGGGCUAGGUGUUGGUGUUGUUGGAGCAGAAGAAGCAUCAAUGAUAUUGAUAACAAUGAAAGGGGAACUCAAAUCAUCAAGUUCAUCAUCACUUGUGUUUGACUUUCUCAACACUGAUGAUCCAGUGCGACCCAAGUGUUUUAUACAUACAGCCACUCCCUCUCCUCCAACCAAAAUGGUUUUUAUUAUUGAUGAUGCUGAUGGCGGAUCAUAAACAACCGAACCAGCUACACAUGGGACACUGCUCACACAGUCUUCGCCACCCUCUGUAGAAUAUAAAGCCAAAAGAAACCUGUGUUUGUUUACUACUCAAAAUGAAGACAUAAAAGAAGAAAGGAAUAUGCAUUGUAUUGGAAAAAUGAAGACUAAAAACCUCUUAUAUUAUCCAUAUCAAUAAAGCUAUAUUUAUAGCUUCUUAGACACCCACGAUGAAGUAUGAAAACAAUCCAUGCUCUUGACUCCACCUAAUUAGCUUAAGAAUUAACUAUUAUAUAAAACAUAAAACACAAAACAAUAAUAAUUAUCAAAUCUAAAGUUUCAGCCAUGCACGUGAGCUAUGACUAACAAACCGAUUAACCCAACACCUUCCACCCCCAAAUCCUUAGCAUAUAUAAACAAACACCCUCUAAAUGCAUGUUAUUAGACAUACCAAAAUAUCUUUAAUUGGUUGGCUUGUGUGUCCUUCACAUCAACAUAAUUACUUAAUUAAUUAAUUAUACUGAACUCACCUCUGAGUCUAAGGCUUCAAGCACAACUUCAGGAAUAGCAUCUGGACAAAACUCAUCUGGAACAAAACUAUCUAGUAUCCCUUUUAUUAAUGCUACACCAAAACUCAAACAUACCUUCAAAAAAUUUUAAAUAACUUUAGCUUUGUGGAUAACUACACUACUAUAAAAGAAAAAGAGCCCAAUUUUAGAGACCUCUUUUCUGAUUGUGCUAUCUAACAACAUAUCCUUAGGAAGCAUCAUCAGGUCACUUAAUGCAUUCAGGAGAUGAAAAGAUUUGAAUGAUGAAUCAUCAGCAUCUAUAUCAAAUAAAUCAGUCAGCCACCUCGACCAAUUUUCAAUUUGCACAUUGCCAAAUGAACNNNNNNNNNNUAUAUAUAUAUAUAUAUAUAUAUAUAAAGGAUCACUUGCCAUGGGAAUUGGUCGCCUAUGAUUCAGAUCAGAGGCCUGGAAUCGUCAAGGUAGAAAACACAAGUCAAGAAAAAAAAUAAAAUAAGAGACUUUUAGGCAUAAAUGGUAUAUACCCUGUAAUAGGGAUAACAAACUCCUUGAGUGCUUUUUCACUUGUUACUCCAAUUAAUUCGCCAAGACCUUGAGCAUCCUGUUCUCUCAAUUCUGCAGACCUGCUUAUUAGGCCCUGAAGAUAUAUGGGAAGCAAUGGUUGAAGAGCCUUUGGGAGACAUAACCUGGGUAUAACAAUUGGUCCACCCUAUAUGUCCAUCAACAAAUAUUUAAAUAAGAUAAACCUUAAUCACUACUAAAUGCUGAUUAAAAUACACAUAGUUGCCCCUCGAGUUCCAAAACAUUAAAACAACUCUAUUUUGUGCUUAGAUUCCAAAAUAGGACCAAAACAAAAUUCAUACGCAAGUGCUCAAUGGAUGAAAAAACUCAUAUGUACAAAUUCUAAGCCAAAAUACAAGAAUACAUUAGUUCUACAUAAACCCUAUCAACUCGAAAAUAAAAUUUUCUCGUAUAAUAAUUACAUAACCAAAUUAUGUAGUGAAAUCACACAUUAAAGCAAAUGUCUUUGUUAUUGUGAAUUUUGAUACAUCAUAUAUUAUUAUAUUUUUACCUUUAUUAUAGAUUGGUUACCCAACUUUACAUGCAUUUGUUGAGUUUAUUUCUGGAUUUGACAUGCCUUCUGACAUUCACUCAAAGAAGAAAGACAACAUUCUUCUAGAAACUGGGAAACCUUUUCGAUGGCUCUCUUCCAUGAUGAGUUAUCGUUGCCACUAGCUCAUAUCUUCGACCGUAUUUAUUAUAAUUUUUUUUAUAAAUUAAUAAAAAGAUGAAAAUGAUAUAUANNNNNNNNNNNNNNNNNNNNNNNNNUAUAUAUAUAUUAUAUAAAUACAUACCUCUGGUGAUGAUAAAAAAAGGAAAUCACGAUUCAGAGUAAGGUGAAGAGGAAUGUGGAUUGGUUUGAGUAAUUUUGUGCUUCCUUGACUUACAUAGCUAAACCUCAUUAAGUGUAGUAUUAUUAUCUCUGGAAGCUCUAAUAUUUCACUGAUUUACUUGCACAUACUAAUUCACAUAAUAAUAAAAAGAAGUAUACAUUUCCUGCUGAUGAAGCACGAUACCCUUCAAGUGUCUCUGGAGCUGAAAAAAGAUGAAGUGCAUCUUCUAUUGUAUGCAUAGGAUCUGGACAUAUAUUCAAAUGGAGCAAAAGAAAUGGCUGAAUAGUUGCAGAUGCUUUGUUACCUAUUUUUGUUUUACAUUAAAAAUAUAUAAAUGAUGAAUUAAUGAUAUCAUGUUAUUGAGAUGAGUGAAAAAUGUUAAAAGAUUAAAAAAAAAUACCUCUUGCUUUCAUUACACUUUUUAUUUGGCCUUCGAAGAUCUGACUUAAUUUUGAAGGAAUAAAACUUUGUGUUCUUGUGAUUGUAGUUUUGUUCUUUGGUCCAACUGUUUCCCAAAUAUCAUCAUCAUCUUCAUCACUUAAAGAUGAAACCAGUGAAACUUUUCCACCAUUAAAAUUACAAACUUCUCCUUCAAGUUUAAGAAGUUCAUCAUGCAUUUGGUGCAUUACAAAGCUUAAAAACACCUGAGCAUCUUCUUGCCUUUUUAAAAAACAAACUUCAACUCAGCAUCCGAAAUUCCAAACAUAACAUAUAUAAAAUUUGUUGAUUAAUUUUAUAACAUUAACACAAACCUUGGUCUUCCAGAGAAGCUAUUUGGCAUAUCUGGAGAGAAAUUGUUGAGAACAGAUUCAAACAUGAUAGGUCGAAAAGGUUUCCCAGUUUCUAGAAGAAUGUUGUAUUUCUUCUUUGAGUGAAUGUCAGAAGGCAUGUCAAAUCCAGAAAUAAACUCAACAAAUGCAUGUAAAGUUGGGUAACCAAUUUGUAAUAUAGGUAAAAAUAUAAUAAUGUAUGAUGUAUCACAAUUCACGAUAACAAAGACAAUUGAGUCCAACUCCAUCGGCGUUUGCUUUUGAAUGAAUUCCUUGGGAUAAACCUUCCAUAUACGCUCUGCUCCCUUUCCUUUUGGAACAAAACACCAUAGCAAGACUCCAAAUAUGUAAUAAUAAUCGAUCGAUAAAGUUUCUACAUAAGUUGCAGGUGAUCAAAAAUGGCGGAAAUCAGGAAAUGUAAAUUGUACCUUUAGCGAGAUUAGGGUAAAGCCAUCACAAGUUAGAGCCAUCAUCACCUGUGGGAGACCUAGGGGAAGUUGAUCGCCUCUAUCCACCUGCCAAAAAAGUGAAUCGUCUUCCCAUAAGUUUUCGUCACUUUCUCUCGAUCUUGCCGCUCAACCGGACCAAGGACGCCGGGAAGGAAAAGGACGUCCCUCUUCACCUCAUACUCGUGGAUGUGCCACAUUGGCUUUUCUGAAUCCGGCAAGGUGAAGAACAAUUUUUAUGUUACGAUGUUUUCAACUCCGAUUAAAAAAGCCCUAGAAAUUAUCCCAGUGAUUUUGUGAUAUAUGAGUUGUUGAGGUAUACAGCAGAGGUGGUAUCGUGAUUAGGGUUUGCAGAGAAAAGGGGGAAGAAGAGAAUGAAGGGGAUCAAGCGGGGUAUUAAAAAAUUUAAGAUUUUUGAGAGGAUUUCAUUUCCCCCUUUCAAGAAGGCGCGUUUUAGUAAAAAUUAUAAAGCGACAAUCACAGAGGACGCAUAUUUUAGAUAAAGUGCCCUCCGUGUUUUUAUUUUUUUUACAUUCGACACUAAUUUAAGGGCAUGCAAUAAUGCGUGACCUAAAUCCUCAAAUUUUUUGAAGAGACGACACUUUUUUAUUGUCACUCUCGUUUGCGUAACAUAAAUCAAUAAGUGUCGUGAUUUGCACAUCGUAAAAGGGUCUUUUUCUUGUAGUGAGGAGUUGUAUGAUUAGAUGAUUGUCUUUGUGAUAUCAUCUAGGUUGCUGCUACCUGAUAUGUUAUAUGCUGGUAUGAUAUGUUAUUUGUGAUAGUAGUAGAGUUCGGUUGUUUGGACCGAAGGGUAGGUCAGACACCCCAGAUAUGUCUGACAGUAUGUGAUGAUAUGUUUAUAUGCUGGCAUGAUACGUUAUAUGGGAUAGUGGUAGUAGGAGGGGAACAAUCUCCAAGUUCGGUUGUUAGAGCCGAAGGGUAGUUCGGACACCCUAGAUAUGUCUGAUAGUAUGUUUAUGUUAUGAUAUAUGUGAUAGUAGUGGUAGGGGUGGAAUAGUCCAAGAGGGUCGGUUUUUAGGACUGACGGGUAGGUCAGCACCCCAGAAAGGCUUGACACGGGUAGGACGAUACCCCAGAAUGGCCGCAUGGGUAGGUCGGCACCCUAGAAUGGCCGCACGGGUACCUAGAAUGGCCGCACGGGUAGGUCGGCACCCCAGAAUGGCCGUACCGGGUAGGUCAGGCACCCCAGAAUUGCCUGGCAGUAUGUAUGCUAUGUGAUUGUAUGUUAUGUGGCACGAUGGGGGAACUCACUAAGCUUCGUGCUUGCAGUUUACAGUUUUUGUUUCAGGUACCUCUUCAGCAAAGGGGAUGGAGCUGGCGCGGUAGUGGCACAUCAUGAAUGGUUUUCCGCACUAGUGUUUCUUGGUAUUGUACUAUGACAUUAUUCUUAUUUUUGUGAAUGGUUUUCAGACAUGAGAUGUGGUUUUAUGAAAAGUUAUGAUUAGAUGGUGUUUUCUUAUAAAUGUUUUUACAAGUCAAUUUUAAAAAUGAAAUUUUUGGACUUGUAAAUUGGGUCGUUACAUUCCUUCCAUGGUAAGACUUUAAGCAAAACCAAAUCUCCAACUUCGAAUGCCAUCAGUCGUCUUUUCUUGUCAGCAUAGCUCUUUUUACAAUCCUGAGCUGCUAACAUCCUUUCCCUAAUCACUCUUAACUUUUCAACAGUCUGAUGGACUAUCUCGGGGCCCAUAAACUGCCUUUGUUCAACUUCAAGCCAACAUGACGGCGUACGACACUUUUUUCCGUACAAAGCUUAAUAAGGUGCCAUCUUGAUGCUUAAGUGGAAACUAUUAUUGUAGGAAAACUCUACCAGAGGUAAGUGUUCAUCCCAGUUACCUUGGAAUUCUAGGGUACACACUCUUAGCAUUACUAUAGUGUUUGAAUCGUCCUUUUUCUCUAACCAUCGGUCUGUAGAUGGUAGGCUAUACUUAAACACAGCUUCGUACCCAAUUCUUCUUGUAGACUCCUCCAAAACCUUGACGUGAAACGGCUAUCAUGGUGUAACGCCCAUGUUUCUAGGCUAGGCAUUAAUGAUAAUGUAAUAGUCUAGGUUAACCUUUGUAACCCGUCUUGAAAUAAUAAAAAUGUAUUAUUUGAGUAUUAUGUGUUUUGUGCUUAAUUGUGUGACUUAAAUGAAUUAAGGAUAAAAAUAAGCAUCAAAAUGAAAUGUUAGAUAAACUCGAUAUCUAUGAAGGAUGUGGUAGUGGUCGUGGCAAGGUUUCCAAAUAUAUAAAGAAUGCCAAAAUCUGAGUUAUAACGAAAAAGUUAUGAUCUGUCGAAGUUUCGUUACAGAACCGGCACGGCACUGCGUGACGUAAAUAGUGAAUUUACGAUAGAGCGAUAUUUAGUCUUAGUGAUCUAAACAGAAGUUGUAGAAUAAGUUUAACCGAGAGCGUGCAUAAGAAGAACGUCUAAAUUUGACUUCGUAUGAGGAAGUUAUGAUUUUUCGAAGUUUCGAUUUAGCAGUAUGCAACCCAAAUCUCGAAUUACAGAUCGAGUGAUACUUGGCCGAAACAAUCUAAACGGGAAUCGAAGAUCUCGUCGAUAGUAGUCCAAAAGUGAAAAGACAUACGAAAACGGACGUCGGAUGAAGAAGUUAUGAAUUUCUAACGGAGUUUUCCUGUCCGACCUGCUAAAAAUAAUAUAAUAAAAAUAAGUUCAAAAUUAGCCGACGCAGUCUAAACGAAAGUUGUAGAGCAUAGUCUCACCUAUGUGUGGAUAUAAAGAACAUAAAAAAUGGAGCUCGUAUGAGGAAGAUAUGAUAUUAUGAAGUUUUUAAAUAAUUAAAAUAUAUAAAUUUUAUUAUAUAUUCGGAUAAUAUCCGAAUCCAUGACUCAGCCGAUCUGAUCCGAAGAUUACGCCCAACGUACUGCUUGUAGAGGCAUUACGCCCAGCAUAAUCAGGAUUUACGCCCAACGUAAAUCGAGGUUUCAUCCCCUAUAAAUAGAAGUCGUGGGCAGCCGAGUUUUGUUGCUCAUUUCUUCCUCUCUCUCCCGUUUUACCUCGUUUUACGUGCAAGCUUUACCCCCGAAGCCGCGGUAUCAUUCCCGAGACCCGAAGCCCCGGGGAUCCCGAGAAGUAAAGUUUCUGAGCCGAAACUCUGCCCGUGUAAAGCCCGGUUUUGGAGAAAACGUCCUGGUUUUAUCGGAAAAUAUUAUUUUAAUAUAUGAGGUGAUGUCCGAUCAUCUUCUUAUCAAGUGAGUGUAUAUUCCCUUUCUUCUAACACAUAGAUAUGAAGUAUCUACUUUAGAAUAUGUGUUACAUGUGUAUAAAUAUACGUGUAUAUAUAUGUUAUCUGUUUAUUUGGAAUGAGUAUCUUAUUAGUUUUUAAGUUACAUAUGAAUGCAUAUGUAUGUUGUUAUCUACAAAAUGUUGGGUAGAACUUGUGUAGAUAGUUGAUGUGUGAUAAACUGAUGAGAUGCCUCGAUGUGAUUGUGAUCUAGUCAUUCAACAGAAUAUGGGUGACGACCACGGACUCUUUCUAGACUGUCCCGUGGAAUGCUGGCAGGCUCAUAACCUGUAGGUGUUGGUGAACUUGGGUGUUCAUUUGUUGUAUUCUAUCCCCCUCAUGGUUGCCUUAGGACAUUCAUUGUUGAGAAAACCCCUCUGCAGUAGUGUCCGUCCUGAUGAAAAUCCUAGAUUAGGUCCCUUGUAAUAGUUAUUGUCAUAGUGACGUAAAGUGAGGAUAACAGGAAUGGGUAAUCAGGUUAUUGUUGGUUGGUGAAAUUAAAUAUAAUUAGUUAUUGUGGGUUGAAAACCCUAUAUGCUCACCAGGCUCCCAAGCUUGACCCACUCAGUUUUUUUGUAUUACAGGUAGUGGUGCGAGGGCAUAAGUUGGAGAACUUAUGAAGAUGUUUUUGUUUAUAGACCAGUAGUUGUAUAUAACAGUGUAAGGUCUAUGUUUUACUGUUUAUGCUUUUGUGUCUGUAUCGGAACAUGACAUCCUGAGUUUUGAUAUAUAAUGAAAAUACAUUUCUUUAAGAAAUGUUUUGAUAAACUUUAUUUUAUCAUGUUUUGUUUUAGGGACAAAUUCUGCAACUCUUUUAAAUCAAUGGAUUUACUCUGAAAUUAUUUUAAAAACAUAAAUGAAACCGGCCUUUUCUGGCCGUGAUUUUGGGGAUUUCACACAUGGUCUGAUACUAUCUUUAAAGGAACACCAUGAAGUCUUACUACCUCCUUCACGUAAGCAUUUGCAAGCUUAUCUGUAGACCAUCUUGUUGGAUUAGUGUCUAAGUCCAUAACUAUUUUGGUAUGUACUUGACCCGAUGGUGCAUGGUCCUUUUGGGUUGCCUUCACCAAAGCAACUUGAUUGGAGAAAUAAAUAAAGAGAGAGAGGUUAUUAUGAUUUAUUAAUAUGUUAUAAGAAUAAUAUAUUAAAGGAGAAAUCAUAUUUGUUUAAUUAAUAUUGGUCAAUAAUUAAUUAAGAAUUAAUUUUGUGAUCAAGUGUAAUUAAUUAAACUAGAGGGGCUGAAUUGUAAUUAUGUGAUAGUUACAAAAUAAGGUAAGGAUUAUCUUAAAUAUAGGGUGAACGAAUUUAAGGAGAUAAUGCCUUAGAAUUCGACUAGGAUAAGGGUUUCUAAGACUUAUCUUAUGGUUGCUUGGUGGGCAAGCAACUAGAUAAGGAUAAGGACUAAAACCCUAAUCUUUACACCUAUAUAAACCCCCUAAGGCUCAUGAAUUCGUCUAAGCCUUCCCAAGAAGUCCUAAGGACGAAUUCCUACCUCUAUCCUCUCUCUUUAUACCUUCUCCAUUUGCUCUUGGUGUUUGUGAGCCAUUAGAGGAGUGACACUUGUGACUCUAAGCCUUCCAAAGUCAAUUCAUGGAGAAUUGGGAUUGUUAUUACUACAUAACAAUCAAGGUAACAUCUUAAACCUAAUUAUAUGUUAAUAUUGAUUUCCAUAUGCUAGAAUUAGGGUUUAUAGUCUUGGAUUCAUUGCAUGUACAAUAGAGAAACCUAGAUCCAAGCAUUAGGGUUUGUAUGAGCACAUAGGAUGUCUUAUGACCAAAACCCAUCAGUGGUAUCAGAGCCUAGCUUGGUUUCAAUUGUAUUGAUGCAUUGUAUAACUGGAAAAUUCGUUUUUUGGGUUUCUGGAGGCUGGACUCGCCGAGUCCAUAGAUGAACUCGCCGAGUCCAUGCUGACUCGACGAGUCCAUGCCUGACUCGGCGAGUCGGCUCGUCAGAAGGAGGGAAAACCGGGAUUUCUUGCUGUUUUUGCUUAAGGAUAGUUGCCUUAUCAUAUUAGAUCAAUAUAAAUCCGAUUUUAUGAUAUAUUUGACUAUAUUCUUGAUCUAAUUGAAGAUAUUUAUCAAUUAAUAAAAUAUUUGUUUCCUUAUGUGAUAAUUGAUUAAUUAUUUUGAUUAAAUUGAUAAAUUGUUUUGCAAGAAAUCAUUAAAUAAAUCAAAUAUGGAUAAUUAUGUGAUUAAAUGUUAAUUUAGAUUAUUUGUUAUUUGAUCCUUGUUGUUAUGAAAAGUUUCAUAUUUUCCCCUUUAGGUUUUAUAGUUUAAAUUUGAACCCAAAAGUUUUGUUGUUUUGAAAUUUAAAUAGUUGAAACCCUAAUGUUUUGAAAAAGGUUUCAAAACUUGCCCUCAAGUUUUGGAAUUUAAAUUUUGAUUAAAUAGUUUAAUUUUGAUGUAUAUUUAAAUUCUAAACCCUAAUGUGUUGAAAUGUUUCAAAACUUGCCCUCAAGUUUUGGAAUUUAAAAGUUGAUUAAAAGUUUAAUUAGGAAUGUUAAAUUCUAAAACUCUAGUAUUGUUUUGAAAAAGUUCAAAUCACACCCUUAUGGUUUUAUUAAUUAAUUAAGGUGUAUAAUUAAAAGAGGUUUAAUAAAUCCAUAAAAGUUUUGGUUUACAAUUUAAUUGAAUUAAAAGUAUAAUUGUUAAAUUUGACCACCUAGUAUUUUAAAAGUGUAAAAUACACCCUAUACUAUAUAUAACAUUAAAAGUCUAACAUUAUAUAUAUGUAUGAGUAAAAGUCAGUCUUACCGUUAGUAGGCCUCAUUCACGAAGCUGGUCUAUAAGGGGUGUUUAAGGAAAUUGCCUAUAAAAUGGCGAUUGAAUGGGUAUCCACUCUUACCCACCGCACUCUUGACUAGUGGAGGGUCGUUAGCCGAACGGGUAGGAUAGGACGAAACCUUCCAUUAUAAGUAUAAUGAAGUAUAAAAGUAACUAAAUGUUUUCAUAAAAUUCCCAAUCUUAGUUACUUAGGCAAAAGUGAAUUGAUGCAAUUCCAUGAAAUUACACUUUGUGCCCUUGCGAAGACGUUAGUGGAGCGUGUGUGGUUUACCGGCACACUAAAUGGUUCUAAGCAAAGGUAGCAAAGGGUGACUCAAUGUUUGUCAUAGUUCGGUGGAGCGUGUGUGGUUUACCGGCACAUCGAAUAGGUGACUGUAACAUGUGAGGGCACCAUGUAAGUUUGCAUGGUUAUUCACACCCGCUUUGUGAUCCUCGGCAUCCCAGUCACAAACAAGAGGGGCAUAUCGAGAUUUAAACAUGCCAUUGAAAUGUUCAAUGAAUCUCAAAGGAUCUAGGAGUUUUCAUAGAUUUAAAACUUAAAUUUCUUUUUCGUUUUUCAUGGUGGAAAUUAGUGAAUCGUCAUUCACUUACCUUCAAAUGUUCUGCAAUUUGGGUUACGGCAUCCCUCUCCCGAGUUGUAGAAUAUUGUGUUGGGUCCUAGCCUUAGUAUCUCAUUUGGGUGAUUUACUAAGGACUCAAUCAAUCAACUAACUUGAAUUCUUUUUCUCCCGUUUUGUAGAUGUCAAAGUUCGACAACUAUGGUCUUCCCAAAUCCCGUGGAACAAGCAUUCCACAUGAAGAUGAUAUUCCACGAUUCGAUCGAGGAACAAGAAAUCAUGCUUCACUUCCUCCACCUCCUCCAAUUAUUCUCCCUAACCCACAAGUUCAAAGGCUUGAAAAGUUCAAGAUCACUCAAGCCCUUUUGGCAAGUAAACAUAAAGAAGGAAAGUCGGUGUGUGCACACGUCCUAGGGAUGAAGUCACACAUUGAUAGGUUAAGAAUGUUGGGAUCCGUUGUCUGUGAGGAAAUGGCUGUUGAUUGGGUUCUUCAGUCACUUCCUAACUCAUAUAGUGAGUUCGUAAGAGAGUACUAUAUGAUGAACCGCGACGUGACCCUUAUAGAUCUCACCUAUAUGCUUAUUGCUGCUGAAUCAGCAAUGGUUUGGCGCAAUAGAAAAGCAAAGUUGAUUGGUGAAUCUGCCUUCAAGACCUCUAUGGAUAUAGACAAUGGCAACGAAAGACAUGCUAUGAUCGAAAAGUUUGAUCAUAAGAGAAAGGCAAUGUCUGAAGUAGUUCCAUGUCAUGUUCCAAAAGAGUCAAUUUGCUUUUAUUGCCAAGAGAAAGGGCAUUGGAGACGAAGCUGCCCCAUUUACCUAAGAGAUCUAAGAGAUGGGAGAGUCGAAACGUAUGGCUCUAAUAUAGGUAAAAUCCAUUAACUAACUCUUUUAAGCUUCUAUUCUAGAUUCUUAAUACAUAAUGUGAUAAGAUUACAAUUGAUGUUUUGUAGGAUCGAAGAAAAGAAAGGAAGCUUAAGGGAAGAAGUGAGCAGAAUCUAACCGUGAAGGAAUGGAUUUCGAUCGCAUUUCUCGAAGAUUAGAUUCUUGAGCUACUACUUAGAGUUAGAAUUAGAUUGCUAAGAAAGAUGUAUUAGCAUAGUUUUUCAAUGAAUUGCAUUGUAAGGACAAAUUUUUCCGCAAUAAAAUAAAUUUUGAUUUUAAAUUUUAUUUAUUUAUCCUUACAAUGGCGUGUAUGAAAAAUUGAUGUUAAAAUGUUUCUAUUAUUAGCAAUAAUGGAUUUGGUUCUUAUUAUGUUAUUUAUGGAAAGUCGAGAAUUUACCAAAUAGGGAGAGUUUCUCAUCGCCCAAGUUUCAAUUGGACAGAAACUUGGAAUCAUGCAACUUGGUUGCACGAUGAAUGAGAAAUUUCAUAUUUGGAAAUUAGACUAAUUCAUUGACAAAGUGUCAAGUGAAGGACUAGGAGAUCGAGUACACAAAGUUGCGUGUUGAUCAAGUCCACCAUAAGAGUAACAAAGAUAUUCGUCAUGAUUUACUAAAGGUUUAGUAAAUAUGAUUAUACUUAUAAGAUUAAGUGUAAUUCUGAAUUGAUUGAAAAGGUUUAAAUCAAUAGCAGAACGAAUAAGAAGAAUCAAGUAGGCAGAAAGAUAAAAGUUUCUCCAUUCUAAGAAGAAGGGAGAGUACCUUUUAUGCUUUAUGAUAGGUCUUAAUGAUUAAGAACCAUAUCUCAAUUGAUCCUCUAAGUGAGUCUUAGUACAAUUGUAUGUCUAAGAAGAGGAAUCAAGAAUUGAAGAAAUGGUUAAAUCAAGAAGUCAAUCAUACUUCGUUCCAAAACAAGUCUUAGAGUUAAGAUUGUGACAUUGAGUGAUAAGUAUAAAGAAGGUUUAUAACAUUCAUUAAAUGUGGAAAGUUGUGAUGUCUUGGAUAAGACAAAGACCAACUAGGACCAAUUUAUGAAGUGUUUUGAUAAAAGCUACACUAACUCUUGAAUAUUUGUUUGUCAAGAAAUGGUUAUUGACAAGAGAAUCUUAUAUGUCAAGGAGUCAGUGGGAGUCUUAAUGGUCUUGAAAGGUUUCAAGAACAAAUCAAAUAAACCUUAUCGAUCAUCACUAGCACACGAGUUGAGGUUUACAACCUAUCGUGUUGACAUUAUUUUGAUUCUGUGCCAAUCCAAUCGAGUUAAUUAUGCAUGUGAGUUCUAUGAGUUCUCAUUUUGAACGCAUAAAAGGCAAAGCACCUUAAUCAAUGAAAGGUACAUUGAUAGGAAAGGGUGAGCUGCUUAACUACUUGGAAGACAUGGUGGGCAGCUGUGCUACCAUAAAGGCAAGAAAUCGAGAUCAAGAAAGUUCGAUCCAUAAGAGUUUGAAUUUGUCGUAAACUUUGGUUUUGACAAAUUCACAUGGAUAGGAACAAAUACACCGUUUAAAUCUAAGUGUCAUAAGAUUUCCUCCUUCAUGAAAAUGAUUGUGAGGAAAUGCUUUCACUAAGACAGAUUUUAAGAAGAUAGUGAUUGUAAAAUUGCAUUCUCGAAUUCAAUUAUGGUUACGGCAUCCCUUUCCAUAAUUUGAAUUGUGAGGUUUGGCAAUUAGUCUUAAUUGUUUAGACACACAUAUGAACUAUCGAAGGCAAAGGUGUAUAAGUUCAAGAAGCCUUGAUAAAAGAUUAUCAAAGCACUAAGUAUUAGAAACAUGAACUUAAGAAAUUCAAUAAGCAUUUUUUUUCUGAAAGUUAAGAUGUUUAUGAAUACAUGUCGAAGCUAGUGGGAGCAUAAGUGUUAUGUUUUAUAAUAAUCAUCAAGAUAGUGGGAGCAUAAAAGUUAUGAUUGUAUGAUUAUUAAGGAAAGUAUUGCAAGGUUAGCAAUAUUAAUUAUAGAAAACAAGAGUCAUACUUUGCAAAGUCGCAAUAGUUGAAGAGUUGUUUUGCUAUAAUUAAGGGAGAGAAUAUUAUGCUUCAUUUCAAAUCUAAAGGUUUAGGUUGAGAAAUGUUAAUAAAAUUUAGUCAAAGGUACAAAGUGUGUUCUUAAAAUUUCGAUUAUGAUUACGGCAUCCCUCUUCACAAUUCGAAUUUUGAGAACAUAGCAAAUAAAACAUUAUGCGUCGUGUCCCAUACGCUUCGGGUAUAGGAUCGAUUGCAAAUGCUUUAAUGUUUGACCAUUCUAAAAUUUUCCAAAUGUCGAGCGCAUUUAGAGGGAAAAGGGACUAGAAUUGGUUUUGACUAAAAUAAUUAAACAACUAUCAAAGGACAAUCCAAAGUUCGACGAGGAUUGGUCGCUUGUGAGUAGUUGGAAGUAUAGUAUUGGAAAAUAUGGAAAUGUUUCCAUAUUGGAUGGACCAUAUCGACAUCAUUACGAAUAGAUAAGAUUCUAUUAAGAAUGAGUUGUCAUAUGGAACAUAUGGAAGUGUGUCCAUAUUGGGAAUUGAAUAUUGAGAAAUCUAUGACUAGAUUAGAAACUUCUAUGCAAAAGGAUGUUCAAAGAAUGUACUUUGAGUGAGAGACAUCACAUCUAUGGAAUUGUCUUGUAACAAUCUCCGAUAGAGGACUUUGUAAUAUCAUUGGCAAUAGUCUUUGUGACUUUGGUGCAGUGACAUUACGAAAGGAUCGUUGCAUAAAAUGUUAGAAUCUAGCAUAUUCUAUAAGUAGCAAGAAUUUGAUAUUCUUUCACUUAUGAAAAGGAUUUGGAGUUGUGAAAUGAGAAUGAUUGGAAAUGUGUUCAAUUUGAUCUAUUUCACAAAGUAAGAACCAUAGGUAAACAUUGUGUGCAUGCUAGGAGCAUGGGACAAGUGUAAUAAUUCAAGUAAGAAGUUGAUUACCCGAAACGACAAAUAAUGAGUAAUCGAUAUGGUGAUAAAUAAAAGGUGUUUUAUUUAUACUCAAAGGUUUGAGGCCAUAUGGGAUUAGUAUUAUUCUUGUGUUUCACAUUUGCAUGUUUUGACUUCCAGAAUAAUUGAGUUUAUUAAGAAUAAUCGAAUUAUUCGAACGGGCCACAGUCGUUCAUAUGUUGGAAGUAGAUAUGAAUGAAGACUGUCGUGAAUUGGUGUGUGGAUUGUCUAAAAGAGUAUUAGACAUAAGCAAAUGUUUGCUGCAACGUUCAUGAGUGCUUAUGAAUAUGAUUUGAGCAUUGGAUUAAACCCACGCUCACUUGGAUCACUCCAUGAAUUGUAUCACGAGUGAUUGGUGAGACGAUAACAUCUUAUAUUCUUGAAACCGAGAUGUGUGAGUUGUAUCUUGCGAAUCGGUUGCACAUUGAUAAUAUGUAAACGCACUAGUAACUUGGUGUUAUAAAACAUAUUGUUGUGUGUGAUUUGGUUAGUAAGUGCAAGCAAGCAUUGUAUCAAAGUUUAUCCGUUCCUUUUAUCCAAAGUAGGAUAAAAGCGAUAUCUUUGGGCCCCUCGAUGAUUUAGUGAUGACAAACGUAAAUGCUCGGCCGGGCUAGGGCUAAUUUGAUUUGUUCAAUUAGUCAGUCGUCAUAAAUCGGGAAUCGAGAUAUAGUACAAAGAGAAUGAUUUGAAAUCAUAUCUCAUAUGAUAUCUAGAAUGGAGGAAUAUAUGAUCCCUUAUCUAAGGACACGCGUAUCUGAUAUGAUCAGAGUUGACAGCGGCUUUGGAAAGCUACGAUUGCAGAUCAGGAUCUGAAGUCAUACGCAGAAUAGUUGUUAGACUUAUCCAAGUGGGAGACUGUUGGAUUAGUGUCUAAGUCCAUAACUAUUUUGGUAUGUACUUGACCCGAUGGUGCAUGGUCCUUUUGGGUUGCCUUCACCAAAGCAACUUGAUUGGAGAAAUAAAGAGAGAGAGAGGUUAUUAUGAUUUAUUAAUAUGUUAUAAGAAUAAUAUAUUAAAGGAGAAAUCAUAUUUGUUUAAUUAAUAUUGGUCAAUAAUUAAUUAAGAAUUAAUUUGUGAUCAAGUGUAAUUAAUUAAACUAGAGGGGUUGAAUUGUAAUUAUGUGAUAGUUACAAAAUAAGGUAAGGAUUAUCUUAAAUAUAGGGUGAACGAAUUUAAGGAGAUAAUGCCUUAGAAUUCGACUAGGAUAAGGGUUUCUAAGACUUAUCUUAUGGUUGCUUGGUGGGCAAGCAACUAGAUAAGGAUAAGGACUAAAACCCUAAUCUUUACACCUAUAUAAACCCCCUAAGGCUCAUGAAUUCGUCUAAGCCUUACCAAGAAGUCCUAAGGACGAAUUCCUACCUCUAUCCUCUCUCUUUAUACCUUCUCCAUUUGCUCUUGGUGUUUGUGAGCCAUUAGAGGAGUGACACUUGUGACUCUAAGCCUUCCAAAGUCAAUUCAUGGAGAAUUGGGAUUGUUAUUACUACAUAACAAUCAAGGUAACAUCUUAAACCUAAUUAUAUGUUAAUAUCGAUUUCCAUAUGCUAGAAUUAGGGUUUAUAGUCUUGGAUUCAAAGCAUGUACAAUAGAGAAACCUAGAUCCAAGCAUUAGGGUUUGUAUGAGCACAUAGGAUGUCUUAUGACCAAAACCCAUCACAUCUUUCAUUGGCUACUAUGAAGUGUGCACUCUUAGUAAACCGAUCAACGACCACCCAAAUCAUGUCGUGACCGUCCUUCGUUCUGGGCAGUUUAGUGACAAAAUCCAUGGUAAUGUCUUACCACUUAUCCAUGGUUACACAUAAAGGUUCUAAAAUCCUAUAUGGUUUCUGAUGUUGUGCCUUAACUCUCACAUAGGUCACACACUUGGCCACAUACUUUGCAAUGUUGAGCUUCAUCUUCGGCCACUAGUAGUAGGGUUUCAGAUCCCUAUACAUUUUUGUGCUGCCGAGAUGAAUCGAGUACAUGGUCUUGUGAGCUUCUUCCAUCAGAAGAUCUCUUACUUCGCCCAUCUUGGAAUACCUUUAAUCCUUGAUUAUUUGUACCGAAAACCAAGUUUUUGCUUAAACAUUCUUCCUUUUGGUCAUUCUCCUCUAAAACUUCCUCCCAAGCUUUGUUGAUGCUUUCCACAAUCAUUGUGACAACCUCUAUUGAUUGUUUUGAUUAUAUUUCUCUUCAAUCUUCUGUCCUAACUCAGAUGCUACAUGAAACUUGGUUCUCUGAACCAUGUAACAUACUCAUCUUAGUUGGACUCGAUAUGAUACGACCACUAGGGUCAGAAUCAGAAUCAUCUUCUUAGUCAUUACCAAAACGAUGGUAAUGAAGAACUUGAACAAAACAGAAUCAAUUACUAGCUUCUUAGUAACCUUGCGACUUUCACUGAUCCAAGUGCAAGUCCUGUGCUUCCGGUAGUAUAGGCCUCUACUACCAUUCACACCUACUCAUACUCGUUCAAGGUGCUAUCUCACAGUUUUCCAAGUCAUCAUUCAAGAGUUUCACAUAAUCAUUUAACACAUCAGAUAACAAAAUCAAGGUUUUAUAUUAUUUCUUGAAAUGAUUACAUAAAUGUUCAACUUCGUCCUAUACUAUGCCUCUAAUAAGUUGCGCUACAUGAUGCUAUCCACAUGGCCACUUCAUAACUUGAUCUUCGGAUAUCAGUCCUCACUCCUGCUUCCUUGCAUUGUCAGCUGCUUCGUUAAGGAUCAUUUGGAAUGCCCUUGGCUGGGGCGGUGCGUUUGGCCUUGCCGCUUUAUUCUUCCUUGGGCGGUUCUUCAAAAUAUGCCAUCCUUCAUUGCAUUCAUAGCACACCCUCUUGCGGGAUGUACACUCAUUGGCGUAGUGCCCAGGAUUUUCACACUUAAAACAAGUGACCUCCCGUCACAUUUCCCAUGGUGCUUCUUUUUGUACUUUUCACACCAUUUCGCUUCAACUCCUCCUCCUCUCGAACCAGACUUCGAGAAAUUACUUUUCUUGUUGGAUUUCGAAGAUCCAUCAAACUUCCUUUUCUUACCAACCUCUGCCCUCUCCAGACCCUUCUCCCUUAUCCGUGUCUCAACAAUCUUCAUAGCUCUAACGACUGCCUUCAACGUGCUUGCCAUUUUGACUAUUGGGCCAAAGUCUGAUGGCAAUCCGUUAGCAAAUUUCUCUAUCUUGGCGAGUUCAGUCGACACCAAGUAUGGAAAUAACUUCAUCUUCUCAGUGAAUGCAGUAGCAUAAUAAUCAAUGCUUAUUCUCCGUUCUUCAAUUUCUGGAACUCAUUGUUUAGAUCUAUCAUAUCUAUUUCGGAGCAGUACUGCAUUUUCAACUGCAUUAUGAACUCUUCCUUAGACAUUUUCAGAGCUUUUCCUCGUGGCAUCGUAUCCGUUAAUAACUUCGACCAGCUUAAAACUUUGGUCUUUACUUGUUUGACCGCAAAGACAAUUUUUUGUUUGUCGCUAUAGUUGCAGCUUUCAAAUACCAUCUCUAUUUCGACAUGAUCUUCAUUGUGAUUUGACGAAACAUAUUUGGACGGUUAUGCUUUUCAUGGCCAAUUUUCGAAGAAGUACUUCUUUUAAAUUGACGAGUGUGACAUCCACCAUUUUCACGGUCAGAAAAGACUGAUUUUGUUUAUGCUUUAUAAUAAAAUCAGAGUAACCUUUUUAAAGAAAAGUGUUGUGGAAUUUGUUCCUAAAAUAAAAUAUGAUAAAGAUUUAUCAAAACAUUUCCAAAGAAAUGUAUUUCAUUGUAUUAAAACCUUGGGAUGUCAUUAUUAAUACAAAUCAGAAACAUAAGCAGUACAACAUAGGCGUUACAACAUUUAUUUAAAUCUACUAGCCUAUAAACCAUAAUCCUCUCGUCAAGUCAUCCAACUAUGCUCUUGCCACUACCUAUAAUACAAGAAACUGAGCCGGUCAGGCUUGGGAGCCUGGUGAGCACAUAGGGUUUUCAACCCACAAUAAAUAAUUUUGUUAAUUUCAACAAAUGAAAUAAACCAGAUUACCCGUUUCUAUUUAUCCUCACAUUACGUCCCUAAAACAUCUAAUAUAAGGGACAUAGCCUAAGGAUUAUUGUAGCACCUGGUUCCUAGUACGUAAUCCUUGUAAUUAAUAUUUCUUAAUUUUGCAUUUUUGCCUUGGACUUGGCGAGUUGAAGAACCGACUCGUCGAGUAGAAGCGGGAUGAGAAGCGGGGUCUGAGCUUUGGACUCGGCGAGUAGACCCUGUUUGGGCAAAAACCCUAACCAAAGUGUUUGCACCCUAUUUAAACGCUCUAACUUGGCCUCCUUUGUCCCGAACACUCCCAGAGAGCUGAAGAGCGAAACCCUAGCCCCCAUUUUGUUCUUGAGAGUGAUUUUUGGCUUUGUGAAGAAGGUUUGGAGCUUAGAAGAAGAAGAAAUAGGUUGUAGUGUGCAAAGAGGGGAAGUAGAUCCGGAAUCUACACUACAAGAGGCUUCCAUUCAGCCGGAGGAUUACCGAUUCAGCAGUCAGGCGCUUAGCAAGCAGAUUUUCAGCAGCUACUUUUCGAGGUGAGUUACCUUCCAGUAGCGGUGGGUCUAAGGCCACAAUGUCGGCCCACCAGUAGGAGACGUAUGAUAGAUGAGUGUCUUUGUGAUAUCAUCUAGGUUUGUUACUACCUGAUAUGUUAUAUGCUAGCUUGAUGUGUUAUAGUAGUAGAGUUCGGUUGUUAGGACCGAAGGGUAGUCAGAUACCCCAGAUACGUCUGACAGUAUGUGAUGAUAUGUUUGCAUGUUGGCUUGUUAUGUUAUAUGCGAUAGAGGUAGUAGGGGGUGAAAUAGUCCCCGAGGUUCGGUUGUUAGGACCGACGGGUAGUCAGCACCCCAGAAUGGCUUGACAUAGGGAGGGCGGCACCCCAGAAUGGCCGUACAGGUAGGUCGGCACCCCAGAAAUGCCUAGCAGUAUGUAUGUGAUAUGAUUGUAUGGUAUGUGGUACGAUGGGGGGGACUCACUAAGCUUUGUGCUUACAGUUUUCAGUUCUGGUGUCAGGUACCUCUUCAGCGAAGGGGAAGGAGCUGGCGCGGUAGCGGUACAUCAUACACACACAUUGGAUUUCCGCAUUAUGAGAUGUCCUGGGAUUGUACUCUGACAUUAUUAUUAUUUUCAUGUUUUGGGUUUUCAGACACGAGAUUUGUUUUAUGACAUGAUAUGAUCGGAUGAUGUUUUACUGCAAAUGUUUUACAAACCACUUAUUUUAAGUGAAAUUUUUGGGCGUGAAAAUUGGGUCGUUGCAAUUAUCAUCGGGGUAACAACAUUGCUUAGGGGAUACUGUGACAUCCCCAAAAUCUUGGCCAGAAAAGACCGAUUUUCAUUUAUGCUUUUAAAAUAUUUUCAGAGUAAAUCCUUUUGAUUUGAAAGAGUUGCGGAAUUUGUUCCCAAAAACAAAACAUGAUAAAACAAUGUUUACCAAAGCAUUUCAUAAAAGAAAUGUAUUUUCAUUAUAAUCAAAACUCGGGGUGUCAUGUUCCGAUACAGACCAAUAAGCAUAAACGAAUACAUUACAAGUCAUAUAACAAAUAUAAACAUAUGCAGACUUGUAAACAAAACAACUUGAUGGUUCAUCCAUCUCAUGCCCUUCCGCCACUACCUGUAAUACAAUUUAAAACUGAGUGGGUCAGGCUUGGGAGCCUGGUGAGCAUAUAGGGUUUUCAACCCACAAUAAAUAUCAUAUUUAAUUUUCACCAACCAACAAUAACCCAAUUACCCAUUCCCGUUAUUCUCACUUUAAUGUCCCUAAAACAACUAACAUAAGGGACCUAGUCUAAGAAUAUUUCAUCGGGGCGACAACACAUGCUUCGGGGGUACCUCAGCAAUAUAAGUCAAAUAAGGCAACCAUGAGGGGGAUGGAGUACAGCGAAUGAACACCCAAGUUCAUUAACACCUACAGGUGGCGAACCUGCUAAUGUUUCCACAAGACUAUCUAGAAAAGUCCGUGGUCGUCAUCUAAACUCCGCUAGAUGACUAAAUCAAACAACAACGAGGCCUCUCAUCUGUUUAUUACACACCAACUAUCUACCCAUGUUCUACCCAACAUAUUAGUAGAUAAAAAUAUACAUUUUUAUACAUAGUUUAAAAACCUGUAUAGCAUGCUUUAAUCAACACAUAUUUCACAUAACAGAUGAGGCACACACACACAUAACACGUAUCUCAUAGAGAAUAAAUCAUAUCUAUGAGAUAGAAGAAAGUGAAUACACAUUCACACACAUAACCACAAAAUUAUACACAUAAUACGUAUUCCGUAUAAAAUACUUCAUAAUUAUGCGUUAGAAGAAAGUAACUACACACUCACUUGAUCAGAAGAUGAUCGGACAGCACUACGACUUGCAGAAGUAGUAAUCCUCAGCAGAUCUGGAAGAUCUUCACAAAAAUCGAACUUCUCGCGGGCAGAGCUUCGGCUCGGGAACCGCACUUCUCGGGAUCUUCGGGAUCUCGGGACUUGCCUCGGGGCUCGAGUAUGAUACCGGGGCUUCGGGGUAUUUCUGGCACGCAAAACGAUGCAAAACGGGAGAGAGAAGAGAGAAAAUGAACAAAAGAAUCGGCUGCCUUCGGAUCCUAUUUAUAGGAGGCUGAAGCCUCGGAGUACGCGAGGUGUACUGGUCCGAAAAACGUCACUGCUUACGUAUCCGAAGACUCGAGUGCGAAUGUCGACAUCCCUCGGUGUACGCGGGGCGUACUUCGGAUCGGAUUGCUGACUCCCCUUCGGAUAAUACCGGAUUUUCUAAUAAAAAUUAAAUACAAAUUAUUUAAUAAACUUCGGAAAUUCAUCUCUUCUUCAUACGAACUCCGUUUUCGACGUUCUUUAUAUCCACGCGAAGGUGAGACUACGCUCUACAACUUUCGUUUAGACUCCGUCGGCUAAUUUUAACUUUAUUUUUAUUAUUUAUUUUUAAUAGGCCGGGACAGAAAAACUUCGUUAUAAAUUCAUAACUUCUUCGUUUGACGUCCGUUCUCGCCUAACUUUUUAUCGCUUCGAGACCAACAACGAGACCUUCGAUCCUCGUUUAGGUUGCUUCGGCUCAAAACCGCUCGAUCUCAAAUCGAGUAUUUCGGGCUGCACACCGCUAAACCGAAACUUCGAUAAAUCAUAACUUCCUCAUACGAAGUCAGAUUUGGGCGUUCUAUAUAUACAUUCGUAAACCUCGUUUCAACUACUACAUCAUCAACCAAAGAUAUCAAGUUUAUUUUACACUUUAAUUUUGACGCUUAUUUUUAUUCUUAAUUAAUCAAACCACAUAAUUAAGCAAUUAAGCACAAAACACAUAAUACUCAAAUAAUACAAUCAUAUUAUUUCAAAACGGGUUACAAAGGUUAACUUAGACUAUUACAUUGCUAAAAAUGGCAAGCCCGGAAACACAGGCGUUACAGAUACCUCAACAUUUUAUGUCAAAUAAGGCAACCAUGAGGGGGAUGGAGUACACCUGGUGAACACUGAGUCCAAAUAAACACCUACAGGUUGCGAGCCUGCUAGCGUCCCAUUGGACUGUCUAGAAAAGUCUAUGGUCGUCAUCUAUACUCCGCUAGAUGACUAGAUCAUCGUCAAUAUCGAGGCCUCUCAUCAUUUUAUUUCAUCACACGCCAACUAUUUCAUCUACCCACGUUUUACCCAACAUAUUUGUAGACAUAAAUUACAUAUACAAUUCAGAUCUAAAAAACAAAAUNUAUAUAUAUAGUUUAGAUCUGAAAAGAAAAGUCUAGAUCUGAAAUGAGAAAGUUUGGAUUUGAAGGAAACAGUUCAGAUCUGAAAGAAAGAGUUUAGAUUUGAAAGAAAAGUUCAUAUCUAAAAAGAAAAAGGUUUAGAUCUUUCUUCCAACAUAGAUCUCAGGUAAACAGAUAAUAUAUAUACACAUAACACGUAAUUUAUAUAAAAUAGUUUAGAUCUGAAAAGAAAAGUCUAGAUCUGAAAUGAGAAAGUUUGGAUUUGAAGGAAACAGUUCAGAUCUGAAAGAAAGAGUUUAGAUUUGAAAGAAAAGUUCAUAUCUAAAAAGAAAAAGGUUUAGAUCUUUCUUCCAACAUAGAUCUCAGGUAAACAGAUAAUAUAUAUACACAUAACACGUAAUUUAUAUAAAAUAUUUCAUAUUUAUGUGUAAGAAGAAAGUAAAUACACACUCACAUGAUAAGGUGGCGAUUCGGACAACGUUUUGCUUCUUAAAAUAAUCUCCAUUGAUGAAACCGGGAAGUUUGGUUGAAAACCGGGCUCUGCGGGGGGGCAAAGUUUCUAAACCGAAAAACUCUUUUUCUCGGAGACUUCGGGCGCUCCGGGGCUUUCUUCUAGUGCUAAGGAGGUCCCCUAGGCUUCGGGGGUGUUUAGGGUGGAUAGAGAGAGAAAGAGAGAGAGAGAGAGAGAGAGAGAGAGAGUAGAGUAGAGAGUGAAAGAAGUGUGAAAUAUGUGAGAAAACAUGGCUAGCCUCGCAUCCUAUUUAUAGUCAGGAGGUCUCGCAUUACGUUGGGCGUUCCUCGGUCUACAUGGGGUGUUCCUCGGUACGCAGGGCGUACCCUCGUACGCGGUACGGUUUGCGAGGUUCGGAUUUGUCACCCUUCAGAUGGAGCUAUGUGGCCAAUUCCGGACCUAGCCUUUGCGAACGCGGGGUGUUCUCUUCGGAUAGCCUCGAAAUAUGUACCUCUUACUUCAAAAAUUCAUAUAUUUUGCAUACGAGCUCCGUUUUCGACGUUAUUUAUAUCCACGCGUAGGCAGGACCGUACUCUACAACUUUUGUUUAGACUCAGUUGGCUAAAUUUGACUUUAUUUUUAAAGUUAUAUUUUUAACAGGCCGGGACAGGAAAAGUCUAUUAAAAAUUCAUAACUUCUUCAUCCGACGUCCGUUUUCGUUUUUCUUUUAACCGUUGAACUACUAUUGACGAGAUCUUCGAUUCUUGUUUAGGUUGUGUCGGAUAAAAAUCCCUCGAUUAUAAUUCGAGCUACGGGCUGCACACUGCUAUGCUAAAUCUUAGAAAAUUCAUAACUUCCUCGUACCAAGUCAGAUUUGGACCUUCUUUUUAUGCACGCUCUUGAUUUAACGUAUACUAGGAUUUUCAUUUAGAUCGCUAAGGCUAAAAUGCACUUUAUCGUAAACUCACUUUUUACGUCACGCAAUAUCGUGCUAGUUUUGUCGUGAAACUUUAACAGGUCAUAACUUUUUUGUGAUAACUUGGAUUUCGGCAUUCUUUAUAUGUCCGAAAUCCUUGUCACGACCACUACAACUUUCUUCAUAGAUAUCAGAUUUAUAUAACAUUUUAUUUUUGAUGCUUAUUUUCAUUCUUAAUUUAUUAUAUCAUUAUAAAUAAGUAUAUAAUCACAUAAAAUCACGUAAUUCACAUAAUAUUCAAGUAAUUCAUCUUUAUUACUUUAAAAUAGGUUACAAUAGUUGACCUUGACUAUUACAUCAUCAUACUAAUGUUUAGCCCAGAAACAAGGGCAUUAGAACGAGUAUGUUACUAGGGAGAAGAGAAAGAAAAAGAGAAACGGAAAACAUGAAGGUUUCACGAGAACUUCUCACUGAUAUCACUAUUCCCGUCGGUAACGUCAUGGACAUUGCCGGUGAUAAGGUUACCUCGUUACCAGAGGCAUUUUCGGUGAAAAACGACAUGAGUGAAGCUUUUCAUCGGAGUUGAUAGAGAGAAAAAGAGUAACACGGAAGAGGGAAGAAUGAAGUCGCUAAGGGUAUUAUUCGUGUCACACUUUAGCAACGAUACCAUUUAGUGGUGUCGAAAGACAUUUGUGGCAACUCGAAACGUAAUAGUCGCGACACACUUUUGAGGGAAUAAUUGGCAGAGGGUUCGAGUAUUAGCGGUGACACCGUUGCUGGUAUUAGUUAGUGGUGUGUAUGGGGCGGUUUGGUUCGGUUAUUGGUUAAAACCGAACCAUAACGAUUAUGAUUGGUUAAUGCAUUUUGGUAGCCAUUGGGUAUGGUUAAUAUUGGUUAUGGUUAGUAGUUUUUAUCGGUUAACGGUUUUGGUUAAUGGUUAAUAUUGGUUAACCAUAAUGUUCAAAAUAAUAUAAACGACGAAAGUAUUUUGGCAUGAAAAAUGAAAAUAAAAUACCAAAAAGUCCUCGACGCCGAUGUUUGUAACCUAACUUAUAGUAAUAUAAUAAAAUGUGUAUCUGUAAUACUUAGAGUGAGAUAACACAUAGUCACAUUUAAAAUCAAAAAUAUUUAAUAAAAAUAUAAAACAUUAAAAAAAUUGACAUUAAUAAUUUCAUAUAUUGAUAAUUGAUAUUAAUAUUAAAAUAAAGUCAAACAUUCAUACACGUUCAAUACGAUUAAAUUAAAACUAUUAAAUAAAAAAGCCAAACAUUCAUAUUCUGUGUUAUUAGAUAUAAAAAAAAAAAAAAGUCAAUCACUCAUCUACAUUCAAUGUGAUUAAGUCAAAAACACUAAAAAAAUUCAAAAAAUUAAAAAAAAAUACAUUCUUAAUAUAUCACAUAGUUAAAAAGAACCAAAAACUUAACUUACCUAGAAGUCUUGAGUAUAAAGUCAAAAAAAUCCUUCGAAUAGGACUAUAAAGUCCAAACAAUCUUUGAUUAUGAUUAACGGUGUGAGAAGCCUUCGAUUAGGAUUAUGAGUGUGAAGAUUAAACUAAUUGUGAAUAAUGUUUACAAAUUGUAGAAUUAGCCGAUUAUGAAUUACAACAUUAAUUAAUAAUCUAACUCAAUGUAUGAUUGGAAGAUUAUGUGUGUCUGAGUGAUCAGUCUUUGAUGAUUUGAUUGCUCGUUCGUCUCCUGGUAAGUGAAGAUUAAUAGAUUAUAUUUUCAAAAUUUUAAUGGAUCUUAAAUAAGUUUGACUAUAUNUCUCUUUCUCUCUCUCUCUCUCUAUAUAUAUAUAUAUAUAUAUAUAUAUAUAUUAAAAUAUAAAGUUAGCGGUUCGGUUAAUAAUGGUUCGGUUAACCUAUAAAACCAUAACCGAACCGUUAGUUAUUGGUUAACAAAAAUUAGAAACCGAACCAACGGUUUUUAAAAUGGUUCGGUUAUAACGGUUAAUUUGGUUUUGGUUCGGCUUUUCGGUUAUUAUGCUCACCCCUAGUAUUAGUUUCGCCGUUAUUGUUAUGUACGAAAUCAUUUUUCAAGUGUUGGAUUAUGACAAAAUCGACGAAUAGGGUUUAACCUCAGAUUUUGACGCGGAUCGGGGUUGAUGAGUUUCGCCUUUAGCGGUGACAACCACCAUUACAACGAGACCUAAUCUAAAUGUUGGGUAUCGCUUGUAAUGGUGGUUGUCGCAACUAAAGGAUUCGCCACUGAAGUCCUAUAUUGUUGUAGUGAUAAAUGUUAAACCUAAACACCAAUUUAAACACACCAACCACUAGAAAUUGGUGGCGACAAGUUCAUGGCAUUAAGAGCGAUAACAAAUGGUGUAUAAAUCCAUUAUGAUCUUCGUUGCGAUUUAACAGAACAUAUUUGGACGGUUAAUGAUUUUGAAGCUCAAUUUUGGAACAAUUUUUUUUUUGAUCCAUCAUGUUAUUAAGUUUUAAGUUUUUAAUUUUUUGAGUUGUUAUGGUUUAGUUUCUUGUUGUGUAAUUUUUAUUUUGAUUUAAUAUAAAAUUUAGUUUUUAAAAAAUUAAUUGCUAAAAAAAGUACUGAUGUUAAAAAAAUGAUGUUAAUCCGCCUAACCUAAAUGUAAAUGGUAUGUUGAAGACGGUGUGUAGCAAAAUCAAAUAUAAGCUGCUGGUUGAUGCAUCGGGUAUUGUAUUACGUGAGGUUGAUAGUUUGAUUUGUUGAAAUUAUCUUUUGUGUGUUUGAGAAUUCUUUUAUGGAAGUCCCUAUAAAAAGGAGUUCAAACUCAAAUGUUGGUUGAAAUAUUGCGAGUACACUUCACUUAAUUUGAUUGCGGUUAGGAAGCAAUUUAAUUUCUCAAAAGAUUAAAUGCCACUAAUAAAUUAAAAAAAUAAACUAAAAAUCAACACCAAAUUAAUGCCAAAGCUUUAAACCAUAUAUUACUAAAUUAAUUCACAUACGCCAUCAAAAAAAAAUUCAUGUCACAAACCCAUACUCAUAAAACUCACUUUCCAGGUACAAAGUUUGUAGCAUAUGACCAUGCAUUGUUUGCAACAGGGUCAGCAAGGUGGUCAGCGAGGUUCUCCAAUGGUCCCUUUCCGGUAACAAUGGCUUGAACAAAGAAUCCAAACAUAGAGAACAUGGCUAGUCUACCGUUCUUGAGCUCCUUCACUUUCAGCUCAGCAAAUGCCUCUGGGUCAUCAGCCAGACCCAAUGGGUCGAAGCUACCACCAGGGUAAAGUGGGUCAACUACCUCACCAAGAGGUCCACCAGCAAUUCUGUAACCUUCAACUGCACCCAUCAAGAUCACUUGGGUAGCCCAGAUGGCUAAAAUGCUUUGUGCAUGGAUCAAACUUGGGUUCCCCAAGUAGUCAAGACCACCCUCACUAAAGAUCUGGGAUCCAGCCUUGAACCAUACAGCCUCACCAAACUUGACACCAUUACGCGCCAAGAGUUCGGGGAAGACGCACCCAAGAGCUCCGAGCAUGGCCCAUCUGCUGUGGAUGACCUCAAGCUCACGGUUCUUGGCGAAUGUUUCAGGAUCAGCAGAGAGCCCAGCAGUGUCCCAACCGUAGUCACCGGGGAACUCACCGGUCAGGUAAGAUGGGGCUUCGCCGGAGAAUGGGCCAAGGUACUUAACACGGUCGGGGCCGUACCAUGGACUUCCUGAUGGUGCGACUUUCUUGACUGCUGUCUUCCUCAUGGAAACCCUUCCAUUUCCGGUGAUUUCUGAACCAGAUGGUGUUAUUUUCACUGCUUGUCCGAUGAAUGAAGAAGAUACAGACAUAGUGGAAGCUGCCAUUCUGUUAAAUUUGGUUGAAAGAUGUUGUGGAGAUAGGAGAGUUUGAGUUAUGAAGAUGGGGAGAUCUGCAAGUUUAUUUAUAAGGUGGUUUUUUGGUCAGAUAGAUAUGAUCGAUGCUUAUCUAGAUACAAUCUUCACCUUCAUUUUGAUUGGCAAACAACAUUCUAGUUUUAUCUAAGGGUCAGUAAUCUGCGUGCUGUGAGUUCUCUGGUCCACCAGAGAUUUUUGAAGGGGCUGCGGUAUAUUCAUGGCUCUGGUUUAUUGAGGGAAUGUAAUGGCUCCCAUUCUCAGCCACAAGCUGUUCUUGGUGGGGUUUUUCAUCUUUAACCAUUUUACAUUUUCACAAAGUUACAUAAAUAGUCAUCAUGCUUUACAAAGUCACCGGUUCAGCAACAAACUUUUUUUCCAUGAUUAAAAAUUCAAAACGGUCCGUAUGGUUUUAAUAUUAUUAGUAAUCAUCUUAACAUUUCUAAUUUUUAAAGACAAAUAUUCAUAUAAAUGGUUAUGUGAUUUUCCAGAAUAUCAAGUGGAGCACAUCAUUUUUUCGGUCUUAUGGAAUGACUAUUUGGUUUCAAUUCCUAUCAUAAUUGAUCUUAGAGCAUCCACAAUAGGGGAGUUUAAUGGAAGAGUUGAAUGAGGUGUCAUGCCUACUUGUCAUUCAAUGGAUACAACUCCACCAUUGUGAAAUGCCACCUUGGCAUUCAAUGAAUUUGGAGUUCAAUGGUCAUUGAACUCUUCAAUGGGAAAAAGGAAAAUCUUUAAAUCUUUAAAUAAAUAUUUUUUAAUAUAUUCCAUUGAACUUGUAGAGUUUAAUGCAUUGUGGGAUAAAAAUGAAAAGAGUUGUAUGGAAUAAUGAAUGAUGACGUGACACUCCAUUGAACUCUAUAGAGUUCAAUGCAUUGUAGAUGCCCUUAGUCCCACAUAAAUAAACUUUUAUACCCUUCUAUAUUAUAAUUAGUUUAUUUAAUAUAUAAAUAGCUAUGUUUUAUAGUUAACAAUAAAUUUUGUUCAUNNNNNNNNNNNNNNNNNNNNNNNNNNNNNNNNNNNNNNNNNNNNNNNNNNNNNNNNNNNNNNNNNNNNNNCUCUCUCUCUCUCUCUCUCUCUCUCCCAUCACACCCUCCUAAUCUUUAUUUCUUUCACUCGAUCGGUCAACCUCUUUUCUUUCUACAUAAAAAUUAAUCCAAAAUGCAGCCUUUUCCCAUACUCUGUGCUUGCACCGCCACUUUACCUUCUUGAAACCAAAUUACUAACCAUACACAAGUCUACAAAUCUACUAAUGUGUCUUCCAUUUCUCAAAAUCGAAAAAUAGAGAAGGUGUAGAACAUUGAGCUCACUUCUGUGCAUCUCCCACCUCUUUUACACAAAUAUGAAAUUAAAAUUGAAGAACAACUUUGUGAAGAACCUAGAUUGUGGAGAUGAUGAUGAAUAAAGUCGAUAGUUGGUGGUGCUCGGUGAUGUUUGAUGUUAGCGGCAGUACACUAGUGUUGUGGUGAUCGCCUGUUCAGUUGGUUAUAUUCUGGUAGGGUGGACGAUGGUGACCGUAGAACAGUUCAUAUAUAUAUNNNNNNNNNNNNNNNNNNNNNNNNNNNNNNNNNNNNNNNNNNNNNNNNNNNNNNNNNNNNNNNNNNNNNNNNNNNNNNNNNNNNNNNNNNNNNNNNNUAUAUAUAUAUAUAUAUAUAUAUGUGUGUGUGUGUGUGUGUGUGUGUGUGUGUGUGUGUGCGCGCGCACACUACAAGAAAUUUAGGUGUUUAUCCACACACGUUAUAUGUGGCUAAAAGACCUUUAUGUGUAGUUAUCUUUAGCUACACACAGAUUAAGUGUCAUAAUGUAUUGACUCAUGCCUAUAGAUAUAUAUCAUUAACUAUACAUUCAUUAUGUGGAAGUAUAGUGCAAUUAGUACACACAUACAUGUGUGGUUAAAACUAGUAAGUAUGUGCAUAUAGAAAGGGAGCUGAUCCGUUCACAACAAUUUUUCUCCAUACACAAUAAUUGAUGCUUUAAAAUGUUGUAUUAUACAACUAUAUAAUGCAUGAAUUGUUGUGUAUGGCAAAAAACUGUUGUGUACGAAUCACUUCCCAUAUAGAAGUACUAAAAAUUGUUUGAGUUGUCAACGAUGUGGCUGAUGACAUGUCAAAUUAUGUGGCAAGCCCACACAAAGUGUUGGUGAUAUGUGUUAUUCGAUAUGUGUGGGUAAUAAUUGUUAUAUGUGUAGGUUAAGAUAAGAUAUAUGAAAUAUAUAAAACACAAUAAAUGAAAUAUAAAAUUUAACAACACAAAUUGUUAUUACUUUUAAUAAGGAGUUAACGAUAUAUAAAACUUCUUUUGGAAUGGAAGUAUGUAGCACCCAAAGUCAGAAAGGCCAAGAAAGGAAAGGAAACCCUAAGUUUAAGGGACGACUCAGCAAGUCCAAGGAGGUACUCGGCGAGUCCGAGCGGGAUCCGGGUCGAGGAGUAAAUGACCGACUCGGCGAGUCGGCCAAGGAGACUCGGUGAGUCUGGUCUGUACGAGGAAAUCCCUAAAUUCGGGACUUGGAGCCUAUUUAAGCGCCUCAUUCUCUUCUCUAGGGUUCCUCUACUGCCUCUCUAACCNCUCAACCCCACCCCCGCCCCGCCAUAUCCAUUGUUGAGCCAAUUAUUGCUUUGAAGAGUGCAUUAAAGCUUGGAGAAGGAAGAAGGACCUUGGAGGUGCAAGAAGGAGCUAUAGAUCUGGGCUUGGGAAGAUAUUUCUGAACAUUUGGAGGUAAUAAACUAGUUCUUGGACUCCUUUGCACCUAGAUCUAUGUGUGAGUUUUGGGGCUUUUGGCCAUGAUUGGUACCCAUUUAAGUUAGAAGCCAGAUCUAAAGUUGCUACUUCGGAUAUAAGCAUAUUAUGGGCUUGUGAAGCAUAAAGUAUCAGCCCUUGAGUUGAUUAUGGAGCCUCUUUGCAUUAAACCCUAUUUUAUGGUGUGUCUAGCCUAGAUCUCCUUCUCUACACGUAAAGUUUGCAACUUUACGUGAGGAAUAGGCUUGGGAAGGGUAGAUCUACAGUUUGGGGUCCAUGCAUGACUCAAAAGUCCUCUACAUGUAUGUAGAUCUGAAUGGACUCGGCGAGUCCUUUGAGUGGACUCGGGGAGUAGCAUGAAGAUUAGGAGGAACUCAACGAGUGGGAUGAACAGCUCAUCGAGUCGGAUGAAGUUGGGCAGGAACUCGGCGAGUUGGAAGAACAACUCGGAGAGUCGGUUGAAGAUUGCCUUGGACUAGGUGAGUCUGUUCUUGGACUCGGCGAGUCAGGUCGCGAAACCCUAAACCCUUCGACUUGAGACUCGAAUCAGUGAGUCGAGUGGAGACUCGGUAAGUUGGACAGGUCAGGACUCGGAAAUCGGUAGACUCGGCGAGUCAUGGACUGACUCGGUGAGUCGAGUCGCGAUUGGAAGGACUUAGAGCAUAUGAACUCGGCGAGUCAAUAGGUAGACUCGGCGAGUAGGGUUGACCUGGAAGAUUGACUUUGAACAGGACUUUGACUUUGACCAGAGUUGACUUAGUUGACUGUUGGGGGUCAGUUAGUCUAAGUGUUUCAUUGAUAUUGGUAGCUCGGGGAGCUAGUGGAGCAGGAGUUCAGAGAGUUUCCGGGCAGCAUCCAGAAGGUUAUCAGCAUGUUCAGCAAGUGCAUGUGAGUUUCCCUUUGUGCCAAUGGGUCUACGGUCACAAUGUCGGCCCAUGUAGUUAUGAGUAGAAGACCCGGGGGUUAGCCCUAGGCACAGUAUGCUAGUAUGAUAUUCAGGACGAGGUCCAAUGAUAGCGGGCGGGUGCCCAAGGAAUGGUUUAUGUGAUAGUUUAUACUUGUUGUAUGUGUGAUACUUGUAUGUGUCUGGUAGGGAGGUGAGUGUGGGCGAGGUCCCGUAUCUCACCAAUAGCAGAGUGUGGAUGGUGUUCCACAUCUCAGUAGCAGCAGAGCAGGGGCGAGGCCCAAGUUAGGGAAGGAGUGAGGGUGGGCUGGGCCCGUACCUCACUAUCAGCAGGAGUAUGGACGGGGUUCCAUGACUCAUCAGUAGCAGGACAAGGGCGGGGCCCAGAGAUAGGCGAGGCCUUAGGACAAGAUCCGUUAGUAUGUGUUUAGCUUAUGUGAUGUGAUGUGAUAUGUUUAUGUGCUAUUAUAUGUUAGUGGGCGAGGCCCUGUGACAGGCGAGGCCUAAGUGAAACAGAUCUGUAUCCGAGCGGGGCUCGAAGCCAGGCGGGGCCUGGAGCGGCGGGGCCGUUGUAGCGGGCGAGGCCCGAGGUAGGGGGGGAGGCCCAGGAUAGCGGGCGUGGCCCAGCGUGUGCAGUAUGUGGUUAUGCAUGGUAUGUGGUAGGGUGGGGAACUCACUAAGCUUCGUGCUUACGGUUUUCAGUUUUGGUUUCAGGUACUUCCGGUAGCGGAGGGAAGAGCUCGGGGGUGAUCGCAUGGCACACACCAUAGAUUAGACAGUCUGGGAAUGUUUUACUCUGACAAUGAACAUGUGUUUUGGAAAAUUAAUACUCUGAUUAUGUUUUGAAUUGGUGACCUUGCUUAAAGAAAUCUUUUAUUAAAAGAAAUUUUUAGUCAUGAAUUUUGGGACGUUACAAGUUGGUAUCAGAGCCUUGGUUUGAGGGAUUCGGGCAUACUCUCGGGUGUGCCUGAACUCAAACUAAGGGGUCGGAUAAAAAGUUUUCAAAAUGAAAAGACAGUUUUCUAAAAAGAGAGUUUUGGGAAAGAAAACAGUUUUAGAAAAGCAAAAAGAAUUCAGAAAGAAAAGAACUUUGAAAAGAAAAAAAUGGUGUGGUGCAUGCAAUCAGCUGGUCUUAAGUAAGUACCCCAAAUUACCCAUACAAGUUUAUGUUAUGAUUAUCAGUUAGUAGAACAGCAUGCUAGAUUAGGACUAAGGAUCUAGGGAGGAUGCCUUAUGUGCCUAUUAUAUGUGCUUUGAGUUGCAUGAUAGUGUUGAUUAGACAGUGGUAGGAUAGCCUGUUUAGGUUAUGCCUGAGUAUAUGAGUUUGUGUUGCAUGCUAGUUCAGAUUCUUGCUAUGUGGAUAUGAUUGCUUAUGUAUGUUAUGGUUAGAUUUUCCCCUUGUCUGAAUGCUGCCUGCUUUGUGCAAUAUGGGAUUCCGAGUGAUGGGAGUAACCAUUAGGUGGAUACGUCACGUCACAUGUGAUCAGGGUUGAAUAAUCUCAGAGUGCUAAAUUUGGCCCUAUUUCGCAGCUCUCGUUUGAGUCCAACCAUUGUAGGGAUGAGUCUUUUACUCGAAGAAUUAUCUGAGCCUUGUCACAUGUGAUGGUGUCCAGUUGAUGGCCAAUUGGCAUCACAAGGAGUCCUUCAGCAGCUGAGGCCUGGUUUGGUGUGAGUCAGAGGUUUCCUUAGGGUAAGCCUAGGAUGAGAUAGUGUUGGGAGCAGUAGUAGUGGAUAAGGGACCUGGUGGAGUCGAAGCAAUUCCNGAGGAAAGUACAGAUAGAUAUGGAUGGUAGUAUGGGCCCGUACUACUGAAAGCAGAGGAUCCGUACUCGAUUCGGGAAAGGCUGAGACAAGACCGAGAACCUAGUAGGGUGAGUGUGUGUCUGGUCUCACAGCAGUGAUAAGUAUUCUGAUAGAGGAUGUAUUAUAUAUUCAGCAUGGUGACAUUGCGAGAGAGACCAGUGGGUGGACCAGGCGCCGGAGAGGGAUCGCUCGGGGUCNAGCAGCUCGAGGAGCGGAUGAGGGAGUUGAUAUCAGCUGAGGUUACGCGCAGUAUUCUAGAUCAGACUCCUGUGAUCUUUGGCACGGUCAAGGAGGGUAUAUUGGAGAUUUUGGAUGAGAGGCUGGGAGCCUUCCGUACCGAGAUGAUGGCAUUGAUGGGAGCACGUACCUUGACAUUUCGAGAGUUCAGGGCUUGCGGGGCACCAGAUUAUCAUGGGGCUAGGGACCCCAUCGCUAGCAGCAGAUGGUUGGUUGAUGUUGCCAAUGCAUUCCGUACGAGCCGGUGUCCUGAGGGGGACAAGGUUAGGCUCGCUUCUUGUCUUCUGAAGAACAGAGCAAGGGAUUGGUGGGAGGAGAUUAGUCAUGCCUUGGGGGAUGAUGUCGCGUUGGAUGCGAUGACUUUGAGCGAUUUCUCGUCCAGGUUCAGGGCGGAGUUUUCGCCGAUUAUUGAGGUGCAGCAGUUGCCACAGGAGUUUCAGGAUUUGACGCAGACCACUGAGACUGUGGCGGAGAUCACCGCCAAGGUCAGGGAGAGGGCUCUUCUUGUACCGCAGUGUGUCGCGGAUGAGGAGAUGAAGAAGGCCCGAUACCAUGAGAUGUUGAGGGAUGAUAUCAGGGUGUUCGUGAUCAGGUCCAGCUGUAAGACGCUAGAAGAUAUGAUUUCUCGAGCUAGAGAGAGGGAAAUUGAUUUGGAGCAGAUCCGGAAGAGGAAGCCGGAUGAGGUUUAGGUAGCCACAGGUUCGGGCAAAAGGCCUAAGGGAUCAGAUUCGAGAUCGAGGGAUUAUCAGGACCGCAGUCGGUGCGGGAAGUGUGGCAGGGCGCACAGGGGUGCGUGUAGGAGUGGUAGCGGUGGUGAUUCUGGCUGCUUCAAGUGCGGUCGGACUGGUCAUUUCAGUAGAGAUUAUACUGUUACCACCACACAGGGAUCAGACUUGAUAUGUUUUCACUGCAAUCAGCGGGGCCACAAGAAGGCCCAGUGCCCCAGUUUGUUUUCAAUAGGACGGGUGAUGACACUUGCCCCUGCAACUUUGAGGAUCACAGACGGCCGUCAGGGCCGUGCAGAGGCGCCUGCGGUAGGAGGCAGGUCUUUUCAGAUGACUACCUUGGAGGCGCGAGCAGCACCGGACGUUGUAGGUAUGCGAUUUUGUUUUCAGUUCUUUUAUUUGUGCAUGAUUAUAUUGUUAUGGUUCUGGAUCAUCAUUGGUUUGAGUAUUUUAUUUUUUGAGCGGUUGAUUGUGAUCGAGUUAUAUGCCAUCUUAAUACCUUGGAUAUUUGAAUGGUAGUUAGGAGAUGUGCUCUAUUAGAGAAGGUUUCAUAGGAUGCAGUAAUUGUAGCAUGCCUGGGAGGGACUUGGUAUGUCUCGCUAGAUCGGAGUUGUAUAAUGUUAGAGAUGGAUUGGUUAGAUCCCUAGCUAUGGUGAGCUUGGGUUCCUCAGCAGCUUGAUUAUGGAAUGGUAGCAAGGAUUGGGAUUCUUUUGAGUAUUGAGCAGCAAGGGGUAAGCAGGAUCGAAGUGGGGGAGAAUCCUCCGAGUGUGCAAAGGUAGGAUCACGCAGACCCAAAAUGAGUGCGCGACCUCCGAGAAGGAAAAGAAGUAGUUCAGCGUUUGAUGGAUUGAGGAUUUCAGGGUUGGGAUUUUGAGAAACUCCCCAUCAGCUAGUGCGUGUGAUGGUGAUGGUUAGUAUGUGGUUGGGAAUUCAGGUUGUGGAUCGCCCGUAGGACUCGAGGGAGUCGGAAUGAGGAUCUUGAGAGCUAAUGGCACAUGGGUGCCUUCGUAUUAGCAGUCAGUGGUAGAAAGUGAUGUAAGACUACGGGGCAGCCGUAGCAUUCACUAACAGUUAGUGGUAGAAAGUGAUGUAAGACUACGGGGCAACUAUAACACUCACUAGUAGUCAGUGGUGGAAGUGUUGUAAGACUACGGGGCAACCAUAGCAUUCACUAGCAGUCAGUGAUGGAUGGUGAUGUAAGACUACUAGUAAGCCGUAGCAUUCCUUAGUAGCUUCGUUAGCGGAGUUGGGGCGAGGCCCUUAUCUCCUAGCGAUCAGAUAGGGAUCAGGAAUGGGUAGUGGAUGAAAGUGAUAGGAAGUUUGCUUGUAUAGCCCUAGAGAGGUGAGACCUUGGGAGAGGCCGCUCCAGGAUAUAGUUGGGUGAGGCCUGUGGGCGAGGCCCGUAUGAGAGUAGCGGUAUAGGUGAGACCUGAGAGUAGGGUUGCUCAGUAGUAUGGCCGGGUGAGACCCGUAGGCGAGGCCCGAGAGAGAGUGGUUAGACAAGUAGGACUAGAAGGAUAGAGGCGGGGGGGACCCGUGGGCGAGGCCCGUGUGUUUUAGCGGCAUAGGGGGGACCUGGUAAGGACCUUAGUGUCAAGAUAAGGGAUCGGGGAUCCAUGGAUUGUAGUGACUGAAUGGCAGAAUAGAUUGCGCAGUUAUAGGUGGUCAAAGUUCCUUCGAAAGUCGCUGGGAGCGACUAGGAGUAGUGUUGGGACUAGCGACCGGUGGGAUCCGGUAAUCCAGAUAUUGGUAGGACGGUAGGGAUUAGGGUGGUCUCAGUUCAUCCGGAAGGCAGAUAAGGAAUAGCAGAAUUUUCAGUCAGUAGUAGUGCGGGUAAGCAGUGUAUGGUGGAAUUCAGUUAGUUGUAUCGAGGGGUGCUCGACACCAAGUUUUGACAGAGAGGAGUGUCAGUGGUUACUGGCGGUGAUGACCUGUACUGGAAGUAGCGGGGGUGAUGGAGUUGGCGAAGGAUAUGACCUUCACAGUGACAGAGGAAAUAGUUGGUUAUGGAGCAUUGCCUUGGGAAGGCAAGGAAUUCGCACAAGGAAAGAAGGGGUGAACCCCUAUAGGUUCAGUACAGUACUCGGUGAGUACCGGAAGGAUUGUCGGUUGAGUAAGUUGUGUUUCCAGGAUGUUCAGGGUCAGGGUGACCUGAGUCUAUUAUCCGCAAGGAAUGAUGUUAGUCAGAAUGACCGGGCGGAAGACCAGCGAAGGUAGGCAGCUGGUGUUGGAAUGAUUAGUUGGGUAUUGAAAGCAUAUCGCAGGCAGUGGCCCAUAGCAAACUUCGAGGAUGAAGUUUAGUUUAAGUGGGGGAGAGUUGUAACACCCAAAGUCAGAAAGGCCAAGAAAGGAAAGGAAACCCUAAGUCUAAGGGAUGACUCAGUAAGUCCAAGGAGGAACUCGGCGAGUCCGAGCGGGAUCCGGGUCGAGGAAUAAGUGAACGACUCGGCGAGUCGGCCAAGGAGACUCGGUGAGUCUGGUCUGUACGAGGAAAUCCCUAAAUUUGGGACUUGGAGCCUAUUUAAGCGCCUCAUUCUCUUCCCUAGGGUUCCUCUACUGCCUCUCUAACCCAGAACACCAAACCCUAGCCGCCAUAUCCGUUGUUGAGCCAAUUAUUGCUUUGAAGAGUGCAUUAAAGCUUGGAGAAGGAAGAAGGGCCUUGGAGGUGCAAGAAGGAGCUAUAGAUCUGGGCUUGGGAAGAUAUUUCUGAACAUUUAAAGGUAAUAAACUAGUUCUUGGAAUCCUUUGCACCAAGAUCUAUGUUGAGUUUUGGGGCUUUUGGCCAUGAUUGGUAUCCAUUUGAGUUAGAAGCCAGAUCUAAAGUUGGAACUUCGGAUCUAAGCAUAUUUUGGCCUUGUGAAGCAUAAAGUAUCAGCCCUUGAGUUGAUUAUGGAGCCUCUUUGCAUUAAACCCUAUUUUAUGGUGUGUUUAGCCUAGAUCUCCUUCUCUACACGUAAAGUUUGCAACUUUACGUGAGGAAUAGGCUUGGGAAGGGUAGAUCUACAGUUUGGGGUCCAUGCAUGACUCAAAAGUCCUCUACAUGUAUGUAGAUCUGAAUGGACUCGACGAUUCCUUUGAGUGGACUCGGCGAGUAGCAUGAAGAUUAGGAGGAAUUUGACGAGUGGGAUAAACAGCUCGUCGAGUCAGAUGAAGUUGGGCAGGAACUCGGCGAGUUGGAAGAACAACUCGGCGAGUCAGUUGAAGAUUGCCUUGGACUUGGCGAGUCUGUUCUUGGACUCGGCGAUUCAGGUCACGAAACCCCAAACCCUUCGAGUUGAGACUCGAAUCAGUGAGUCGAGUGGAGACUCGGUGAGUUGGACAGGUCAGGACUCGGAAAUCGGUAGACUCGGCGAGUCGAGUCGCGAUUGGAAGGACUUUGAGCAUAUGAACUCGGCGAGUCAAUAGGUAGACUCGGCGAGUAGGGUUGACCUAGAAGAUUGACUUUGACCAGGACUUUGACUUUGACCAGAGUUGACUUAGUUGACUGUUGGGGGUCAGUUAGUCUAAGUGUUUCAUUGAUAUUGGUAGCUCGGGGAGCUAGUGGAGCAGGAGUUCAGAGAGUUUCUGGGCAGCAUCCAGAAGGUUAUCAGCAUGUUCAGCAAGUGCAUGUGAGUUUCCCUUUGUGCCAAUGGGUCUACGGUCACAAUGUCGGCCCAUGUAGUUAUGAGUAGNGGAAGGUUGACUUUGACCAGGACUUUGACUUUGACCAGAGUUGACUUAGUUGACUGUUGGGGGUCAGUUAGUCUAAGUGUUUCAUUGAUAUUGGUAGCUCGGGGAGCUAGUGGAGCAGGAGUUCAGAGAGUUUCUGGGCAGCAUCCAGAAGGUUAUCAGCAUGUUCAGCAAGUGCAUGUGAGUUUCCCUUUGUGCCAAUGGGUCUACGGUCACAAUGUCGGCCCAUGUAGUUAUGAGUAGAAGACCCGGGGGUUAGCCCUAGGCACAGUAUGCUAGUAUGAUAUUCGGGACGAGGUCCAAUGAUAGAGGGCGGGUGCCCAAGGAAUGGUUUAUGUGAUAGUUUAUACUUGUUGUCUGUGUGAUACUUGUAUGUGCCUGGUAGGGAGGUGAGUGUGGGCGAGGUCCCGUAUCUCACCAAUAGCAGAGUGUGGAUGGUGUUCCACAUCUCAGUAGCAGCAGAUCAGGGGCGAGGCCCAAGUUAGGGAAGGAGUGAGGGUGGGCUGGGCCCGUACCUCACUAUCAGCAGGAGUAUGGACGGGGUUCCAUGACUCAUCAGUAGCAGGACAAGGGCGGGGCCCAGAGAUAGGCGAGGCCUUAGGACAAGAUCCGUUAGUAUGUGUUUAGCUUAGGUUAUGUGAUGUGAUAUGUUUAUGUGCUAUUAUAUGUUAGUGGGCGAGGCCCUGUGACAGGCGAGGCCUAAGUGAAACAGAUCUGUAUCCGAGCGGGGCUCGAAGCCAGGCGGGGCCUGGAACGGUGAGGCCGUUAUAGCGGGCGAGGCCCGAGGUAGGGGCGAGGCCCAGGUUAGCGGGCGUGGCCCAGUAUGUGCAGUAUAUGGUUAUGCAUGGUAUGUGGUAGGGUGGGGAACUCACUAAGCUUCGUGCUUACGGUUUUCAGUUUUGGUUUCAGGUACUUCCGGUAGCGGAGGGAAGAGCUCGGGGGUGAUCGCAUGACACACACCAUAGAUUAGACAACCUGGGAAUGUUUUACUCUGAUAAUGAACAUGUGUUUUGGAAAAUUAAUACUCUGAUUAUGUUUUGAAUUGGUGACCUUGCUUAAAGAAAUGUUUUAUUAAAAGAAAUUUUUAGUCAUGAAUUUUGGGACGUUACAAAGUACAUUAAUCCUUGGUACAAAUAUUACAUCAACAAAAGUUAUCUCUAAGCUUUCAUGAAAUUGAAGACCUUAUGCCUAACACAACCAUUGUAUCUAGAUAAGAUUUUCCUACUUAUUUACUUUGUUGUGUGCAAAUAUUAAUACACUUGACUUAAGCAUCACCAACAUUUGGACAUAAUUGUUGACGUUGAGGUGGUUGGUUAGAGCAUUAGUCAACUUUAAUAUUCAAGUGAAGACGUAUCAAAUACAAGUGAUUGUAGUUCACUCCUAUAGCAACAAGAGGAGCAGAGGCUUUAAGUAGUUUAUCCAUUUCAACAUGAAACUCUUUUCACACAUGAACGAUCUUAUGACACCUGUCAAAUGCCUCUUAAAAUAUACAAUCAACACUUGGUCAGUAGCUUUCUUCUCUGUGGCCAGAACCAUGACCUCUUCAUUUCCCUAUAUUAAUGAUGACAGGUUCAUAAACUAAAAGGACUGUAAAGUCAAAAUAGUUGACAUUAUGUUGACAUACCUAGUGGUGUGAAGAGAAGAAUAAAUAGAAUGUUUGUAAUAAACCCGCUUUCUUGGGUGAGGAAACCAUGACACUUGUUCAGAAAUGAAACAUCCCAACUAGCACCUAACGACUUUUGCUACAUUGAGAUAUACUAGCAAACAACAUAAGCAAAUCACAUGGAAAAUUAUUACAAUUAAUAAAACUCAUAAAUAAAGUGGUAAAAACAGCCUUGCACACACUCUUGAUUAAAAAAAUAGUUUAUAUUAGUGUAACAUCCCGAUUUCUCGAUAUCAGUUUAAAGUUCUAGAGUCAUGUUUCAAAGACAACUCGACGAGUUGAUAGGCCAACUCGUUGAGUAGUGACCAAAUCAGCCAUGUGGAUUUUAGACCCUACUCGUCGAGUUGGAGGACCCGACUCGACGAGUAGGUGCUGGAAAGUGAAAACCAUAAUUUUUAGGGUUUGCACCCUAUUUAAAGGUCCUUAACUUUCCUCCUCAGCCUCCCUUGUCACCUUCACGUCCAAAAAAACCAACUAGUCUCUAUUCUUGAGUGUGUGAGACCAAAAGAGAGUGUAUUGGAGCAUUCUUAAGGAGUUAAGAGCUUUGAACAAGGGAUAGCUUGUAGAUCCAACUUUUCCAGUGUUGUGACAACAAUAUUGAGUUAUAAAGCUACCACCUUUAUAUUUCAUUGCUUAGAUCUUCCUUUUUGGUAAAGUAAUUGUCAUGUCUAGGGCAUGAUGGGGUCACACUCGGAUUUAAGCUUGCCACAAGGGCAUAGUUUUAGAACUUGACUUCUUAAGGCCUUAUGAACAUAAAUCCUUAAGCUUUAUGAAGCCCUAGCCCUCCUUCAUGUCCAAAACCUUCUCCUAAUGCUAAUUAUGAGUGUUUUAGCUUCAUAGAACCAUGCAUGCAUGUAAAGUUAGCAACUUUAUGUGAUAACAACACCCUAGGAGCAUAGAUCUACUGUUUGGAGCUUUGGAGCAGCUUAAAAUAGUCUGAAUGAGUGAUGGACUGAAGGAGACUCGACGAGUUUCAUGGUUGAAUCGAAGAGUCGGUUGAAGAUUGCCCAUAAUGGUUUUGCAUGGACUCGGCAAGUCAGUAAGAAGACUCGACGAGUCAGUUAGGGUUCUUCCUGACAUUUAGACACGCGUAGACUCGCCGAGUUGGUGGGGAAACUCUGCGAGUUGGCCCAGGGAUUUCACGGUUUUCUGAGUUUUGGAGGAACUCGAUAGGUCAGUAGUUGGACUCGACGAGUUGGGUCAACAUGGACUGUUGACCUUGACUGUUGACUUGGAGUUUGACCAGGGUUAACCAUGUUUGACUUUGGAGGGUAUUUGGUAAAUGGGUAUUUAAGGAAAUGGAUCAUGGGUGGAUAUAGGUAAUGGAGUUUGGGGCAGUAUUUUGAGAGCGUGAUUUCGUGGUUUAGUUCGGCAUUGCAAGGUGAGUUAUCCUCACUAUAUCAACAGGGUCUAAGGCACCAAGGUCAGCCCUUUAUCUGAUUUGUAUUCGGGUAUUUGCUUGAUAUGUUUUUUGAUCUGCUAGAUCUGCAUCCUGGUAGUUAGGAUGGUAUUAUGUUUAGUGACCUGGUUUAGGUCAGUAUCCUGGUAUAUGGGAUGAUGUUAUGUUAGUGACCGGUUAGGUCGGUAUCCUGGUUAUAGGACGGUUGUUGUGUUAGUAAUCAGUUAGUUUGGUAUGAUUAUCUGUUGUAUACAUGCUCGCGUAUAAUAUUUAUGUGCACAUGAUUGUUUGAUUGUUAUGGGGGUUGGGUUGAGGCGGGUCCUGCUUCGUGUUGUAGGCCAACAUACCCAUGGCGGACCGGAAAGACUACAGGCCCAGGAAGGCACAUUGUCCAACCAAUGGCCCAACGAGCGGUCCGGAUAGGCUGAAGGCCCCGAGAGGGUGGUCCAAACGUGCCGAGGCUCGGAGAGUGGGCCAGGUGGACUGAAGGCCCGGUGCGGGCGGUCCAGUCAUACUGUAGACUCAAAGAGUGGACCAGGUGGACUGAAGACCCAGUGCGGGUGGACCAGUCACACAGUAGACUCGGGAUGCAUGGCUGUUCAGUGUUUGUUAUAUGAUAUGAUUAUGGAUUGUAUGAGGUUGGUAUUUUGGGGGUAACUCACUAAGCCUUCGAGCUUACGUUUAUCAAUUUAUGUUUCAGGUACAACGAAUUAACCCAGGAAGACGAAUGUGUGAUCGUACACUUCCCCAUAAUAUGUUUUGGAUUUUCUGGGAUACUCUGAUGUGAAACUAUUUUGGAAACCUUUUUGUAAUAACUAUUGGCAUUUGAAAUGUUUUUAAAAGUUUAAAUUUGGCUUGGAUUUUAUGGGUGUUACAAUUAUUUCAAUUAUCCAAGACGAUUUUAUGUCGAGAUUUUAAGUUAACAUUAAAUCUCAAUUAUUUGUUUGAAUGAUUUUUUUCUUUUAUCUUAGAGAUUUGUUUGAAAUUUAUUAAUUUUUUUUAUAAAUUUGAAUUAAUCAAAGACACAUAUAAAAAUAUCUCAUCAAAUCAAAUAAAUUUAAUAUAUAAAAAAGAUAGUAUCCGAUUAAGUCAAUCUAAAAAUACCAACAUAUAAAUAUAACUCACAAAUCUUGAUGGGAAUAAGAAUCAAACUCAAAAUCAAUCAAAUAAAAAAACCUUUGAUUUGUGUUAUAAGUAUAAAAUAAAUCAGGAUUCCAAAUAAAUAUUACAAUGAAAAAAAACCUAAAAUGUUUGAAACAAAAUAUGAAAUUCGCCAUCACUGUCAAUUUAAAAAAAAAACCUUUAUUAAUACUAAUGGGCUAUUUGGUAGCAUCCUGAUGAAUCAUAUCUGAAUGAUCUAGAUGCCUGGAUGAUCUAGAUGCUCUUUAGGAAUUUCUAUCGGAAUGAUAAAAUAAUGUUUGGUUAGGCAUCUAAAUAUCUGCCUCUUAAUGAGGAAAAUAACCAUUUUAGCCCUCUAAAUUAUUUUUUGAAUACAAAAUAAACAUUAUACAAUAUCCAACAAAUCGGUUAAAACAAAUUGGCUUUUGAUAUUCAGAUUCAUGUGUUUCUUCAUCAACAAUCUCUUUGAAGAGGACUCGUUUUGUUUCUGUUUUUAGAUCAUUAGGCUUUCUUGCUUCUGGAACAUUGAUGGGCCUAUUUUCUUGCUGAAUAUCUUCCAUCACUAGCAACUUCAUCUUGCUCCUAGAUCACAUAUCAACUAAACAAGUUGAAAAAUAACCAAACACAUAUUUUCAUAUAGAACAUUUCAAGCAAACACAAACACAUUUUCAAAAAAAAAAAAACAAAUCAAUUGUUAUUUUCAGAUUUCCAAAGGACAAAAACAACAUCAACUGAACACAUAUAUAGAGCAAGAAGAACAAAGCACAAAAAUCGAUUUCAUACAAAAUCGAGCAGCAAGAACACGAUUGACACCAAUUUCAUGCAAAAUUGCUCAACAAUAACACGAUUGAAGCAACAGAUUCGAGAAAAAAAACCAUACCUGAAAACUUACCGACGACGAGUAGGCGGAGAAGUAGGAGCGUUGUCGAAGGCAUGCAAGGGGAGGCGGCGACGGAGCCAAUAAUUGGAAGUUGUCAACGCUUAAUGAAGAUAAAGAAUGAGGGAUGAAAGGUCGAUCUCUAGAAAGAAGGAGAAGAAAAAAGAGUCGGCCGCAAUUUGUUGUUAGGGCAAUGGUAGAAGAUGAAAAUUUUUUUAUUCAGACUUCUCCUCAUAUCUUAACGAAUCAGAUUAGUUUUAGCUACAUCUGACCGAUUAAGAGCGUAAAAAUGUUUCAACCAAACACUCUGAAUCUUAAUGAUCCAAAUGCAACCUCUUAAUGAGACCAUUAAGAGGCAAAACAAACAGCCCCUAAAUAAAAAAAACAAUAUAGUUUCCAUAAAAAUCGAUUUAAAUAUUAAAGAAGAGAAGAAAUCAGCAUUUAUACGACGUAAUAGUUUUUUAAAAUUAAAAAAAAAAAAUUAUUCAUAUUAUAAGUAUAAAAUACAUUUUAUUCUUAACUCUCAUUUGUAAUUUGCCAUAUGUUUUCAUAAGAGUUUAUGGUAAUAACUUAAAUUUUUAUUUUUCCAUAUACCAUUUUUCAUUUACAAAAUUGUUUGUGCUUAUUUUUUUUUGUUAUAUUAAAAUUUAUUAUAUUUUAUUAUAUAAUAUAUAUCAUAAUUUUUUUCAUUAAUUUACAUAUAUCUUAUUUUUACGUGUUUAUUUGAAACAAUCGUUAUAAUGCAAAAUAAAUACCACUUCUCCAUAUUAAUUAUUAAUUUUUAUUAAAAUACUUUAUUAAUUAUUAUAAUUUUUAUCUAUUGAUAUUCGUUUAAUUUUGUAAGUUUUAUUUUCACAAAGUAUAACCUAAUUAAUUUCUCAUCAUCUAUAGUAAAUGAAAGUUUUUUUUUUCACAUGCAAUCACUAAUUAAUUUUGACACUUGUCAUUUUAUAAUAUUUUUUAAAUAAAUAAUAUCCACAUAUCAAUUUAUGAUUUUUNNNNNNNNNNNNNNNNNNNNNNNNNNNNNNNNNNNNNNNNNNNNNNNNNNNNNNNNNNNNNNNNNNNNNNNNNNNNNNNNNNNNNNNNNNNNNNNNNNNNNNNNNNNNNNNNNNNNNNNNNNNNNNNNNNNNNNNNNNNNNNNNNNNNNNNNNNNNNNNNNNNNNNNNNNNNNNNNNNAUCAAAUGUAAUAAAUAUUAUUUUAAAAUUUCAUUUUAAAAAAUAUUUAUUAUUACAUUUUAAUAUUUUAUAUUCUUUAAUCAACCGUGUAAUACAUUUUAAUACAUAGAUUUUCCAUCUAAUAAAUAAAUAAAAUGUAACCAUUUUAAUCACUAAAUAAUUAAUCAACCAAAGAUUAAAACCCACUGAUAAAAAGGAAACUAAAUCAACACCAAAUUGAAAAUUAAACCAUAUAUUACUAAAUUAAUUCACAGAGAGUUCGACAUCAAUCAAAUAUUAUCUCGCACUCAAAUUCACAAAACUCACUUUCCAGGUACAAAGUUUGUAGCAUAUGACCAUGCAUUGUUUGCAACAGGGUCAGCAAGGUGGUCAGCGAGGUUCUCCAAUGGUCCCUUUCCGGUAACAAUGGCUUGAACAAAGAAUCCAAACAUAGAGAACAUGGCUAGUCUACCGUUCUUGAGCUCCUUCACUUUCAGCUCAGCAAAUGCCUCUGGGUCAUCAGCCAGACCCAAUGGGUCGAAGCUACCACCAGGGUAAAGUGGGUCAACUACCUCACCAAGAGGUCCACCAGCAAUUCUGUAACCUUCAACUGCACCCAUCAAGAUCACUUGGGUAGCCCAGAUGGCUAAAAUGCUUUGUGCAUGGAUCAAACUUGGGUUCCCCAAGUAGUCAAGACCACCCUCACUAAAGAUCUGGGAUCCAGCCUUGAACCAUACAGCCUCACCAAACUUGACACCAUUACGCGCCAAGAGUUCGGGGAAGACGCACCCAAGAGCUCCGAGCAUGGCCCAUCUGCUGUGGAUGACCUCAAGCUCACGGUUCUUGGCGAAUGUUUCAGGAUCAGCAGAGAGCCCAGCAGUGUCCCAACCGUAGUCACCGGGGAACUCACCGGUCAGGUAAGAUGGGGCUUCGCCGGAGAAUGGGCCAAGGUACUUAACACGGUCGGGGCCGUACCAUGGACUUCCUGAUGGUGCGACUUUCUUGACUGCUGUCUUCCUCAUGGAAACCCUUCCAUUUCCGAUUAUUUCUGAACCAGAUGGUGCUGCUUUCACUGCCUGUCCGACGAAAGAAGAAGAUAGAGCCAUGGUGGAAGCUGCCAUUUUUGUGAGAUUUAUUUUGAAGAUGUUGUGAUGGUUAUACUUAUGAAGAUGGGUAGAACUGGAAGUAGAUUUAUAGGGUAGUUUUUGGAUCAGAUAGGUGAUCAAUGCUUAUCUUGAUACAAUCUUUAGCUUCAAUUUGAUUGGCUACAGAGAUUCUUGUGGGUCCGUAAUCUGUGGUGUGAGUUCUCUGGCCCCCCUGAGAUAUUUUGAAGGGGCAGGAUAUUCGUGGCUCUGGUUUAUUGAGCCAAUGACUGGCUUUCACUCACUACUCUUAGUGGUGGUUUUUUAUAAUAUGCUGUAAGCUUGUAACCAUCCAAUCGUCUAAGUUUAUAACUGACCUAUUAUUACAAAUAUAUACUAACCAGGCAAAACUUUUGGUUAUAAAAGUUAAUGUGACCGAGAGACUAACACAAAAAAUUAUAACAGGAGUAGUUAAUAAUCCGCGAUUUACCGCUAUGCCGAGAGCCGUAGGGAGGAUCCACCAUUUACCCCUAAGUGUGCAGAAUGCCUUUUUUUUUUUAGUAUUAAAAUAUCAAGAUCGGACACGCGUUGUAAAAUUCUUGUUCGAAUUGUUUGCAAACUCUUCGUCACAAUAAGGGGAGUUUAAAUAUGCGUUUUAAUAUAAUAACAUUGGCAUUGAUUAAAUGUUAAUAUUCAAUUAUCAUCCCACAUGAGAAUGAAAUAUAUUAAUGAUUUAUUAAUCUAAAAACAUUAUCAUCCCACAUGAGAAUGAAAUAUAUUAAUGAUUUAUUAAUCUAAAAACAAUUUUUUUAUGUCAUUAUUUUUUGGGGUUACAGUCGAGCUUGGAGGAUCUCGACUUUAGGUAUGCCCAUUUUAUUGAGAGGAAUUACUAAUAAAUUUCGGAAAGAGGAAAAAAAUAUGAUCGUGGACAUAUGGUUUAGGAAUAUUUUCAUGUUCGUUUGACACAAGUAAAGUUCUUGAAAUGGGUGCUUCAGUUUGUACGAGCGGCUAACUUGAUAAAGUUCAAAGACAUAAAGGCAAUUUUCAAAAACUCACAUGAUCAGUUAUCGAACAAGCAUGUCGUACUAGUGUGCCCACUACACAUGUUAGUUAGCGGUUUCAAUAGGAAAAGAGCAUCAUUAGCUGUCAAUGAUAAUAUUCUUUCUCUAGUACUCGAUCCUUACGACUUUUAUAUUUAUAUCAUGUAAUUUAGAAUUUAAUUUAAUUUCUAUUAAUCUUCGAUUACAGUUUAUGUGAUCUAAUUCAUGGAUGUUUUGGCACUACAUAUCUCAAUGGAGUAUGCCAGGGAAAUUUUGGUCAUAACAACAGCCUCCAUGGGUUUAUAUAUAUUUUUAAGGUACAUAUAACAUCCUAUUUUUAGGCUUAGAAAUUUUGGUCAUUUAUAGUGAAAAUAAUUUUUUUUAAUAAAAAAAUAAAAAAGGAAAAAUAAAAAUAAAAAGAAUGACUGAAUGAAUACAUGAGCUAAUAAAAGGUUUAGAUCAAAUGUUUAAAGAAAAUAGCGAAUUUAUACUUAAAAUAGGAAAUAAAUAAGGAAGGGUCAGUGGUGGCAACUUUGGAAAACUUGUUUAAUUUAGAUCUAACUAGACAAUUUAUUUGUAAAGAGUUAAAAAUGUAACGAAAUGAUACUUAUAAGCUUAAGAGGGAGUUUUUCAGUUGGAAAUGUUGUUAGAAACCCUUAUUGGAAAAAAUUAGGACAAAAGGACUAAAAUUGUCAAGUUGAUGAAACUUGUGUUAACCUUAAUGUAACGACCCUAAAAUCUUAAAUUAUGUGUUUAAUUACUUUGUAUCAUUUUGUUGAAAAAUGAACAUUAAUGAUGCAAUAAUCAAUUUGUUAGUAAAUUUCAUUGUAUAUCCUUACAUUUAUCAUGUUAUAAUCGAAAAUAUAGGACAUUUCAGCAAAAAAUAACCCUGUAGGAAAGUCGCAUUACACCUCGAUAUAUUCGUGUGGAUAUAAAUUCUAUGAAAAUCCAAAUUUGUAUGACGAAGUUAUAGUCAAUAUAAGUUGGAAGUACAAAUUUUAAUGUUUAAAUGUGUAUGUUNNNNNNNNNNNNNNNNNNNNNNNNNNNNNNNNNNNNNNNNNNNNNNNNNNNNNNNNNNNNNNNUAUAUAUAUAUAUAUAUAACAUCUCAAAACCAUAAUAACCAUAACAUAAAAUCAGAGUUUCAAAACAUAUUAUCUCUCUAAACCAUAACAAUCACUGGAUGAUGUGUAGAGUCACGUGUAACAUCUCGUUUAAAAUUAGAUAAAUAAAAUAAAAUAAGUAAAUAAAUUAGAUAAAAUAAGUAAAUAAAUAAUAAACCCUAAAACCUCAAGAUGAAUUUUAUAUUUUUAUGUUAGCCUUAAAUCCAUAAUAAUUAUCAGAGUAUUAGCGCAAUAAGUUAAAUGUUAUUAAUUCUGGAAAUAGGGGUUUAAAAUGUAAAUUUCGAACUAGUUAAGAAUAGAUUUGUGGAAGCUGGGGAUUGUUUGGUAAUUUGGACUUGAAUUGAAAGGAUUAUUGGAAACAGGUAUAGAGUAAAUUACAGAUUUAAUUUGUAAAGGAAUUGAGAUGGAGGGACUGAAAAUAUAAGAAAGGGACUAAUGUUUGAAGAGAUAGGCAUGACUUAAACCCAUUCCCCCUCCACCCUCUUGCUACUCGGUUGCACCCAUAUAAACCCUAACCCUAAUAUCUUCUCAGCCGCCACCUUAUCCCUCCAUAUCUCCAGUCGCUUCCAUCACCUGUGUCGCCGUCAUGAACCACUGAGCACCACUGCCGCUGCUCCCACUGCCGAUGAAAACGAAGAUCAACGUUUGGACACCGUGACAGUGGGGAAGUAGGAAGAAAGGAAGCUCGUGGUUGUUAUUGCUGUUAUUCUCGGUUAGGGGUCGCAAAACCUUUCUCUUCUCCGUUUCCUUUUGUUGCUACGUUGUCAUCGUCAUCGCUCCAUGUGAGGGUGGUUGUGUUUGUGUUUUGUGAGUGUAGGUGUGUGUUGCUGCUGUGGCAAGUUGGAGAGGUGUGUGUGUCUUUUGUUGGCCAGAAAAACGAAGAGAAUCACCAUGGCAACCAACCAUGGUGGUUUUCACCGUUCUGGAGCCACUAGCCACCACCCUAGGUGGCUGUGUGUGUUGGAUUGACAUUUCUUCUGUACCAGGAUGCUUUUGAUAGUGUUUGGCCUAAAAUUAUAACUACCACCAUUAAAAAGUGGUGGCUGUCGCCUCCUACCGCCAUGGACCGCCGCCGACCACCAAUGCCCGAGGUGGCAGUGGGUGGUGUCUGACUUACUAAACAUUAAAUAACCUAAACAUCUAACCUUAGACCGAGUGGUACGUGUUUGGGUUGGAAACUCUUACUAGGCUUUAGAAAAUCCUAAGGUCAAGAAAACCCUAGUUUUGGAGUUUUGUCGGGACCCGCGUUGAAGUGUUAAUUGAACUUUAAUUAUACUCGAUAAGGCCCUACGAUUAACUUAAUGCAGUAUUGAACUUAAUGAAUUAAGUCCUUAAGGGGUUAUGUGUGGAGCACUAACCCUAGUUAUCAUUUUAUGUGGAAACCCUAAAAAUCAAGAAGCCUUAUUUUCGGCAAUGAUCAGGGCACAUAUUUGGGAUAUUCCUUGGAUUAUUAUUAUACCCGAGAAUGAAUAUGUCAAACCUUAAUCACUCCUACUUUUAUUUGAUUAAGUCCUUAAUGGGUUAAGUGUCCUUACUUAACCCUAAUCGUCAUUUUAUGUGGAACCCUAAUCACUAUUUCAUGUGAGGUAGUCACUGCUGCAAUUGACGAUGACUUGUGAUCGAGUAUUGAAUCAAGUAUCUUCCUGUAGGUGAUUGGAAGUGAGUUGAAGCUGGUAGAGUUCUUCGUUACUACGGUGGUUACCUACUAGCAUAUCGAGCUGAGUUUCACCUCACUGUGUUAGAUCUAUAUGCACAAGAAUCAUUAUUCAGUGACAUUGCUAAUAACAUAUGAUCCUAUAAGGUCACACUUUAAUCAAGUUGGUACUUAUUGAAUAUUUAUUAAGUAUUUUAUAAUUAAUAAUAAAAGUUCAACUCAUGUAUUUAAUUAAAGAAAAUUUAUUGUUUUGUGAAAAUAAUAAUAAAUGAAAGACUAACUANAUAUAUAUAUAUAUAUAUAUAUAUAUAUAUAUAUAUAUAUAUAAGUCAUGUACAAAGUUUUGGACACUUUCACCAAAGAUUGACAAACUAGCUAGUUAAUUAAGUGACUAAACAAUAAACUAGAAAAUCCAAUGGACCAUUUUAGUCCUUAAAACCAUGGGUUAUCAAGGCGAGGAGGUUGAAAGUCAACCUCCAACAUUCUUGUCCCCCAUGUUUGUUCAUUACCUUGCAUGUAAUACACACCAUGAUCAUAUUAUAUAAGGCUAGUUGUUUUAUCACUAUAUGACUAGAAGAAAAAAAUCAUUUACACUUUCAUCCAUAGAAUUGUAGGUUCUCUUGGCUUCUCCCUAUCUCUCACUUGAAGUUAGUUCUUGGUUUUUUAGAGUUCGUCUUUUGUGUCUUCCUUUUACACUUAUUAUCUAUGUGCUUAAGGCUUAAAGAGAAAAAUAUUAUACAAGAAGAAAUCUAGCAAUUUUGGUACCUUAUUCUUGUUGGUGGAUUACUUGUAGAGAAGAUCAGACUUGUUGUUCUUGCCAUCUACUUCAACACCCCAAAUCUAAGAGGGUCCAAAGUCUACGAAGGUUGUAUUUUCUAAACUCCCUAUGGUUGUUAUAAUAUCAUUCUAAGCACUUUAAAAGGAUCCUUGAUGGUUUGUUUUGUUUUCAAAUUUAUAAGAAAUUUUUAAAGCUUCCGUUGCCAGUUUUUGUGAAAAACUAUUUAUUUUAUGCAACAAACCCCUUCAGUUGUAACACUAUAAAUUUUCAAACAAAAUUUCCAUUUUUAAAACACACAAAUCUUAAAAUCACAUUUCUCAAAAAUCACAAAUGUAUCAAUUGUAAGAAUAUCCCAGAACCCUCAAACAUAAUCUCGAACAGGUGUGUACAAUCAAGUCGGCGCCUUACCGUGAUUCUGAGAAGUACCUGAAACACAUAACACACAACAUAGUAAAAACGAAGCUUAGUGAGUUCCCCAAAAUACCACAUACACAAAUAAUAAGCCACUCAUAGCUAUAGCUCGGCAUGGACCUUCCAGUCAUGCGUCUCGGUGAGGACCCUCCGGUCUCACGGCUCGGUGUGGACCCUCCGGUCAUGUGUCUCAGUGAAGACCCUCAGGUUUCACAGCUCGAGUUGGACCCUCCAGUCCUGUAUCUUAGUGAAGACCCUCCAGUCUCACAACUCGGUUUGGACCCUCCGGUCCUAACUCAGUAAGGCACAAAAUAAUAUAGCAUAUAUGACAAAGACAAAAUGCAUAAUAUCACAUAACUCAGUAUAAGCACAUAGGACCAUCCGGUCGAUAACUCAAAUAAGACCCUCUGUUCACAUAGUAUUACCACUCAGGUAAGUAUAGUGAUAAGACUCGUCUCGGAAGUAAGCAAAUAGAUCUAGUACCCCACGAACAGUUUAGACUCCGCCUACAUAAUAUAAUUAUCUCUAAUAAGCAAUUUGUAAUAACCAUUCCGAGAUGUUAAGCUAGCUCCCCCACUAAAUCUCAAAAAUGGUGAAAAUACCAUUUUACCCCUCCAUGGUCUCUAAGGUCCACAGUUGACCAAACCCUAAAACUCAACGUAAGUCAACGCUCAAGUCAACAGUCCAUGUUGACUAAACUCGUCGAAUGCAUCCAUGCGACUCGUUGAGUACCGUCGUUUUCUCUGAAGUAUCGGGAAAAUCCAACUCAACUCGUCGAGUUGUCUCAUCAACUCGCUGAGUUGUAACGCAUUUAGACUAUCAGGGAAAACCCUAGCUGACUAGUCGAGUUGUCUCAUGCACUCGUCGAGUCCCUCUAUACAAAUUCUCAUUUAGACUAUUCUAAGCAGGAAUAAGGUCCCAAACUCUAGAUCUAGCCUCCCAAGGCUGAAAUACCAUGUAAAGCUGCAAGCUUUACGUCUAUGCAUGGAAUCUAGCGCUCAAAAUGCUAAAACAAGCUCUAUAUAGGGUUUAAUGCAUAAAAUCUUGCCACUAGCUUGAUAAAGCUUGGACCUUUGGGCUCAAGGGACCUCAUAUUGUCCAUAUCUGAAGUCUCAAAUUCAUGGCAGGCUCAAACAACUCAAGUACUCAAAGAAGGAUGGAAAAAGGCCCUAAAACUCCUUAGAAAAGAGAUCUAACCAAAUAAUGAUCAAGGUGGUAACUUUUUACCUUCAAACAGAAGCUAGAAAUGAAUAAGCACCAGAUCCAAGAGCUCCCUCUCGUCCCAAGCCUUUUGUUCCUCAAUCUUUCUCCAAAAAUGCACCAAAAUACACAAUAUUAUCCUCUCCUUCUCUCACACAUAGAUAUAGCUCGAUUAGGGUUUCUCUCAGAGUUUUAGGAUGAUAAGGGAGGAUGAAAUGAAGGCUUAAGGUCCUUUAAAUAGGACACAAACCCUGAAAAUUGGGGUUUUCUCACUCUGCUCCUACUCGUCGAGUUGGGGUCCUCCAACUCGUCGAGUAGACUCUAAAAAUCACGCAACCUUUAACUCCUCUACUCGGCGAGUUGGGGCAUCCAACUCGUCGAGUUGCUCUGACAUCAUAAAUGCAAAUUUAUUAAAUGUUAUAUAUGGGAGCAGGAUGGUACAUGUAACGACCCAAUUUUCAUGACCAAAAAUUUUGUUUUAAAAACAUUACUUUAGAAAAUAUUAAAAGCUAAAAACAUUGUCGGAUCAAAUCAUAACACAAGUGAACCAUGUCUAAAAGCCAAUUCAUACAUUCAAUCAAAAUAUCAGAGUACAAAUCCCAGUGAAGCUCGUAAAUGCGGAAACCGGAGAGUGUGUGUGUGACAUGCUGCUACCGCGCCGGCUCCUUUCCCCUAGCUGAGGAG